UAAACAAACUGUUUAAUCAACAAUAUGUGUAUUAAUUGUGGAUUAUUCUUACCACAUUUUAUUUUUAAUAGAACUUUGUAAGCUUAUUAUAAGCCAAAACUGAAUUGGCCCGGUAAGAAAGAAACGAAAAUUGACCAAUGUUUUUAAGAACCUUUUAUAAUCUAUUAUAAAAUUAGAUGAUUUUGUAGCCAACACCAAUAUAAAAAUACUAAAAUUUUAUUUUUUACUUAUUUGAUUAGGUUAAUUAUUUUAAUAUUAAUUAUAUAUUUUAUUUUUAUGUAUAUGCUAUUUUAUGUUUUGACAUACUUUAUGAAUUUUUUAAAUAAAUUUUAGUGUUAUGUUUUAAGAUAGUUAGCAUAUAUAUCAAGUUAGUUAAUUUUAGUUCAUAUUUUGAAAUUAAUUUAUAGAUUUACUUUAGAAAUAUUAAGAUUUAUAAAAAUAUUAAACAAUGAUACUGAUUUGGAAUAUUUUUCGUAUUUUUAUUUAUAUAUGAAUAUUUUUAAUAGUAUAUAGCCCUUAUCGUAAUAUUGGCUGUGGACAUAAUUUGUUUUUUUCUUGUUAAACUCUUUUUAUGUUAAGUUUUCAAGAAUUUAGUAUAAAUACCAAUCUAAUUUUUAAGAUAAUUAAUACAUUAGUUAAUUUAUCAUUUUUGUAAUUUUGUAUUUAUUUUUAUUUUACUUUCACAUACAUGAUUAUUAGAACAUUUUUUUAUGUUGAUUUCUUUUUUAAAAUGUUAUUUUUGUUCGAUAAAAUUUUAUUUUUAAUUUUCAAAUAUUUAGUUUAAAAAUAAAGUUAAUUAUUUCUGGCAAAAAAAUUUAAACUUAUUUAAUUUUAUUUUGAGAGAAAUAAAAUAUCUGAAAUUUUAUAUUUAAAAAUAUCAAAUUAACAUUUUGAGAAUACAUAUUAUUAAUAAUAAUUUUAGCUUCUAUGUGACCACUUUAAAUAACAUAUAGCCUCAAUUUUAAAAUCAUAUGUGCUUUAGAUUCAUAUUUUCUUUAUUAUUUCAAAUUCUUUUAUUUUUUAAUAUUAUAUUUUGUACGUAAAAUUUAUGUUAUUCUUCCAAAUAUUUAGUUUAUAUAUCAAUAUGAUUCCUUUAAUGAUUUUGGCUUUUUCUAAAUUUUACAUUGAUUAUGAAAGAAACAAUUUUUGAAAGUUCUAUAAGUAAUAUAUAAAAUGGUGAUUAACAUAUUUUUCUUGGUGCUUCAAGAUAAUAUAUGGAUAUUCUCAAUAAUUUACGGCAUCAAAUUAUAUAUAGUAUAUGUUAUUUGUGAAUAUUUUCAGUUAUUUCUGUUUUUUAAAGCAUAUAGUCCAUAUCAUAUUAAAGGUUACAUACAUAAUUAUAUUUUUAGUAAUAAUAUGCGAUCAAUACCAAUUCCUAUAAGGUACGUGAACAAUCUCUUAUUAUAUUAAGUUUUCAAUAAUUAGCUACAAAUAUCAAUCUAACUUUAAAGAUAAGUUUUACAAAUUUUAAUUUAUCUUUUUAUAGUUUUGUGCUGAUUUUUAUUUAUUUUUACAUACGUGAUUAUUUAUAAAUAUGUUUUUUAAAACUUUGUUUCUUUUUGAAUAUUUUUAUUUUUGUUAAUUUUUUGUUUAAUUUCAAAUAUAUAAUUAUUUUAUAUAUCAAGUUAAUUAUCUUUAAUAAUAUUUUUAUUUACUUUAUCAAAUUAAGAUGCUGACUUUUAUAUUAUUAUAAUGAUAUUUUUAAAUUCUAUGUGAACACUUAAAUAAUAUAUAUCCUCAAUUUUGAAAUCAUAUGUUAUUUAGAUUCAUAUGUAAUGAAAAAGUGAUUUAGAUUUACAUUGUCUUUAUUAUUUGAAAUUCUUAUAUUUUUAAGAUUAUUUUUGUUACUUAAUUUUAUGUUGAUUUUCCAAACAUUUAAUUCUUAUAAUAAACUGAUUAUUUUAGUUAUUUGGCAAUUUUUCUUACAAAAUUUAUUAUUGAUAUUUUUUUGAAAAAAAUAGCUUCCAUUUUGAAAUCAUAUUUUGUUAGAUUCAUAUGUAAUGAAAAGUGCUUUAGAUUCAUAUUGUUUUUAUUAUUUUAAAAUCUUGUAUUCUUUAAGAUUUUUUUUGUUAGUUGAUUUUAUGUUGGUCUUUCAAAGGUUUACUUUAUAUAUCAAAUUGAUUCCUUUAAUAAUUUUGCAUUUUCACUAAAUUGAAUAGUAGUUUCCUUUUUAUUUUGAAAUAAACAUUUUUUGAAAAUCUUGAAAUUUUUAAAAUAAUAAUUAAAAUGGUAAUUUGACAUAUUUUGGUGCUUUAAAAUAAUAUGUGGAUAUUCUCAAUGAUUUAUUGCAUAAAAUUACAUAUAGUACAUAUUUUUGUUGAAUAUUUUCAGCAGUAUAUAACCUAAAUUUUGUAAAUCAUGUGUUUUAGAUUUAUAUAGUUAUAAUUGUUUGAAAGUAUUGCAUUUUUAAAUUAACUAUUAUAUUUGUUUGUUAUUUUUAUGUUAAUUUUCGAAACUUUAUUUUAUAUAGUAUAGAUUUGUACAUGAUGUUUUUAACUUUGUAAGUUUAACUUAUUUGAUAAUUAUUUAUAUUUUAUUUUGAAAUAAAAAAUUUCGUAAUAUUAACAUUUUUAGAAAUACCAAAUUGAAAAACGAUUUGGUAUAUUUUUGGUGCUUUAAAAUAAUAUGUGAACAUUCUCAAUGAUUUAUAAUAUCAACUUAUAUAUAGUAUAUGUUAGUUUGAAUAUUUUCAAUAGUAUAUAACCUAAACUUUGAAAAUCAUGAGUUUAAAUUUAGAUUUAUAUAGUUAUACUUGUUUGAAAGUCUUGUAUUUUUAAAUUAAUUAUUCUCUUCGUUAUUUAUUUUUUAAUUUUUGAAAAAUAUUAAACAUUAUGUUAACUUAAUAUAGUAUUUAUAUUUUUGUAAAUUUACCUUAUUCGAUAUUGAUUUAUAUUUUAGUUUGAAAUAAACAUUUUUUUGGUAAUAUUAACAUUUUUAAAAAUAGUAAACUUAAAUAAUAAUUUGUUAUACUACGAUUGGUUGUUUAAAUCCUACGUGGACGCUCUCGAUGGCUUAUAGCCUCAACUUUUAUAUAGUAUAGAUUUGGGAAACAAAUGUUACAAGAUAUGUUCGAGAUGAUGAAGAGCUAAAAUGUUUCCAUAGAGAAUAGUGAUUUACGUUUUUCUUUUAUGCCUUUAGUCAAAAAAAAGAAUAGUGAUGGAAAUAAUAAACCCUAGUUCUAACCGUCUCAUGUCCGUUUGUUUGAAUUUCCUCUUUUUUUGUUUUUCUCUCUCUCUUUGUAUUUGUCCUCGUGGAACCCUCCAAUUCACCAUUGACUUAAUCGGCUGGGCCGAGUUGUCAUGGAUAGAGUUGUUUGUAAUUUUGGACUGAGACCAUAAUUAACGGGACGUUCUUACGAUUGGGUUCUUAGCGGAAUAUAAGAACCACAUUUUAAAAAGCUCCUAUUAAUCGCUCUGAGAUAUAUAUUUGACGGACCUUGAUGAGGAGUGUAAUUCCCCUCCAACAAAUAUUAUUUAUAUAUUUUUGAUCUUUUAUUGAACAGAAGUAAAAUAUUUUUUUGGCAACAUAUUAAAUUUAUUAAAAUAAUACUGUUAUUGUAUUUUCUAAUUAUAUUAAUAUAUAUAUAGUAAUUCCACGCAAAGCAUAAAUCACGCGAAGUAUGCAUCACGCAAAAGAAUAUAAUAUUGUUCAUUGACUUGUUCGCACCAGUGGCCACAUCUAUUUUUAUUUUGCAUUGACUAUAAUUCUUAUAUAAGUUAUUUCUGUGUCGACAAAAAAAAAUUAUUACUGCAAAAGAAUACAAUUGCAUACGAGAGUAAAUAAGCAAUACAUUUUGCAACUAAAAAAUAAGGUUUUGAAUCAUGGGAAAAUGUGUUUUAUGUUUUAUAUUGUUUCUUGCAAUUCUCAUUGUGGACUACGUUUGAAGGUAAUAUUAGUAUUUGCGCUAUUAAAUUCCUUUACUAAUAUUUAUUCAAUUUAUCUUUUUUUUUAUGGUGGAUAUAACACAACAGAAGUGGAAGCCGUGAACAAGUUGAGGUGCCCCAUUACUGAUCACCGGUACAAGGGAAAAUGCGGAAAUAAUGGAAAUAGUAUUUGUGCAAGGGAAGUAAAGGAGUUCAUAGCGAAACAGCGAUACGGUGUUAAGCCCGUUCUAGGUGAGAUGCGUUGUAAUUGUACUGACCUUCCAGUCAAGGCAAAUGAGCAAAUCAGACGUACAUGCAGCUGUAGAUAUGAUUGCUAAAUAAAAUACCUACAACCAAUAUAUAUAUAUAUAUAUGUACUAAAAUGAAGGAAAAAGAUUCUGGAGAUUUUAACAUCGAUUUGAUAAAACAAAACCAUAUCAGUCUAUUGUCUUUGCAAACUUGAUCAAUUAUUUUUUGUAUAAUUAUUUUCUUUAUUGCCAAAGGUCAAUUUGUAUUUUUUUUCUAAAUGAAUUAUAAUCGUCAACUUACACCCAAAAAAAAAAUUGUCAACUAAUAAUAUAUCUUGCUUUUUUCUAAUAAUAAUCAACACAAUAAUAACACAAAUUGUUUCUCCAGCUUUGACACAUCAAAAUAUGAAAAUCAUAAUUAAUAUUUUCAAUUUUUAAAAUGUUAAAAUAUCCAAAAUUGAUUAUUUCAAUACAAAAUGGAAUUUAAACAUCAAAUAAGGCAAAAUAAUAAAUAAAUCAUUAAAACUAAAUUGAUAUAUAUAUACACUAAAUAUUUGGAAAUUUAACAAAUAAUUUACAAAAAAUAAAAUAUAAAGAAGACAAAAUUUUAACUUGCAAGAACACAAAAUAAAAUAUACUCUUUAAAUAAAAUUUCAAAAAGUGUAUUUUCAAAAAAUUAUAUUUUUUAUAAUCAUUAGUCUGAUUCACCUCAUAUAACAUAUAAAAUGUAAGAUGCUCUCUCUUGAGUUAUGUUGAAUAAAAAAAAUUAGAGAACAAUGUUUAUAAGCUAGAUGAUAAAUAAAAAGUCUAAUAAAGCAUGUCAAAGUUAGUUAACAUUUUUAGUAAAAAUUAUAAGGAAGACCAACAAUAAAUUAGCAUGAAAGAUAAAAUAAAAAAAUGAUAAAAAGAAUAACCAAUAUGAAUUUAUCAUCAAUAAACUAAAAACAUGCAAAUUUAUAAACUUCUAAAAUUUAGAAAAAAAACCUCAAAAUUACAAUGAAUACACUAUCUAAGACGUUAACUAUCUUAUCGUCAGCAUUUAGCAACUAGAAAAAUAAUUAUAAAAUUAUGUAACAGCUUUCAAAGGAUCUUAAGAAUCUUCAUAGAAACUCUGAAACAAACAAAUAUUAUAUAUUGCACCAAAAUAAAUAAAUUUUUUUCAUAUAAAUAAUCUAUUGUAAUGCAUUAUACAAUAAUACAAGCUUCACUACUUUACAAAUAAUUAAUUAGAUCUGUUAGUAGAUAAUUCUUAUACUUUAGUUUUUCUAUAUUAUUAAUUCAAUAAAUAAAAUGUUACUUAACAUUAGUUAAAUUCACUAUAUUUACUUUAAUUUUUAUAUUAUCUUACAAAGACUAUAAAGUUUGACAAAAUAUUUAUUGUGAUUAAAUUUUAAAUCUAAAUAUUAUACUAUCACACACAUAUAUAUAUAUAUAUAUAUAUAUAUAUAUAUAUAACAAUCACAUGUUAAUUGUAAAGUUUUUCUCACUACAAAGAAAAAUAGAUGUUAUGCAUAGAGUUUAAUCGUUAAUGUUAUUCAAAUAAAAUAUAUGUAAAAUGUAUGGUAAAAUUAUUACAAUGUAUUAACAGCUUAUUUGCAUCGAGCAAUCUAUAUAAUAUUUUAAAAUAUAGAUUAAUAUUUUCAAAAGUUAUGAACAUGUUUAUGAACAUAAAUAUAACAUUUACAAUUAUAAAUAACUAAAUAGAUACUAAGAUGCUAAAUUAUAAAGUAAACAUAAAUAAUAAAAUCAACAAAUUAAUAAAAUCAAAAAAUCAUAUUUCAAAUAAGAAAAUUAUAUAAAUCAAUUAAAUUUUUAGUUUAAAAGUUAUUAUAAAACUAAACCUAAUUAUUAAUACAGACUCGCGCGUAGUAUAAAAUCUAGUACUUUAUAAAAAAAACUUAUUUAGUUAUGUAUUAAGGACUUAAUAACGUUUGUAUUUUUAUUCAGAGAAAAAAAUAACGUUUGUAGUAAUCUAAAGUUAGUAGUCGUGGAAAAGCUAUCAUGAUGACAAGACAGAGCACCGAAAUAAAGAAAUCAAUCGAUGUGAUCACUGAACCAAACCGAGAUUUGUCUCUUUUCCAAUCAAUCGCAAUCUCCGUUAUCUAUGCUCUCUUCUUAAAAUUUAGUUAAUUCACAAACACCUAACUGUUUUGCUAUGUUAUCAUGAAAUAAUACUUAUGGUUUACGCGUUACGCGUUGAUUUUAAUUAUUACUAUUUCAUUUUUUUGCUCAGGAAGCAGAGAACCUAUGGAGACCCUCUCGAAAGGCCAAAGGACACAUUGAAAGACAAAACAAAACGAUACCAUAACCUUGUCAAAACGCAAAAGCAAAGCAUCCCCAAACCCCAAUUCAAGCAAAAUAUUUUGUACUCAGAAUGUUUCUUUACAUGUAUUCGUAUGAUCGUAUAACCCUCUUUAUAUACAAAACCUUAAGAAUAAAAAGGACAGGAAAAAAAAAACAAAAUACACGGAAUAAGACAGAAGACCUUUUCUACAUUUGUUCACAUGUUCAGAAAACUCAAUAAAGCCACCAGAAACAAGAGAAACCAAAACACUCGAACAAAACAUUUUUUCAACAGAAUGGGUUUCUGCUUCUCCAAGUCACAAACACAAGAGAUCCCAAUCUCCUCUUCUUCCGAUUCUACCCCUCCUCAUCGCUACCAACCUCUCCCUAAACCAACAAAUCCUCAAACCCAAACCAGUACUUUCCCCACCAAUCCCAAACCCAAACCGGCUCCCCCACCUUCCUCCUCCGGUUCUCAAAUCGGUCCAAUCCUUAACCGACCAAUGAUCGACCUCUCAGCUCUCUACGACCUCCACAAAGAACUCGGCCGCGGCCAGUUCGGCGUCACGUACCGUUGCACUGACAAAUCCAACGGCCGAGAGUACGCAUGCAAAUCGAUCUCCAAACGCAAACUCAUACGUCAAAAAGACAUCGAAGACGUGAGACGCGAAGUCAUGAUCUUGCAGCACCUCACUGGUCAGCCGAACAUCGUCGAGUUUCGAGGCGCUUACGAGGAUAAAGAUAAUCUUCAUGUGGUUAUGGAGCUUUGUUCUGGCGGCGAGCUAUUUGAUCGUAUUAUCAAGAAAGGGAGUUACUCUGAGAAAGAAGCUGCGAAUAUUUUCAGACAGAUUGUGAACUUUGUUCAUGUUUGUCAUUUCAUGGGUGUUGUUCAUAGAGACUUGAAGCCUGAGAACUUCUUGCUUGUUAGUGCGGAUGAUGACUCUCCUAUUAAAGCCACAGACUUUGGACUCUCUGUUUUCAUCGAAGAAGGUAAUAUAAGAAUAGUUCAUCUUUUUGAUAUUUUCCUUUUCCAUAUUAAUACACACAUACACAUAUUUAGAAAAUAUUAACAUUAAUAAUUAUUUCACCUAACAAUAACUCGAGACUAAUAAAAAAAUGAAAAUUACAGAAAGUUAAUUAACAUAUAAUGUUAAUAAACUUUACAUUAAAUUUUGAAAAAAAAAUUAUUUAAUUUGAAACAAAACAAAUUCUAUAAAACUCUAAAACGUCAAGUUUUAAAACUAGAAACUGAGGGAGUAUUGCACUUUUUAAAUUAAUUAAGGGUCGUCUUGUUCAAAGGUUUGUCUUUGUUGAGUGUGUGUAGGUCCUUUAGGACAUAAACAGCAUGUUUUAACUUGUGGUAUAAUCAAGAAAUAAAGAUAGCGACAUUGUAUCUCCUUUCCGUGUGAGAUCAACCUAGUGGGACACCAAGUCAACUUCGAAAACGGCUUGGGUCAACCACCAAGUCAAGUGAUGGUUCCCACAUAUUUGAAAAAUAAAAAAUGAUAGUACAACAGAAAUUAUUUGAUGUGAAAGUCUUCCUUUUUCAAGAUUUUGGUUCACACCCAGAAAAACAAAAGACUUGAAACUGGAGAUGUGUAUUAAGAUUGUACAUGCUACAACCUUCAAAUAACAAGUACCAUGUUUAUUCUGUGUAGGUAAAGUGUACAAAGAUGUAGUCGGUAGCGCAUACUAUGUUGCACCUGAAGUUCUAUAUCGAAACUACGGUAAAGAGAUCGAUGUGUGGAGCGCUGGUGUCAUGCUUUACAUUCUUCUAUGCGGUGUUCCUCCAUUUUGGGGUGGUAUGUUAAAACAAAUUUUUUAUGAAUCUAAAGUUUAUUAUCACUCCAUUUGAAGAAUGUUAAGAAAUGAAAUGUUACAAAACCGGUACUAUAUAUUUGAUAUUGUUUUAGAGACCGAGAAGACUAUAUUUGAGGCGGUCUUAGAAGGGAAUUUAGAUCUUGAAUCUUCUCCUUGGCCUACUAUAUCGGAAAGUGCAAAGGACUUGAUAAGAAAGAUGUUGGCAAGAGACCCUAAAAAACGGAUUACUGCAGCUGAAGCACUUGGUAUGUGUUUGCAAUUUGUCUUGAUUUGUGACACAUUAUAUAUACCUCAUAGCUAACUAACUAAGCGUUCUUUUGUUGCGAUUAAAGCGCAUACAUGGUUGACGGAUAGCGAAGUUUCAGAUAAACCAAUAGAUAGUGCAGUCCUUAUUAGGAUGAAGCAGUUCCGCGCAAUGAACAAGCUCAAGAAACUUGCCUUGAAGGUAAAGUUAACUGAUACUCCAUCAUCAAAAAGAUGAUUUAAAGAACAUUAAAGUUAACUGUUGUCUUUUGUUUAAUAGGUCAUAGCUGAAAACUUAUCAGAAGAAGAGAUUAAGGGAUUAAAGCAUAUGUUUAAAAACAUUGAUACAGACGGAAGUGGCACCAUCACUUUUGAUGAACUAAGAACCGGUUUACAUCGUCUUGGAUCCAAACUUACUGAAUCUGAAAUCAAACAACUCAUGGAAGCUGUAAGAAGACAAGAACACAAAUCCACUUGGUGAUAUAAUUAAGCUUAUUACAUUAUUAUUCUGUUUUUGAUGAUAGGCUGAUGUGGAUAAAAGCGGGACGAUUGAUUACAUUGAGUUCAUAACAGCUACAAUGCAUCGGCAUAGAUUGGAGAAAGAGGAGCAUUUGCUAGAAGCAUUCAAAUACUUUGACAAAGACAGAAGCGGGUUUGUUUUCUUUUUUGUUUUGUCCUUAUAUUGUCGCAGAAAUAUAUUAAAGAUGAAAUUAUUUUUCUAACGCAAUCUUUCAUAUUUUUCUUCUUCUUAAAUAAGAUACAUCACAAGGGACGAGCUUAAGCAUUCGAUGACACAGUAUGGAAUGGGUGAUGAUGCUACCAUAGAUGAAGUCAUCAAUGAUGUCGAUACAGACAACGUAAGAAAAAACAUUUACUUUUAGUUUUUGACUGCUGUAAAUGAUGGUGAUGAUGAUGAUGAUGAAUGAUAGGAUGGGAGAAUAAAUUAUGAGGAAUUUGUGGCGAUGAUGACGAAGGGAACUACAGAUCAUUCAGAUGCGAAGCUGAUCAGAUGAUAUAUUCAUCUAGACUUAUGGAUGCUUUGCUUCCACCAUUAAUAAAGUAUAAAAUUAAUAAUAAAGUAUCAAAAAAAAAAAAACGAAUGAGACGAGAAUCAAUGCAUUAUUUUUCCUUUUUCUUUUAAAUGUUUAAAAUGAUUUGUUUGUACCUGCGUGAAUUCGAGUAUAAGAACGAAAAUCCCCUGAAAAAACGUAACAAAGUAAAUAAAUUAAACAGAGAACGAACGUGUCCAAACCUAACGGAUCCUAAACGGUUCGUUAGUGAAAGUAACGUUGUCGGAAAAGCCUUUUACGGCCCAACUCGAGACCCAUGGACCAUUAGUAGUACAUUCUUAACAGCUUUUAAAAUGAAAAUAGCAAACCCUCUGUUUCGCCUAGAGGCUUUCGAGUAACGAAGCCUAAAACGCUGCUAAAAAGAAAACAGAUAAGCAAAUCGGAACUUUUUUAAAAAAAUUGACGACGAUGCUCUCCAUCUCUCCGGUGCCGAGCUUCUCGUUAACCUCCGUGAAAUAUCUCCGCUCUCCUUCCUCUUCUUCCUUCAUCUCCUUCUUCCCCAAACUUUCCAGAUUCGUCACAGCAAGCUCGGCAACCCCCAAUUCAAAACCGGAGACCACCACCACGAGAGUGAACAACGCCGGCCUCAAACUCGACGAGACAGUCUCCGUCUCCAAAGGCAAGAUUCGCCUCGACUCAUGGAUCUCCUCUCGCGUCGAUGGCGUUAGCCGAGCUCGCGUACAGUCCAGCAUCCGCCAAGGACUAGUCAUCGUCAAUGGCCAAGUCGUCGAUAAGGUUUUCGAACUUCGGAUUCAAAUUCUUCAAACUUCAAGUUUUCACCUUUCUCUCUAUCUCUAUCUCUAUCUCUUGCAGGUUUCGCACAAUGUGAAAGCUGGCGACGAGGUUCACUGUACGAUAUCAAAGCUCCAGCCUUUGAGAGCUGAACCCGAAGACAUACCGUUAGAUAUAGUUUACGAAGAUCAGCACGUGCUCGUCGUUAACAAACCGCCUCACAUGGUAGUCACGUGUUUCUUUGAAUACUUAAAAAAGAUUGAAUCUUUCUAGCUUGAUGUUUAGUGUUUAAGAGUCUCUCUCUCUCGUUUGGUGGUUUAGGUUGUUCAUCCUGCGCCUGGGAAUCCUAAGGGGACGCUUGUUAACGGCAUACUUCACCAUUGUAGUCUUCCCUGUGUUGCUGCUUAUUCAAACCAAGAAGAAGAAGAUGAGGAUUCGGAUGACGAAGAAACGUUUUCAGAUGAUGAAGGGAUGAUUCGUCCAGGGAUUGUUCAUAGGUUGGAUAAAGGGACUAGUGGGUUGCUCGUUGUAGCUAAGGUUAGCUGUCUUUUGUCUUUUUUUAUUUAUUUAUUUUUGUUGCUUUAUGAGGUGUGACUUUAACUAGAAGUUGUAAUUGGCAGGAUGAGCAUUCUCAUGCUCAUUUGGCGGAGCAGUUCAAGCUGCACACGAUUGAGAGAGUUUAUAUAAGUCUUACCUGUGGAGUUCCUUCCCCGUCUCAGGGGAGGAUUGAUGUACCAAUUGGUAGGGAUUCGAAUAAUCGGAUCCGUAUGGCUGCUAUACCUGGAUCAUUAAGCCGUGGAAGGGCUCGUCAUGCUGCUAGUAGGUGAUGGAGCAGUCUUUUUUACAAGUGCACUGUAACACUGAUUCUUGUAUCCUCACAUAUUCUCAUGUUCUCUUAGGUAUAAGGUAGUUGAAACACUCGCUGGAGGUGGCUCUGCGUUGGUUGAGUGGAGACUAGAAACUGGCCGUACUCAUCAGGUUGUGAAAGAAAUCAAAAUCUGUAAAUUUGUUUCUAUAUUGGUUCACAUCUUUGUCUGCAAGGGUUUCACUUAUACCUCUGUUGAUCUUGAUUUGAGUUUUAGAUACGUGCGCAUGCCAAGUACAUGGGAGUUCCUCUACUGGGUGACGAAGUGUACGGUGGAACGAAAAGCAUGGCGCUUUCUCUUCUGCAGAAAAGAGUCUCCCGGAGUGAUCAAGAAGAGAUCAUAGAGCUGGUGUCAAGAAUGGAUAGGCCUUGUCUUCAUGCCAUAGUUCUCGGGUGAGAGACAACUCAAAAAAUCUCAGUCUAGUCUCACUAUUCAAAACUUAGGAGCAGAACAGGUUUAUGAUAACUGUUGUUCUCUGUUAUGUUUUCUUUCACAGCUUUGAGCAUCCGUGCACCGGGGAAAUCAUAAAGUUUUCAUGUCCACCGCCUCCGGAUCUUGCAGAGAUAGUAGGCCUGCUUCGUAGAAGCGGCAGAGAAAUGGUAACCACCAAACUCUGCGUUAUUUUUUCACUUAACCUCAUGCCUAGGGCUAAGUUACUCUGUUUUCAUUACAGAGAUUUUGUUUAUGCUGAGUCUUCUUAAGUCGUGGUCUUUCUUUCUUUUGGCAGGUGGAAUAAUCUCUCGAUUUUGGUUUAUAAACUCAUAGUCUCGGACAUUGAUUCUGCAGUAGCAUGAGAGAUAUCAUCGAACGCCACUAUCCUUUCAAGCAACAAGCAAUCAAACUUCUCUCUGAAGAUCUUUGACGAAACAAAUGAAAGUGUAGUCUCAGUUUCAUGAUCCAAGUGUUUAUAGUACAGCUAAGAGGUGUAUAAAGCUCAAAUGGGAACUUCAAAUGAUAUUCAAAACCCAACAAAAUCAACAUCAGCUAAACCUGUAUCUUUCGCCUUCUCCCUUCUCGCCACAAUUUAUAAAAGAGAUAACAGAGGCACAAACGGAAGAGAAUGAUGAGCAGACCACUGAUCAGUAGCUAUUCUUGACAAAUCAAGUACACUAUUCUUGAUGUAUAUAAAAUAAGCAUCUCGCUGUGGUGAUUGGUCAAGAAUAUGUAUGUAAGUAAAUAGACUCAGUUUCUCUGUAAUCAUCUGCGACCUUUCAAAGAUAAAAUCAUGUGCACAAAAAGAAAGUUUCAUUCACAUUUUACCCCAACAAAAAAAAAGUUUCAAGUCUCAACGAUUAAAAGCAUUUAAGUACGAACCCGAAUAAAAUAUAAAAACUCGAAAACCUUGCCUUGAAGGAUCCAUGAGGGUACACGAAACAUUUUACUCAGUUUCUUCUGCUAAAGCUUAGUAAUAGACAUUUCUAUACUUUCUAAAAUCUUUCCGAGUUUCAUCCUCCGAUAACUAUCUUGAACUUUUUUUAGCACUACAGAUCUCUCGAGCGUUUCAUAUACUUGUCACUGACUCGUCUUGCAGAAAUAUUCCUCUGCUUCACCUCGAGGAUGUUCCUCUGAUUGAGCUUGGCUCACUUGGAGUCCUCUAGCAAUAUUAUCUUCCGUCUCCAUUGAUUAUUUCCUUCUCCAACACUCUUACAGACCAAAUAAUCUUCAUGUACUGGCUCCUUGCUUGUAACCCAUGAAAGCAAUCUACAAAAGAGAUGAAAAAGAAACAUGAUGAUUUAACAAACACAUGGGUUGCAAGCUUCAGACAAAACUUAUGACUCAAGUGUAACCCACAUUAAACCAUAUCACGACAUACAUGGAUCCCGCAAGAACAGAUAUAGAAGUGAGAACAUAUAUUUGACAAUAUUGUUCUGUAAGGUCGUGAUGUAAGGAACAGUAUCUCUUCAGGUUUAUUAACAACACUAUGAUGAGAAACAAACUAAGCAGGCUUUGUUCUUAAACAGCACCAAGCACACUGCUCAAUCAGAAAAGAUAAUAAGGCAUAUGAGGAGACCUAGAGCCGUUCGCAAAAGAGUAGACGAAGUGAAUCAUUCUUAGAACUGACGCUUGUUUCUUUUUAAGAAUCUACAUCAGAUUUCAUAAAAUAAUCAGAGUAGGAUGAAAGCAAAAACUUUAAAACGAAUCGUCCAACUACCAAGAUUUUAGGUACUAACGCUUACAAAAUAAUUACGCAGAGCCUCCUUAGUUGUUGCUGCUGGCGACCGGAUGAGCCAAUUGUGCAAAUAUAAGGCCCGAUUAGAAACAAAGCCCACCCGUAUGUAGUCUGAAUUUAAUGAAACGCUGUGUAUUGAUUGUUCUGCCACGUGGCUCGCCUAGGAUCACUGACUUUCUGAUCUGGAAUCCUAGGUGGCAGCAUGAGAGGAGAGAAAACACUUUUAUAUAUAUACAGAAAAAAAUAAUAUUUAGUUUCCUCUCAAUUUGUGAAAACUAUUUUAAAAUAUAUUUAUUAUUCAGUUUUGUUAUUUUUAUUAAAAACAUAUAUUUUUUAUUAAAAAACAUAUGUUUAUCUAAAUGUUUAUUAAAAUAAUAUGUUUUGUUAUUUUCAUUUACUCUUUAAAACUAUUAUUUUUGGAAAUUUUUUAUUUUUAUAGAGAACUAAUGAAGAUUUUGGAUUAUGAUUUAAAAAUUAGGAUACAUUUUUUUUAUAUAGAUGGGUAUCCUUUCAGAAAUUUUAAUCAAUAAGUUGCAUUUUCAAAACUUUUUUUUUAAAUUGCUAUUUUGGAAAAUUUUCAUUUUAUAGAGAACUACUGUAGAUUUAAGCUUUGGAUUUAGAAAUUAGGAUAACAAGAAUUUUUGUUGAUAGAUGAGUAUACUUUCAUAAUUUUCACCAAUAGGUUGCAUUUUUUAAAUAAUUAUUUUAAAAUUAUUUUCUUAGAAAUUUUUUAUUUUUAUAGAGAACUAUUGUUGAUAACAAUAAUUUUUGAUGAUCGAUAAGUAUUCUUUCAGAAUUUUUCACGAAUAGAUUGCAUUAUUAAAAUAAUAUUUUUAAAAGCUGCUAUUUUUGGAAAUUUUUCAUUUUUAUAGGGAACUAUUGUAGAUUUCGAAUUAUGAUUCAAAAAUUAAGAUAACAAGAUUUUUGUUGAUAGAUGAGUAUUCUUUUAUAAUUUUUUAGCAGCUGGUUGUAUUUUUUAAAUAUAUUUUUUUAAACUGUUAUUUUUGGCAAGUUUUCAUUUUUAUAGAGAACUAUUGUAGAUUUGAGAUUCUGAUUCAGAAAUUAGGAUAACAAGAAUUUUUGUUGAUGGAUGAGUAUUCUUUCGGAAUUUUUCAUCAAUUGGUUGCACUUUUUAAAUCAUUUUUUUAAACUGAUAUUUUUGGAAAGUUUUUAUUUUUUUAAAGAGAACUAUUGUAUAUUUGAGUUUUUAAUUAGAAAUUAGGAGAACAAGAAUUGUUUUUGAUAGAUGAGUAUUCUUUCAGAAUUUUACAUCAAUAAGUUGUAUUUUAAAAAUAUUUUUUUAAACCGUUAUUUUGGAAUAUUUUCAUUUUAUAGAAAACUAUUGUGGUUGGAGUUUGGUUUAGAAAUUAGGAUAACAAUAAAUUUUUUGAUAGAUGAGCAUUCUUUCAGAAUUUUUAAUCAAUAGGUUGCUUUUUUAAAAUAUUUUUUUUAAAAUAAUUUUUUUUUAAAAAUUGCUUUUUUUUUUGAAAGUUUUCAAUUUUUCAGGGAAUCAUUGUAGAUUUAAGGUUGCGAGUUAGAAAUUAGGAUAACAAAAAUUUAACAGAUAAAUGAAUAUUUUUUUUAAGAAUUUUUCACUAAUAGAUUGCAAUUUUAAAAUAUUUUUUUUAAACUGUUAUAUUUGGAAAAUUUUCAUUUUAUUGAGAACAAUCGUAGAUUUGGCAUUCUGAUUUAGAAAUUAAGAUAAACGAGUUUUUUUUUAUAAUAGUUUAUUGUUAUCAUGUAUGUAGUAAUACCCUUCAAGUCUUUAUACACAAACUACCCUAAUUAAUAUAACCAUUCAAAAUAACGCAAUCAAAUAAACGAUUAUGUUUACCUACCAAUGCGAAGAUGAAUGAUGGAUCCGAUCCUUACUCUUUAGUUUUGCGCAGUGGCGGACCCAUUCACACAAAAGAGAUGUCAACUGACACCGUAUAAAUUACAAAAGUUGAUUAUAGUCACUUCAUAAUUUACCAUCACAUGACCCCUGUAAAAUUGGCUUGAUGACCCCGCUAGUUUUUUCGGGAGUCUGUGCUUUUUAUAUCCACAUCUCAGAGUUUACACAAGACAAAGUAUAAAUGAGCAAAAACAAUAAUCUUGCAUUGCUGUCUUUUUGCUUCAAGAAGAGUUGAUUCUUUCAAAGUAUCAGUAGAAUCAAGUGAUCAUAUUUAAUUUGGAUAUAUAGUGCCACAGACUGCAAGUAGAAGGCGGUUGGCCAAUCAGGGAAGACUUCUUGCGCAAUCAUCCCAUCGUAAAGAGCUCGAUCUGGUUGAUUGCAGAAUAAAUAGCAUAGACUACGCCUCGCAUAAACACUUGGGUACACCGUUCUCCUAGAAUCAAUGAACUGAGAAUAACAGUGAAUGGCGGUUUCAAAGUCUUGCUCUAGGAAGGCUUGAUCACCAUGUUUUCGAACCUCUUGAAUAUCUUUUACCUCUUCCAUCCAUUCUUCGAAAGAGUCUGUGCUUUUGUUUUUUCUUCUACACAGGUUCAUUUACUCUUUUUAUUCUUUCUUCAACCGAUGCUUACUAAAAAUGUAAUUUGUUAUGAUAAAGUUUCCAGUUUUGUACUCUCUUCUUAUAUUUUAUUUAUUAUUUUCCGGUUAAAACUCUUUAUUGCUGCUUUAAAUCUUUCAACCACCGUUCCACAAAGAUGAGUAGAUUUCAUAUCACAAAAACUAGAUUUCGUGUGGCAUAAGAUAUGGUCCGUUAGAAAUGUCGCUAUAUAUAAGUCCGUUUCCGCCUAAGAUUUACUCAGUAUCACACAACAAAUUUAUCCCUCUCUCUCUUUAAUUGUUAUAUCUCUAUCUCUCUGUGUGAAAGAACACAAUGGCACAACAAAGGAUGGGUCCUUCUGGAUUUCAACUCGCUGGAGACAACAGUUUCGACGACGGUGCACUAGACUUCGACGGCGUAAAGAAUGUGUCCAUUGGGGUUCGUGAAAAACAAAUCGUUUAUAUAAGCUUAACGUACUCAAGGGGCGAAAAUAAGGAGACGAUCACCCACGGAGAACAACCUAACGAGAACAUGGAGGUUCUGUCUCUACACACCCUUUUUCAUCUCUUUUACAUACGCAUGCAGUCGAUCGAUAUUGCCAAUUACUUUAAAUGCAUUUAAUUUAUGUAUGCAGAUCACGUUUGGAAAAGGUGAAGGGUAUUGUAAGACUGUCGGAGGCAUUUACAAACGUGGAACUCCGCAGCUUCCAACAGGGUAUAUUAGCAACUUGUAUUUUGUAACCUCCAAAGGACAGAAGACGGAAUCGUACGUUCGAGCCGCUGCAGAUGAGUCGGAUGAGGCUUUCAGUUUCACUGCGGAUGGGGAAACCCAAUUGGUUGGAUUAUUCGGACGGUUCGGGCAGAAAGGAUUAAUCACGAUAGGGGCGUUGUUUGCACCAGAAUGAAGCCAAGAUUAAAGAAGUAAGCAAAGAUGAAGGAAGAAGCUGAUAUAAUUAUAUAAAGAAACAUAUACAGAAAAAUAAACAUGUAUGGAGUUACGUACAUCAAAGUAACAAAAUAUUGUUAGCAAAAAAAAAAGUAAUAAAAUAUCAGUAUUUAUUUUAAGGCAACAGUGUAGAAUUUCAGCAUUAUUUCAACCCGUACGCAAAUAUUUUCUUUAUAUAUUAUAAAUUUCAAUUAUUUUAUAACAUUUUAGGAGUAGUUUACUCAAUCAGAACACUUAACAAAAAUUAUUGCGUCAGCUACUUUUGUCGAAGGUGCUUGAACUAUAAACAAGCUUAAUUAGGUUAUGGACUAAACUAAAGUUUUAAGGGAUAUUUUUAAUUAACUGGAUACACUUCUUUUUUUCUGUUGAACGAACUGGAUACACUUUUUCUGAGUCCUCUUUUGUUGACAUCAUUUAACACCACCGAGUCUCUAAACUACUAUAUAUAACUUGCGUGUUUUUCAAUUCUUUAAAUUUUUGAAAAACAAAACACAUACCAACAAUUAUAUUUAGUUAUAAUUAGGUUAAAUAAAAAUGACUGUUGGUUGGAUUAUUUUAAUUAUUUGAUUGCAUUAAUUUGAAUGGCUGUUUUGAUUCUAAGAAAAUCUAUUAAAACGAGAAUGUAUGGAACAAUUACAGAACAAUUUGAAUAAUUAUAUUAAUUCGAGUAUAGUUAUUAAACGAAUACUUGUGAGGGCAUUACUAAAAUGUAACUAUACUAAGAGGAUCUUUAAAUUUAGUCAUCUAAAUGUCCGAACACGAGUCUACGACAUGAAAUACAAGAAAACAAAACAUCUAUUAACUCACUCACCCUGUCGGUAUAUUUUGUUAAUUAACCAUGGAAUUUAUUUAUGGGCUUAUUUAAUUUGUUUAAUAACCAAAAAAGUGAAAAUUAGUUUUGUAGAGAAAGAGAAUAGAGAGAGAUAGGAAGAGAAAAACAGAGAAAGAAAGAGAGACAGUGUGUGUUUUGGUUACUUAGCAAAUUUGUUUUUUUUUUUUGUGGUUAUAGAGUGUAGUUCUGCUUAUUUAUUAACAAGGGAAAUUGCACCUUAUAUACAUGAAAAAACAUAAAUACACUGAUUAACCAAAAUCUCCCUCUCUCUCCUAUUUUCUCUUCCUAUCUCUCUCUACUCUCUCUCUCAAAAUCUAAAUUUUCUUUUUUUUUUUGGUUAUUUGGCAAAUAAGCCCUAUUAACAAAUGAUCAACAGUUGACCAAAAACAUUAUUUAUAAUCAGCAAAAAUAAAUUUCACCUUAUAAUUUUUUUAUUCAAUCAUGGGUCAGUAAUAGUUAGAUUUUAAAUAAAUGAUAUAAAUAAGUAACUAUGGGCUGGACAUCACAAUUGGUUGCAUUAAACUAAUUUGGGUUACUGUAUUUGGUAGAGUAAUUAACUGUUUACGAAGAUUAGAUGUUUUGAAAAAAUCUUUCACCUUUUAUACUACUAUGAGCAUCAUUAAUAAUAGGUUUUUAUUUUUUGUCAAAAUAAUAGGUUUCUGAAACUGAAUCUCUGAAUAUAAAUUUAAGAAUAUUUAACAUAAGACAAUUUUUUAAUUAAAACUAAAAAUUUGCUGGAUUGACAUUUUGUAUAAUAUAUACUAUUAGUCGGAAUGAAGAAGUUAUCCCACUUUCAAAUCAGGUGCUUCCUCUUUCCACAAGAAUUUUUGUUGAUGGAUGAGUAUUCUUUCGGAAUUUUUCAUCAAUUGGUUGCACUUUUUAAAUCAUUUUUUUAAACUGAUAUUUUUGGAAAGUUUUUAUUUUUUUAAAGAGAACUAUUGUAUAUUUGAGUUUUUUAUUAGAAAUUAGGAGAACAAGAAUUGUUUUUGAUAGAUGAGUAUUCUUUCAGAAUUUUACAUCAAUAAGUUGUAUUUUAAAAAUAUUUUUUUAAACCGUUAUUUUGGAAUAUUUUCAUUUUAUAGAAAACUAUUGUGGUUGGAGUUUGGUUUAGAAAUUAGGAUAACAAUAAAUUUUUUGAUAGAUGAGCAUUCUUUCAGAAUUUUUAAUCAAUAGGUUGCUUUUUUAAAAUAUUUUUUUUAAAAUAAUUUUUUUUUAAAAAUUGCUUUUUUUUUUGAAAGUUUUCAAUUUUUCAGGGAAUCAUUGUAGAUUUAAGGUUGCGAGUUAGAAAUUAGGAUAACAAAAAUUUAACAGAUAAAUGAAUAUUUUUUUAAAGAAUUUUUCAUUAAUAGAUUGCAAUUUUUAAAUAUAUUUUUUUAAACUGUUAUAUUUGGAAAAAAAAUCAUUUUAUUGAGAACAAUCGUAGAUUUGGCAUUCUGAUUUAGAAAUUAAGAUAAAAGAGUUUUUUUUAUAAUAGUUUAUUGUUAUCAUGUAUGUAGUAAUACCCUUCAAGUCUUUAUACACAAACUACCCUAAUUAAUAUAACCAUUCAAAAUAACGCAAUCAAAUAAACGAUUAUGUUUACCUACCAAUGCGAAGAUGAAUGAUGGAUCCGAUCCUUACUCUUUAGUUUUGCGCAGUGGCGGACCCAUUCACACAAAAGAGAUGUCAACUGACACCGUAUAAAUUACAAAAGUUGAUUAUAGUCACUUCAAAAUUUACCAUCACAUGACCCCUGUAAAAUUGGCUUGAUGACCCCGCUAGUUUUUUCGGGAGUCUGUGCUUUUUAUAUCCACAUCUCAGAGUUUACACAAGACAAAGUAUAAAUGAGCAAAAACAAUAAUCUUGCAUUGCUGUCUUUUUGCUUCAAGAAGAGUUGAUUCUUUCAAAGUAUCAGUAGAAUCAAGUGAUCAUAUUUAAUUUGGAUAUAUAGUGCCACAGACUGCAAGUAGAAGGCGGUUGGCCAAUCAGGGAAGACUUCUUGCGCAAUCAUCCCAUCGUAAAGAGCUCGAUCUGGUUGAUUGCAGAAUAAAUAGCAUAGACUACGCCUCGCAUAAACACUUGGGUACACCGUUCUCCUAGAAUCAAUGAACUGAGAAUAACAGUGAAUGGCGGUUUCAAAGUCUUGCUCUAGGAAGGCUUGAUCACCAUGUUUUCGAACCUCUUGAAUAUCUUUUACCUCUUCCAUCCAUUCUUCGAAAGAGUCUGUGCUUUUGUUUUUUCUUCUACGCAGGUUCAUUUACUCUUUUUAUUCGUUCUCCAACCGAUGCUUACUAAAAAUGUAAUUUGUUAUGAUAAAGUUUCCAGUUUUGUACUCUCUUCUUAUAUUUUAUUUAUUAUUUUCCGGUUAAAGCUCUUUAUUGCUGCUUUAAAUCUUUCAACCACCGUUCCACAAAGAUGAGUAGAUUUCAUAUCACAAAAACUAGAUUUCGUGUGGCAUAAGAUAUGGUCCGUUAGAAAUGUCGCUAUAUAUAAGUCCGUUUCCGCCUAAGAUUUACUCAGUAUCACACAACAAAUUUAUCCCUCUCUCUCUUUAAUUGUUAUAUCUCUAUCUCUCUGUGUGAAAGAACACAAUGGCACAACAAAGGAUGGGUCCUUCUGGAUUUCAACUCGCUGGAGACAACAGUUUCGACGACGGUGCACUAGACUUCGACGGCGUAAAGAAUGUGUCCAUUGGGGUUCGUGAAAAACAAAUCGUUUAUAUAAGCUUAACGUACUCAAGGGGCGAAAAUAAGGAGACGAUCACCCACGGAGAACAACCUAACGAGAACAUGGAGGUUCUGUCUCUACACACCCUUUUUCAUCUCUUUUACAUACGCAUGCAGUCGAUCGAUAUUGCCAAUUACUUUAAAUGCAUUUAAUUUAUGUAUGCAGAUCACGUUUGGAAAAGGUGAAGGGUAUUGUAAGACUGUCGGAGGCAUUUACAAACGUGGAACUCCGCAGCUUCCAACAGGGUAUAUUAGCAACUUGUAUUUUGUAACCUCCAAAGGACAGAAGACGGAAUCGUACGUUCGAGCCGCUGCAGAUGAGUCGGAUGAGGCUUUCAGUUUCACUGCGGAUGGGGAAACCCAAUUGGUUGGAUUAUUCGGACGGUUCGGGCAGAAAGGAUUAAUCACGAUAGGGGCGUUGUUUGCACCAGAAUGAAGCCAAGAUUAAAGAAGUAAGCAAAGAUGAAGGAAGAAGCUGAUAUAAUUAUAUAAAGAAACAUAUACAGAAAAAUAAACAUGUAUGGAGUUACGUACAUCAAAGUAACAAAAUAUUGUUAGCAAAAAAAAAAGUAAUAAAAUAUCAGUAUUUAUUUUAAGGCAACAGUGUAGAAUUUCAGCAUUAUUUCAACCCGUACGCAAAUAUUUUCUUUAUAUAUUAUAAAUUUCAAUUAUUUUAUAACAUUUUAGGAGUAGUUUACUCAAUCAGAACACUUAACAAAAAUUAUUGCGUCAGCUACUUUUGUCGAAGGUGCUUGAACUAUAAACAAGCUUAAUUAGGUUAUGGACUAAACUAAAGUUUUAAGGGAUAUUUUUAAUUAACUGGAUACACUUCUUUUUUUCUGUUGAACGAACUGGAUACACUUUUUCUGAGUCCUCUUUUGUUGACAUCAUUUAACACCACCGAGUCUCUAAACUACUAUAUAUAACUUGCGUGUUUUUCAAUUCUUUAAAUUUUUGAAAAACAAAACACAUACCAACAAUUAUAUUUAGUUAUAAUUAGGUUAAAUAAAAAUGACUGUUGGUUGGAUUAUUUUAAUUAUUUGAUUGCAUUAAUUUGAAUGGCUGUUUUGAUUCUAAGAAAAUCUAUUAAAACGAGAAUGUAUGGAACAAUUACAGAACAAUUUGAAUAAUUAUAUUAAUUCGAGUAUAGUUAUUAAACGAAUACUUGUGAGGGCAUUACUAAAAUGUAACUAUACUAAGAGGAUCUUUAAAUUUAGUCAUCUAAAUGUCCGAACACGAGUCUACGACAUGAAAUACAAGAAAACAAAACAUCUAUUAACUCACUCACCCUGUCGGUAUAUUUUGUUAAUUAACCAUGGAAUUUAUUUAUGGGCUUAUUUAAUUUGUUUAAUAACCAAAAAAGUGAAAAUUAGUUUUGUAGAGAAAGAGAAUAGAGAGAGAUAGGAAGAGAAAAACAGAGAAAGAAAGAGAGACAGUGUGUGUUUUGGUUACUUAGCAAAUUUGUUUUUUUUUUUGUGGUUAUAGAGUGUAAUUCUGCUUAUUUAUUAACAAAUGAUCAACAGUUGACCAAAAACAUUAUUUAUAAUCAGCAAAAAUAAAUUUCACCUUAUAAUUUUUUUAUUCAAUCAUGGGUCAGUAAUAGUUAGAUUUUAAAUAAAUGAUAUAAAUAAGUAACUAUGGGCUGGACAUCACAAUUGGUUGCAUUAAACUAAUUUGGGUUACUGUAUUUGGUAGAGUAAUUAACUGUUUACGAAGAUUAGAUGUUUUGAAAAAAGCUUUCACCUUUUAUACUACUAUGAGCAUCAUUAAUAAUAGGUUUUUAUUUUUUUGUCAAAAUAAUAGGUUUCUGAAACUGAAUCUCUCAAUAUAAAUUUAAGAAUAUUUAACAUAAGAAAUUUUUUUAAUUAAAACUAAAAAUUUGCUGGAUUGACAUUUUGUAUAAUAUAUACUAUUAAAAAGGGAUUAUCUUAGAAAUCUAUUAUACAAAGAUUAGAUUGUUGCACUUACACAUUAACUAUUUAUUAUUUCAAAUCAUAUUUUUAUUUUCUGUAGCUAUAAAAUAUUUUAAAUGAAAUAAUCUAUUACUCCUUGUUAUAUUUACGAAACUAAUUAUAGGAACCACAUUUAUGAAUGGAAUUUCACAAAAUUGCAUAGAGUAAUAAAUGAAAUCAAAUGAAUUUAAUAAAAUAAAUGUAGAUUGAUAAAGUUAUAUAAGGAAACUUGUGUUUGUAACUAAAUAUUUCCAUUGCUGAUUUUCAGUAUAAUAGGAUACAUUAAUUAUGUUUUAAUCUAAGGCUGUGGUAUGACUUUAAAUAUUUGCAAAACACAGCAAUGCCUAAAAAAAGUCUUGGUUUUAAUUGUAUUGAUGAAUAGAUUUUAUCUCUCUCUAGUCGACUAAUCGAGUUAAUCUUCUUAUUUUUUGUUUAACUAACCCCAAGUAUUAAGAAACAAAAACAAAAGAAAAACUAACCCAAGUUAGAAGCCCACUCAAUUAACCCAAUCCCGACUCAGUGAUAAGCAAACUACCGAUAUAUUCAAUUCAGUUUAACACUAAAUUUAAAAUGUUUAAGCCAAUGAUGUGAAAACAAACGGUAGGUAUAUUUCUGAAAUAUGUUUCUCUGGAGUAUUUAAGGAUUUAUUAUACAGAGGACCUCUAUUGCAGAGUUCACUAGUAUCUCAUGAAUUAAUUUAAAAUGUUAUUACUGUUUAAUUAAAUUUAUAUUUUAUCACUAGUAUUAAAUUUAUACUUUAAAUAUUUUAGAUGAAGCUUCAACAUUAAUAUAGUUACUCGAUUAUAUGUUUAAAUUUAUUUGAUAAACAAAAGGGUAAAGCAGUGAGGAAUGCAGUGAAAACGUGCAAAGAGUUGGGGCUCCGGCAUAUCAGAUACGAGUCAGACUCAUCUCAACUCAUCAAGGCUUUGAACUCAAAGACAGAACCUCCAGAGAUUUAUGGGAUCGUCUCUGACACUAGGAUAGAAUGUAUGGAAUUCGAGACCUUUUAUUUUGUUUGGAUUCCUCAUGAAAGGAACGUUGUUGCUGGCUGUUUGGCCAAGCAGGUUAAGCCGUGUAUCAAGUGGUUUUAUCACGCUACUCUGAUGAUUUAAUGAAGUUGCGUUCCAAAAAAAGAACAAAAGGGUAAAGCCUUUCUGUAAUGAAAAUACAUCUUAUCUAUUAAUUUCACUGCUACAAAUAAAAAUGGUAAAAUAAUAAGUCUUUCUAACAUUAUGUUUAAACAACACCAUAAAUAAUGAUGCAGUAAUAUUUCUACAUGUUUUGUAGGAAAUAAAAAAUCUAGAUGGGGACGUUGCGAUGGACACCGAAAGCGGUGAGGUAGACAUCAGUGUUUCUUCCGUAAAACCCGAUUAUCUUCCUGCCUCCUCCUCCUCCUCGGAGCACAAAUGGCGUCCCAUCCUCGGGUCCAUAUCGGGGCGCUAUUUUUCUCUUGUGCAACCGGAACGUGAGGGAGGUAAUGUAGUUGUCGUUGUAGGUGCCCUCGACAGCUUCAAUGUAGUCAUCAUCAUCGAUUAAAACCUAUAACAAAAAACCUAUAUUAUAGAUCAUGAGUUAGAAAAAUAAAAUAAGAAAACUCACGUCAUCAUAUGUAAUAUGUGUUGCAUUCCCGUGAACGGCUCCGAUUACAACUGCCUUGUUGUUGGAGUAAUCAAAUUUGACAAAGGCCACGCCAGUAUCACUUUGUCCUACACUUAUUUUCUUCACAUUAUCGAAGAAGCCAUCGUCCCAUUCGUUUUCUCCAACUCCAUUGGUCGCUUCUACUCCUCUGGGGAAUGCAAAAUGGGACUUGGAAUCGUUCGCCCCAGUAGGAAGUGGAACGAAACUCGGAUAAUAGGUAAGAUGACGAGUUCCAAACCCAACCAACUCAUUUAUUUCAAUUUCGUGAAACUUAUCUCCCUUGACAAUAUAAAUACCCGUAUUUCCGUUUUUAUUAAUGCAACACAAUGCGAGACCAUUACUUUUCUCGUCGAUGAAGUAACUUGGUCUAUGUAAGUCGUCAACUACUAUAUUUGACCAUAUAGGAACUAACACAUUCAUGAACUUCAUCCACUCUACGGAUUCUCCAUCCCCAUUUUUAAUCUUAUCUUUUGUCACCCAAAUCUCAAUAUUCCUUGUGUUCCAGUCUUGCUCUAAAAUAGAAAAUCGAUCUCUCCUAUAAAUCUCAAGAGUUCUAACAUUUGAUAGAUCGUUUUUGCCAGGCAAGUUACAAUAGGGUUUGAGACUUUCAAUAGAAAAAUCAAAACUUAGAAUAAAAGGCUGGCGUGCACUUUUUUUAACAGCAAUCCAAUACAAAGUUCCAUUCAGAGAUAUAGUAUAGUUGGACGACGAAACCAUACUCCAGCUAUGGGAUGAAAACUCGUACGAUUUCCAUGCAUUGGAUCCAACCUCCGUGAUAUUAACAUACCUGGUGUCAUAAUUCAUACGAGACCCAAAGAGCUUGUAAUGGUUGUCGGGUUUACUAUAGUCGUAACCCAUCCCAAUCAACCAACAAAAUGAUGGUUUCGAUUUGAUCCAUCUAAUACGUCUUAACCAUGGGUUGCAAAUCCCGAAGCCCUUAGAUGUGGCAUAAAUCAAUAGUCCCUCGCAAUAGUGCAUUCUCAUGACCAUCCUAUGUUGAUAGUUGGGAAUAUCGGAGGGUAAGUCAUGCACUUCUAUAGAUGGACCGUCGAAAUUAACGUCUACUGAACAAGUCUUAGAUUCGGAAAUCAAGACGAACUGUGGACGAGCCAAAUGAUUGUUAAUGAACUUCAAAUCAUUUAAAAGAGUGUUCCAUCGUUUGCAAACAGAUCUGAAUCGAGCUACAGAUUUCAGUGGAAUCCGAGAGAGUAUACUUUCCUCCAGUUCCCACAAAAGAUGCUCUUGCUGCAUUAUAUUAUCUGUUAUGGGCUAGGUUUGUGACAAAAUAAUCAUUUACAUCACAAUUUGAUUAUAUAUAGAUGGAUCUGUAUAGGAGGAAUUUGUAAAUUACAUUGGAAAUAUUAGUCCAUAUAUAAACAAGGAAAAUAGCAGUGCGUGGAGAAUGAACAAGAGAACAAAAUCCUUUUGUUUUCAGAAUUAACUAGAGUUGGUAAGAGAUAUUAAAAAAAAUUAACUUAGAACACAUCCAAUGAAAGAUUUUCUACAGAUUAUCAUCCAAAAAUGAAUGAAAAUGAAAAAGAAGAAGAAAAGUAUCUCAUUUGAGAACUCAUGAGAUAUUCUUCCUAAUAGGUGGUCAUCUUUUAAUUAAUCUAUUUAUGUUUAGUAUUAAAUUUAAACAAAAGAUCAGAUUAUGUUAAAAUAUGAUAAAUUUUAGAUACUAAUUUCAAGAAGCUUUAUGGUAGGCAUGCAUAAAGAAACUUUAUGGAUAGGCACACAAAAAUCAAAUAAUUAAUCUGGAUUGGAUGUUAGUCACUGGACCUAUAUAAAAAAAGUAAUAAUUAUAGUCACUAGAUUUAUAUCCAAAAUAAAAAGUUAUAUAACUUAAAAUAUAAAAUAAAUCCGCAAAGAAAAAUAUAUAUAAAAAUAAUUAAAUUAAAAGUUCAAAAAUAAUAAAAUCUUUGACUAUGACUGAUCAUUUGUUUUGCUUAAACUUAUAACCUCUUAUGUAAUUGAAAUAUUAGGGAAGAUAUUUUUAAAAAAAGAUCUUCGUAUUAAUUUUGUUUACAAAGACAUGUGGAAAAACAUAAGAACAAAAUAAAUACAAAUGAACUGAAAAUAAAUCAACUACUUCCCGGUCCACUCAGAACGGGUUAGUCGAAACCCUAAUUCAAAAUACAAAGGAAAAAAAACAGAUUAGCCGCCACCAGCCAACCCAACACAGUAGGAAUGAACUUUCAGAUUUCAUUUUAGGGUCAGUUUGGAUUUACAUGUUUUGGAAGCAAAAAUUUAGUCUCAUUCAGAUAUUGUAAUAGUUCAAUUGGUGGCGGUUCGGUUUCACUCGGGUUUGGUCGGAUAUAGUGACAUAUUGGAAAUAUGGUUAAACUCCAAAAUACAUAUCUAAGUUCACAAUUUGAAUGUUUUUGAAAACUUACAUUGACAAAGACUUUGUGGCAUGAUUAAAAAGUGGUUGUUAAAAAAGGAAAAAUUCCAUAAAAAUACCCCAACUAAAUUGUCACUGACUCGUCUUGCAGAAAUAUUCCUCUGCUUCACCUCGAGGAUGUUCCUCUGCUUGAGCUUGGCUCACUUGGAGUCCUCUAGCAAUAUUAUCUUCCGUCUCCAUUGAUUAUUUCCUUCUCCAACACUCUUACAGACCAAAUAAUCUUCAUAUACUGGCUCCUUGCUUGUAACCCAUGAAAGCAGUCUACAAAAGAGAUGAAAAAGAAACAUGAUGAUUUAACAAACAUAUAUGAUUCAAGUGUAACCCACAUUAAACCAUAUCACGACAUACAUGGUAACAUGGAUCCCGCAAGAACAGAUAUAGAAGUGAGAACAUAUAUUUGACAAUAUUGUUCUGUAAGGUCGUGAUGUAAGGAGCAGUAUCUCUUCACGUUUAUUAACAACACUAUGAUAAGUAUUAUGAGAAACAAACUAAGCAGGCUUUGUUCUUAAACAGCACCAAGCACACUGCUCAAUCAGAAAAAAUAAUAAGGCAUAUGAGGAGACCUAGAGCCGUUCGCAAAAGAGUAGACGAAGUGAAUCAUUCUUAGAACUGACGCUUGUUUCUUUUUAAGAAUCUACAUCAGAUUUCAUAAAAUAAUCAGAGUAGGAUGAAAGCAAAAACUUUAAAACGAAUCGUCCAACUACCAAGAUUUUAGGUACUAACGCUUACAAAAUAAUUACGCAGAGCCUCCUUAGUUGUUGCUGCUGGCGACCGGAUGAGCCAAUUGUGCAAAUAUAAGGCCCGAUUAGAAACAAAGCCCAUCCGUAUGUAGUCUGAAUUUAAUGAAACGCUGUGUAUUGAUUGUUCUCCCACGUGGCGCGCCUAGGAUCACUGACUUUCUGAUCUGGAAUCCUAGGUGGCAGCAUGAGAAGAGAGAAAACACUUUUAUAUAUAUACAGAAAAAAAAUAAUAUUUAGUUUUCUCUCAAUUUGUGAAAACUAUUUUAAAAUAUAUUUAUUAUUCAGUUUUGUUAUUUUUAUUAAAACAUAUAUUUUUUAUUAAAAAACAUAUGUUUAUCUAAAUGUUUACUAAAAUAAUAUGUUUUGUUAUUUUCAUUUACUCUUUAAAACUAUUAUUUUUGGAAAUUUUUUAUUUUUAUAGAGAACUAAUGAAGAUUUUGGAUAAUGAUUUAAAAAUUAGGAUACAUUUUUUUUAUAUAGAUGGGUAUCCUUUCAGAAAUUUUAAUCAAUAAGUUGCAUUUUCAAAACUUUUUUUUUAAAUUGCUAUUUUGGAAAAUUUUCAUUUUAUAGAGAACUACUGUAGAUUUAAGCUUUGGAUUUAGAAAUUAGGAUAACAAGAAUUUUUGUUGAUAGAUGAGUAUACUUUCAUAAUUUUCACCAAUAGGUUGCAUUUUUUAAAUAAUUAUUUUCUUAGAGAUUUUUCAUUUUUAUAGAGAACUAUUGUUGAUAACAAUAAUUUUUGAUGAUCGAUAAGUAUUCUUUCAGAUUUUUUCACGAAUAGAUUGCAUUAUUAAAAUAAUAUUUUUAAAAGCUGCUAUUUUUGGAAAUUUUUCAUUUUUAUAGGGAACUAUUGUAGAUUUCGAAUUAUGAUUCAAAAAUUAAGAUAACAAGAUUUUUGUUGAUAGAUGAGUAUUCUUUUAUAAUUUUUUAGCAGCUGGUUGUAUUUUUUAAAUAUAUUUUUUUAAACUGUUAUUUUUGGCAAGUUUUCAUUUUUAUAGAGAACUAUUGUAGAUUUGAGAUUCUGAUUCAGAAAUUAGGAUAACAAGAAUUUUUGUUGAUGGAUGAGUAUUCUUUCGGAAUUUUUCAUCAAUUGGUUGCACUUUUUAAAUCAUUUUUUUAACUGCUAUUUUUGGAAAGUUUUCAUUUUUUUUAAAGAGAACUAUUGUAUAUUUGAGUUUUUAAUUAGAAAUUAGGAGAACAAGAAUUGUUUUUGAUAGAUGAGUAUUCUUUCAGAAUUUUACAUCAAUAAGUUGUAUUUUAAAAAUAUUUUUUUAAACCGUUAUUUUGGAAUAUUUUCAUUUUAUAGAAAACUAUUGUGGUUGGAGUUUGGUUUAGAAAUUAGGAUAACAAUAAAUUUUUUGAUAGAUGAGCAUUCUUUCAGAAUUUUUAAUCAAUAGGUUGCUUUUUUAAAAUAUUUUUUUUAAAAUAAUUUUUUUUUAAAAAUUGCUUUUUUUUUUGAAAGUUUUCAAUUUUUCAGGGAAUCAUUGUAGAUUUAAGGUUGCGAGUUAGAAAUUAGGAUAACAAAAAUUUAACAGAUAAAUGAAUAUUUUUUUUAAGAAUUUUUCACUAAUAGAUUGCAAUUUUAAAAUAUUUUUUUUAAACUGUUAUAUUUGGAAAAUUUUCAUUUUAUUGAGAACAAUCGUAGAUUUGGCAUUCUGAUUUAGAAAUUAAGAUAAACGAGUUUUUUUUUAUAAUAGUUUAUUGUUAUCAUGUAUGUAGUAAUACCCUUCAAGUCUUUAUACACAAACUACCCUAAUUAAUAUAACCAUUCAAAAUAACGCAAUCAAAUAAACGAUUAUGUUUACCUACCAAUGCGAAGAUGAAUGAUGGAUCCGAUCCUUACUCUUUAGUUUUGCGCAGUGGCGGACCCAUUCACACAAAAGAGAUGUCAACUGACACCGUAUAAAUUACAAAAGUUGAUUAUAGUCACUUCAAAAUUUACCAUCACAUGACCCCUGUAAAAUUGGCUUGAUGACCCCGCUAGUUUUUUCGGGAGUCUGUGCUUUUUAUAUCCACAUCUCAGAGUUUACACAAGACAAAGUAUAAAUGAGCAAAAACAAUAAUCUUGCAUUGCUGUCUUUUUGCUUCAAGAAGAGUUGAUUCUUUCAAAGUAUCAGUAGAAUCAAGUGAUCAUAUUUAAUUUGGAUAUAUAGUGCCACAGACUGCAAGUAGAAGGCGGUUGGCCAAUCAGGGAAGACUUCUUGCGCAAUCAUCCCAUCGUAAAGAGCUCGAUCUGGUUGAUUGCAGAAUAAAUAGCAUAGACUACGCCUCGCAUAAACACUUGGGUACACCGUUCUCCUAGAAUCAAUGAACUGAGAAUAACAGUGAAUGGCGGUUUCAAAGUCUUGCUCUAGGAAGGCUUGAUCACCAUGUUUUCGAACCUCUUGAAUAUCUUUUACCUCUUCCAUCCAUUCUUCGAAAGAGUCUGUGCUUUUGUUUUUUCUUCUACACAGGUUCAUUUACUCUUUUUAUUCUUUCUUCAACCGAUGCUUACUAAAAAUGUAAUUUGUUAUGAUAAAGUUUCCAGUUUUGUACUCUCUUCUUAUAUUUUAUUUAUUAUUUUCCGGUUAAAACUCUUUAUUGCUGCUUUAAAUCUUUCAACCACCGUUCCACAAAGAUGAGUAGAUUUCAUAUCACAAAAACUAGAUUUCGUGUGGCAUAAGAUAUGGUCCGUUAGAAAUGUCGCUAUAUAUAAGUCCGUUUCCGCCUAAGAUUUACUCAGUAUCACACAACAAAUUUAUCCCUCUCUCUCUUUAAUUGUUAUAUCUCUAUCUCUCUGUGUGAAAGAACACAAUGGCACAACAAAGGAUGGGUCCUUCUGGAUUUCAACUCGCUGGAGACAACAGUUUCGACGACGGUGCACUAGACUUCGACGGCGUAAAGAAUGUGUCCAUUGGGGUUCGUGAAAAACAAAUCGUUUAUAUAAGCUUAACGUACUCAAGGGGCGAAAAUAAGGAGACGAUCACCCACGGAGAACAACCUAACGAGAACAUGGAGGUUCUGUCUCUACACACCCUUUUUCAUCUCUUUUACAUACGCAUGCAGUCGAUCGAUAUUGCCAAUUACUUUAAAUGCAUUUAAUUUAUGUAUGCAGAUCACGUUUGGAAAAGGUGAAGGGUAUUGUAAGACUGUCGGAGGCAUUUACAAACGUGGAACUCCGCAGCUUCCAACAGGGUAUAUUAGCAACUUGUAUUUUGUAACCUCCAAAGGACAGAAGACGGAAUCGUACGUUCGAGCCGCUGCAGAUGAGUCGGAUGAGGCUUUCAGUUUCACUGCGGAUGGGGAAACCCAAUUGGUUGGAUUAUUCGGACGGUUCGGGCAGAAAGGAUUAAUCACGAUAGGGGCGUUGUUUGCACCAGAAUGAAGCCAAGAUUAAAGAAGUAAGCAAAGAUGAAGGAAGAAGCUGAUAUAAUUAUAUAAAGAAACAUAUACAGAAAAAUAAACAUGUAUGGAGUUACGUACAUCAAAGUAACAAAAUAUUGUUAGCAAAAAAAAAAGUAAUAAAAUAUCAGUAUUUAUUUUAAGGCAACAGUGUAGAAUUUCAGCAUUAUUUCAACCCGUACGCAAAUAUUUUCUUUAUAUAUUAUAAAUUUCAAUUAUUUUAUAACAUUUUAGGAGUAGUUUACUCAAUCAGAACACUUAACAAAAAUUAUUGCGUCAGCUACUUUUGUCGAAGGUGCUUGAACUAUAAACAAGCUUAAUUAGGUUAUGGACUAAACUAAAGUUCUUAAGGGAUAUUUUUAAUUAACUGGAUACACUUCUUUUUUUCUGUUGAACGAACUGGAUACACUUUUUCUGAGUCCUCUUUUGUUGACAUCAUUUAACACCACCGAGUCUCUAAACUACUAUAUAUAACUUGCGUGUUUUUCAAUUCUUUUAAUUUUUGAAAAACAAAACACAUACCAACAAUUAUAUUUAGUUAUAAUUAGGUUAAAUAAAAAUGACUGUUGGUUGGAUUAUUUUAAUUAUUUGAUUGCAUUAAUUUGAAUGGCUGUUUUGAUUCUAAGAAAAUCUAUUAAAACGAGAAUGUAUGGAACAAUUACAGAACAAUUUGAAUAAUUAUAUUAAUUCGAGUAUAGUUAUUAAACGAAUACUUGUGAGGGCAUUACUAAAAUGUAACUAUACUAAGAGGAUCUUUAAAUUUAGUCAUCUAAAUGUCCGAACACGAGUCUACGACAUGAAAUACAAGAAAACAAAACAUCUAUUAACUCACUCACCCUGUCGGUAUAUUUUGUUAAUUAACCAUGGAAUUUAUUUAUGGGCUUAUUUAAUUUGUUUAAUAACCAAAAAAGUGAAAAUUAGUUUUGUAGAGAAAGAGAAUAGAGAGAGAUAGGAAGAGAAAAACAGAGAAAGAAAGAGAGACAGUGUGUGUUUUGGUUACUUAGCAAAUUUGUUUUUUUUUUUUGUGGUUAUAGAGUGUAGUUCUGCUUAUUUAUUAACAAGGGAAAUUGCACCUUAUAUACAUGAAAAAACAUAAAUACACUGAUUAACCAAAAUCUCCCUCUCUCUCCUAUUUUCUCUUCCUAUCUCUCUCUACUCUCUCUCUCAAAAUCUAAAUUUUCUUUUUUUUUUUGGUUAUUUGGCAAAUAAGCCCUAUUAACAAAUGAUCAACAGUUGACCAAAAACAUUAUUUAUAAUCAGCAAAAAUAAAUUUCACCUUAUAAUUUUUUUAUUCAAUCAUGGGUCAGUAAUAGUUAGAUUUUAAAUAAAUGAUAUAAAUAAGUAACUAUGGGCUGGACAUCACAAUUGGUUGCAUUAAACUAAUUUGGGUUACUGUAUUUGGUAGAGUAAUUAACUGUUUACGAAGAUUAGAUGUUUUGAAAAAAUCUUUCACCUUUUAUACUACUAUGAGCAUCAUUAAUAAUAGGUUUUUAUUUUUUGUCAAAAUAAUAGGUUUCUGAAACUGAAUCUCUGAAUAUAAAUUUAAGAAUAUUUAACAUAAGACAAUUUUUUAAUUAAAACUAAAAAUUUGCUGGAUUGACAUAUGUAUAAUAUAUACUAUUAAAAAGGGAUUAUCUUAGAAAUCUAUUAUACAAAGAUUAGAUUGUUGCACUUACUCAUUAACUAUUUAUUAUUUCAAAUCAUAUUUUUAUUUUCUGUAGCUAUAAAAUAUUUUAAAUUAAAUAAUUUAUUACUCCUUGUUAUAUUUACGAAACUAAUUAUAGGAACCACAUUUAUGAAUGGAAUUUCACAAAAUUGCAUAGAGUAAUAAAUGAAAUCAAAUGAAUUUAAUAAAAUAAAUGUAGAUUGAUAAAGUUAUAUAAGGAAACUUGUGUUUGUAACUAAAUAUUUCCAUUGCUGAUUUUCAGUAUAAUAGGAUACAUUAAUUAUGUUUUAAUCUAAGGCUGUGGUAUGACUUUAAAUAUUUGCAAAACACAGCAAUGCCUAAAAAAAGUCUUGGUUUUAAUUGUAUUGAUGAAUAGAUUUUAUCUCUCUCUAGUCGAGUUAUCUUCUUAUUUUUUGUUUAACUAACCCCCAAGUAUUAAGAAACAAAAACAAAAGAAAAACUAACCCAAGUUAGAAGCCCACUCAAUUAACCCAAUCCCGACUCAGUGAUAAGCAAACUACCGAUAUAUUCAAUUCAGUUUAACACUAAAUUUAAAAUGUUUAAGCCAAUGAUGUGAAAACAAACGGUAGGUAUAUUUCUGAAAUAUGUUUCUCUGGAGUAUUUAAGGUUUUAUUAUACAGAGGACCUCUAUUGCAGAGUUCACUAGUAUCUCAUGAAUUAAUUUAAAAUUUUAUUACUGUUUAAUUAAAUUUAUAUUUUAUCACUAGUAUUAAAUUUAUACUUUAAAUAUUUUAGAUGAAGCUUCAACAUUAAUAUAGUUACUCGAUUAUAUGUUUAAAUUUAUUUGAUAAACAAAAGGGUAAAGCAGUGAGGAAUGCAGUGAAAACGUGCAAAGAGUUGGGGCUCCGGCAUAUCAGAUACGAGUCAGACUCAUCUCAACUCAUCAAGGCUUUGAACUCAAAGACAGAACCUCCAGAGAUUUAUGGGAUCGUCUCUGACACUAGGAUAGAAUGUAUGGAAUUCGAGACCUUUUAUUUUGUUUGGAUUCCUCAUGAAAGGAACGUUGUUGCUGGCUGUUUGGCCAAGCAGGUUAAGCCGUGUAUCAAGUGGUUUUAUCACGCUACUCUGAUGAUUUAAUGAAGUUGCGUUCCAAAAAAAGAACAAAAGGGUAAAGCCUUUCUGUAAUGAAAAUACAUCUUAUCUAUUAAUUUCACUGCUACAAAUAAAAAUGGUAAAAUAAUAAGUCUUUCUAACAUUAUGUUUAAACAUCACUAUAAAUAAUGAUGCAGUAAUAUUUUUAAAUGUUUGGUAGGAAAUAAAAAAUCUAGAAGGGGACGUUGCGAUGGACACCGAAAGCGGUGAGGUAGACAUCAGUGUUUCUUCCGUAAAACCCGAUUAUCUUCCUGCCUCCUCCUCCUCGGAGCACAAAUGGCGUCCCAUCCUCGGGUCCAUAUCGGGGCGCUAUUUUUCUCUUGUGCAACCGGAACGUGAGGGAGGUAAUGUAGUUGUCGUUGUAGGUGCCCUCGACAGCUUCAAUGUAGUCAUCAUCAUCGAUUAAAACCUAUAACAAAAAACCUAUAUUAUAGAUCAUGAGUUAGAAAAAUAAAAUAAGAAAACUCACGUCAUCAUAUGUAAUAUGUGUUGCAUUCCCGUGAACGGCUCCGAUUACAACUGCCUUGUUGUUGGAGUAAUCAAAUUUGACAAAGGCCACGCCAGUAUCACUUUGUCCUACACUUAUUUUCUUCACAUUAUCGAAGAAGCCAUCGUCCCAUUCGUUUUCUCCAACUCCAUUGGUCGCUUCUACUCCUCUGGGGAAUACAAAAUGGGACUUGGCAUCGUUCGCCCCAGUAGGAAGUGGAACGAAACUCGGAUAGUAGGUAAGAUGACGAGUUCGAAACCCAACCAACUCAUUUAUUUCAAUUUCGUGAAACUUAUCUCCCUUGACAAUAUAAAUACACGUAUUUCCGUUUUCAUUAAUGCAACACAAUGCGAGACCAUUACUUUUCUCGUCGAUGAAGUAACUUGGUCUUUCUGAGUCGUCAACUAGUAUAUUUGACCAUAUAGGAACUAGCACAUUCAUGAACUUCAUCCACUCUACGGAUUCUCCAUCCCCAUUUUUAAUCGUAUCUUUUGUCACCCAAAUCUCAAUAUUCCUUGUGUUCCAGUCUUGCUCUAAAAUAGAAAAUCGAUCUCUCCUAUAAAUCUCAAGAACUCUAACAUUUGAUAGAUCGUUUUUGCCAGGCAAGUUACAAUAGGGUUUGAGACUUUCAAUAGAAAAAUCAAAACUUAGAAUAAAAGGCUGGCGUGCACUUUUUUUAACAGCAAUCCAAUACAAAGUUCCAUUCAGAGAUAUAGUAUAGCUACCCCAAACCAUACUCCAGCUAUGGGAUGAAAACUCGUACGAUUUCCAUGCAUUGGAUCCAACCUCCGUGGUAUUAACAUACCUGGUGUCAUAAUUCAUACGAGACCCAAAGAGCUUGUAAUGGUUGUCGGGUUUACUAUAGUCGUAACCCAUCCCAAUCAACCAACAAAAUGAUGGUUUCGAUUUGAUCCAUCUAAUACGUCUUAACCAUGGGUUGCAAAUCCCGAAGCCCGUAGAUGUGGCAUAAAUCAAUAAUCCCUCGCAAUAGUGCAUUCUCAUGACCAUCCUAUGUUCAUAGUUGGGAAUAUCGGAGGGUAAGUCAUGCACUUCUAUAGAUGGACCGUCGAAAUUAACGUCUACUGAACAAGUCUUAGAUUCGGAAAUCAAGACGAACUGUGGACGAGCCAAAUGAUUGUUAAUGAACUUCAAAUCAUUUAAAAGAGUGUUCCAUCGUUUGCAAACAGAUCUGAAUCGAGCUACAGAUUUCAGUGGAAUCCGAGAGAGUAUACUUUCCUCCAGUUCCCACAAAAGAUGCUCUUGCUGCAUUAUAUUAUCUGUUAUGGGCUAGGUUUGUGACAAAAUAAUCAUUUACAUCACAAUUUGAUUAUAUAUAGAUGGAUCUGUAUAGGAGGAAUUUGUAAAUUACAUUGGAAAUAUUAGUCCAUAUAUAAACAAGGAAAAUAGCAGUGCGUGGAGAAUGAACAAGAGAACAAAAUCCUUUUGUUUUCAGAAUUAACUAGAGUUGGUAAGAGAUAUUAAAAAAAAUUAACUUAGAACACAUCCAAUGAAAGAUUUUCUACAGAUUAUCAUCCAAAAAUGAAUGAAAAUGAAAAAGAAGAAGAAAAGUAUCUCAUUUGAGAACUCAUGAGAUAUUCUUCCUAAUAGGUGGUCAUCUUUUAAUUAAUCUAUUUAUGUUUAGUAUUAAAUUUAAACAAAAGAUCAGAUUAUGUUAAAAUAUGAUAAAUUUUAGAUACUAAUUUCAAGAAACUUUAUGGUAGGCAUGCAUAAAGAAACUUUAUGGAUAGGCACACAAAAAUCAAAUAAUUAAUUUGGAUUGGAUGUUAGUCACUGGACCUGUAUAAAAAAAAGUAAUAAUUAUAGUCACUAGAUUUAUAUCCAAAAUAAAUAGUUAUAUAACUUAAAAUAUAAAAUAAAUCCGCAAAGAAAAAUAUAUAUAAAAAUAAUUAAAUUAAAAGUUCAAAAAUAAUAAAAUCUUUGAUUAUGACUGAUCAUUUGUUUUGCUUAAACUUAUAACCUCUUAUGUAAUUGUAAUAUUAGGGAAGAUAUUUUAAAAAAAAAGAUCUUCGUAUUAAUUUUGUUUACAAAGACAUGUGGAAAAACAUAAGAACAAAAUAAAUACAAAUGAACUGAAAAUAAAUCAACAACUUUCCGGUCCACUCAGAACGGGUUAGUCGAAACCCUAAUUCAAAAUACAAAGGAAAAAAACAGAUUAGCCGCCACCAGCCAACCCAACACAGUAGGAAUGAACUUUCGGAUUUCAUUUUAGGGUCAGUUCGGAUUUACAUGUUUUGGAAGCAAAAAUUUAGUCUCAUUCAGAUAUUGUAAUAGUUCAAUUUGGUGGCGGUUCGGUUUCACUCGGGUUUGGUCGGAUAUAGUGACAUAUUGGAAAUAUGGUUAAACUCCAAAAUACAUAUCUAAGUUCACAAUUUGAAUGUUUUUGAAAACUUACAUUGACAAAGACUUUGUGGCAUGAUUAAAAAGUGGUUGUUAAAAAAGGAAAAAUUCCAUAAAAAUACCCCAACUAAAUUUUGCUAUGUUUUUUAACACCCAAACCAUUUCGGUACCUACUUUAAUAUCUCAACUAAUUAUUUUACCAAUUUUAAUACAUAAAAUUUUAAAAUUGUGCUCAUUUUAAUACCCAAAUUUUAUUUUUUAAUCAAAAAUACUAAUAAGUUCAAAAUAAAUUGAAAAGGUCUCUAAAAUCUUUAAUUUUUUAAAAAAAAUUCCCACUUUUAUUUUAAAUUAUAGGAAAGAAAGUAACUAAAUUAUGGAGAAUGAUGCAUAAUUCUAUACAAAUAGAAUUUUUAGAGAAUUAUUGUAUAUUUAGGAUUAUGGUUUAUAAAUUAGGAUAAUAAGAAUUUUUGUUGAUAAAUGAGUAUUCUUUCAGAAUUUUUCAUCAAUAGAUUGCAUUUGCAAAAUAUUUCUUUAAGAACUAUUAUUUUCGAAAGUUUUCAUUUUUAUAGAGAAAUUUAUAUAUUUGGGAUUCUAAUUUAGAAAUUAGGAUAACAAGAAUUUUUUAUGAAAGAUGAGUAUUUUUUCAGAAUGUUUCAUGAAUAUGCUGCAUUUUUUUAAUAUUUUUUUAAAAAACUUGAUUUUUUUUAUUUUAAAGAGAACUAUUGUAGAUUUUGGAUUUUGAUUUAGAAAAUAGGAUAAAAAGAAAUUUUGUUGAUAGAUGAGUAUUCUUUCAGAAUUUUUCAUCAAUAGGUUGUAUUUUUUUUAAUAUUUUUUUUAAAACUGCUAUAUUUGGAAAGUUUUCAUUUUUAUAUUGAACUAUUGUAGAUUUGACAUUGUGAUAUAGAAAUUAGGAUAAGAACGUUUGAUUAUAGAUGAGUAUUCUUUCAGAAUAUAUAAUCAAUAGAUUGUAUUUUAAAAUAUUUUUUAAAAAACUGCUAUUUUUGGAUAGUUUUCAUUUUUAUAGAUAACUAAUAAAUAGGUUGAUGAGUAUUCUUUCAGAAUUUUUUAUCAAUAGGUUGCAUUUUUUAAAUAUUUUUCUAAAAAAUUAUUAUUCUUAGAAAGGUUUUAUUUUUAUAAAAAACUAAUGUAGAUUUUGAUUUUGAUUUAAAAAUUAGGAUAAAAACAAUUUUUUUUUGAUAGAUGGGUAUCCUUUCAGUAUUUUUAAUCAAUAUUUUGCAUUUUCAAAAAAAAAAAAAUAAUUGCUAUUUUGGAAAAAAAAUCAUUUUAUAGAGAACUAUUGUAGAUUUGGGCUUUGGAUUUAGAAAUUAACAAGAAUUUUGUUGAUAGAUGAAAAUCCUUUCACGAUUUUUAAUCAAUAAGUUGCAUUUUCAAAUAUUUUUUAAAAAAUAAUUGCUAUUUUGGAAAUUUUUAUUUUAGAAAUUAGGAUAACAAGAGUUUCUGUUGAUAGAUGAGUAUUCUUUCACAAUUUUUAAUCAAGAGGUUUUAUUUUUAAAUAUUUUUUCAAACUGAUAUUUUUGGAAAUUUUCAUUUUUAUAGAGAAUUCUUAUAAUCUGCUAUUUUUGGAAAGUAUUUUUAUUUUAUUUAUAAUAUUAUAAUCUAUUAUAAAAAAAUAUAAGUAGCCAAACAAUUAUAAAAUCAUUUUAAAUUAUUCACUGUUUUUGUUUUUUACGCAUUUCAAAAAUUUUACUAUCCAUUUUUUUGUUAUUAGAAAUUAUAUAUAAGGUGAUGAGUAGAAUAAACAAAAAUAAUUAAUUUUUAGUUACUGUGUUUAGUUGGUUGAACUGUAUAAAUGUUUCAUUUCACUUAAAUCUGUUUAUGAAUUUUGUUUCCAAUUAGUAUCCAAAUAGUUUAAUGGACCCUCCCCUUAAAUCUACAACCCUACAUUUUUAUGUUUUAUUUUUUCUUAAAUCAACAGUUUAAAAUUUUUCAUAUUUUUAGAUAAAAAAAACUUCAACUAAUCGGGACCCAUUAUCUAAAUAUUCUUUUUAUCUUACUUAUAUAAGUUUUGAUGUAAAAUAUUGUAAAAUGUAUAACCAAUUAAACUGAUUCAACAAAUAAUAGCGACAAAAUGAUUUGGAGAUAUAAUUGUAGAUCUUUGUAACAUUAUGUCUAAUUUGGUGGAGUGUGAAAGUCGUGUUGACAUUGAGUGCAACGCGUGGUAUAAUGUUUGGGCCGUUUACUAAUUUUCUUUGGGUCUUCGAACUAAUUGUGUUGGGUUGUAGGUAUAUGGUUUUAGAUUUUGUGUUAUUUUUGUUCCAACAGAAUUGUAAAGUCAUUAUUAGUUAGGACAUUGUUUAACUUCCUAUUGAUUUUAAUGUUUUAUUUUAUAGGAUAUUACAAAUAAAUUGUGAACUUCACAUUGUUAGAUAUUUUAGUUAUGUUUUUAAGAGUGUGUUCAAUAAUAAAAUGAAGGAAGUUAGGAUUAGUUUUAAGUAUGAGGCAAUUUUGGUUGCCUUGCGGUUAAAAGAUCAUGUAAGAUUUGUAUAAUUGUGUUGAAGAUUCUAAGAACUUCCAAAGCUCUGAUUGUUGUAUGCUAUAUUUGCAUUUGGAAAUAAUGCAUAUGAUAAUAGUAUUUCGUAGGAGGAGUUGAUUCUAGGAAAUGAACUAAAAGAAGAAUUAAAUGCGAUGAGUUAUUUUGUUUGCUCUGGAGAAGAAGUGUUGAGGUGACAUAUUUGAUACGCUACGUGGAAUUUAAAUGGUGUUGAAGUUGUUGGCCUUUUAAAACUUCCAGUCCAUAAUUGGGGAGGUUACUGUUCUUGUGUUAUGGGAUUGCAAAAAUUGGUAAUUUUAUUUUAAUAUAAAUAUGUUUGUAGAAAGAGUUUGGGCCUUACCCACGAAAAAGAGUAAUAACUGUCAGCUUAUUAUCAUUAGAUCUUCUUAAAAGGCCAUGUUCACUUUUAUCGAAGAAAGAGUGAUAUUUGCCAAAGAAACAUAAGUUCAGAUAGUAUCGUAGUGUUUUUGAUACUUUGUCUAAACAUCCAAGAUGGCAAAGGGCUUCAUAGUGGUAAGUGGUAAGAGACCUUACCAAGCUUACUUGCGCCAGAAGGUAAUGCAUAUACUAACAAUGUGUAUGUUUAGACAGUCCCUGUCUCAUUAGUGUACAAUAUUCUCAUCGUUUGUUUUAUGUUGAGAACCAAAGACAUAAUCACUUUUACUAAACCAAAUGAAUUGCACGGCUAGCUUGCACAUAAUCAAAAUAGAGAUUAUGCAAGAAGCAUCGAAAAUGAAAACAAAAACUGGAUUUGUUUGAAUGCUCUCAUGUCAUAAUUUCUUUCAAAACAAAAUUUGUAGAAAUAUGUUAUCAGCAGAAAAGGUCGUAAUGUAAUGAACAGUAUAUAGAUCGUUCCUCAUCUUGAUCUGUCUCAUAAUUUAAGGAGCAGUAUACCUAAAGAGUUUAUUAAUAACACUAUGAUAAGUAUUAUGAGAAACAAAAUAAAACAUCUCGAUGUAUAUAAAUAAAAUCAUGUACACAAAAAGAAUAGUUAGGAAUGCCUGUUAAGUUUUUUUUAUGACAAGACCAACGUCUUCUUACCUUCUUUGGUGUUGUAAUGAUAAACUCGUUAAACAACAACUCUCAUGGUGCUCAACUUCUUUUCUUCAUCUCUAUCAAUCGAGUCAUCAUCUCAACGUAAGCCUAUGAGACAGACUUUCACUAUCCUAUUCUUCAUGACAUUUUUCCCAACAAUAUCAUUUCUAUGGUAGUCACUAGUCAUCUUCUCUUACUUGGCUGAAGAAGAUAACGAUGAUUUAUAGAUUCACCGUCUCGUUUUUCGUAUACAUAUAAAUUGUUCAGACAUACCUCACUCAUCAAAGAGACCCUCUUGAAUAAUUUGUUUAUACUAAUCAAAGACCCAAUUAACAAAACAACACACAAUUUUAAACUGAUUUAAACAAUAAAAGAAAGGAACAAGAACUCGGAUUCACGGUUGUUCGCCACGUGUUUUUCUCUCAAUCAUCUCCUUUUGCUUCUCCGCGAGCUUAUCCAAAGCAGACGAAACGGCGUCGCUUCCACCGAUCAGCAACCUCGUGACAAUCUCCGGAUCCGUCUCGAACCGCGCCGCCUCGAACUCCUUCCUAGCGUUCUCUCUCAGCACGUCUCUCCACAGGACUCCCCUCGAAUCCGUCCACGUGUAGAACCGAGUCGCGCGCAAUAUGUCCCGGUACAAACUCAGCGCCUCGCGGCGCGUGCUCGUCAGACGCCGCCUGUUCAGAUACUCGGCCUCGUCGUCGUUGAUCAGCGGUGGUUUCUCUUUCUUCGCGAGGUGUCUAUCCAGGAGCUCCUCCAUCGUGUCUGGACCUUCGUGGAGGAGCCGUAUCGUCGAUAGAGCGUCUCUCCGAGAGAUCAGAUCUAUACGAUUUGACAGGUUUCGCCAUUUCUGAAGCUUCGAAGCCAUCGGUAUUGAGAGAAACUUCGUCGUCUCCGAGUGACGACGACGGCAAUAACGUUUCCGGAUGGCAAACUGGGCUCUAAAGACUGUUGGGCUUGUUCGUACGGAUUUAUGGGCCCUUAUAAAGCCCAUAUAAUUUGUAAGCAUAGUCAAUAUUCAUACUAUUGUGACUCGCAUAGUGAAGCUAGCUACUUUGCCUUGCAUGUCCAACAUCCAAGCUAGUCCUUUAAGUUUAGCUCUUUGUGAACCUACACUUUAUCAUAUACAUAAUCUUUUGUUUGUCGUUGCAAUCUAUGUUCUUUCCUGAUGUAGUCCUAAGCUGACAAAGGACCAACAAUAUCCUAGGAUCAAAGUGGUGGUUUGUCCAAUCGAUCUAAUCGACUCUAAAACCGGCUGGAUCGAAGUGAUGAUGAUGAUCUCGGACAAAACAGGGUGUGGACUGAAUCCACAAACAGCCUCAAUCGCCAAUCAAAGAGCCUAGUGAAACCACACAAAGACACAAUGACUUUGGGGAAAAAAAAACUAAGAGGUUUAUUAAAUUUUGGGUAAAAUAUUUGUGUGUUACAAUGAAACAACUAAUGAGCUUAUAUAGUCUCAGUAAAAUGAUUCAGAAAGCUAAAUAAAAUGAGAAAUCAUGCUGAAAUUAAGAAAACUAGCCGUUAGGCUUUUAAGAGAGAAUUUCGGCCAAAAUGGAAAUGUGUUGAGCUGCUUGUAUCUGGACAACUUUGGGAGCUUCUGGUUGAUGAAACAAAUCGCCAUAUCCAAGCUAAGAGUGAAGAAAUAGAGUCUUUGGAUUUGCAUGCAAAUCGGGUCCAAAGAUGGUUAGUAUUGCCUUUUUUUUAUUCCAUGUAAUCUCAAUAAUCCAAUACGGUCUGGUGCAUGGUAGAAACCUUCCAACUGGUCUUAGAUGUAAUGAAUGAUCUCCUGGUCUCCACACGUGAGUUUGAAUUGCACACUUCUUAAGCAAAGAAUGUAUUUCCUUAAAUAGAACCAGUUCGGAUGCAGUGUAGGUAGACUGACUUGUAAAUGGUAUAUCUCCUAAACCAUUAAUCCUUUUGGUAUAAAAACCAAUUCGCCGCGUGCUCUAGUUAAGUUGAGAAUUUAGAGCAAGUGGUUACACGGUUAAACUUCUCAUGGUUGCUGAGAUAUGUUUCUUUGAAUGAACCUAUGUCGCUGCUUGUUCCAAUGUAGCUUGUAUGGUUGAUCUCCUGAGUUGGUGGUCCUGCUACUUGCUUGAGGUCCUCAUCAUUUCCAUCUCUUGCCUAAUAGUCUUUUUCAACUCCUCCACAAUACAACACACUUUAGUUGUAUUAAAUCUACCAAACCUACAUGAACUUUGAACUUUGAACUUUGAACUUUGAAUAUGAACUAUGAUAUCGCCGCCAGAACAAGAACCAGAAGAUGUGAGAAAACAGUCACGUGAGAAACAUGCAAUGAGUUAAUGAAAGAGCAUGAUAGAUUUCAAGGUUUGUUAUUUAGAAAAGAUUUUAGGCUAUUGAAUUUACUGUGGGUUGGUUCGGUACGUUUUUUGUUUGGUUUACCAACCCUCUUUAAUAAAAUUGAAGUUUUGGACAUGGUUUCGCUCGUUGAUAUAUUUGGAAAAAUACUAUUAUAACCAAAAAUUAAUAAGCAUACGUUUUUCAGUUUAUUUUUUACUUUAUCUUUGUUUGUUUCAAGUUUAUUAAAAGUUCGGAUAUGUCACCACAAGUGAGCUGUUAUCUAUGAGCUGUUGUUAUCUAUGUAUAUGCAAGUACUGGCGCAUUGAAGUUAGACUUUACCUUUGUGCUAAGGGCUGAGACUUGAGAGAAAAGUCCAGCUUACUGGAGACUGAUGGUAAAUGUUAGCUGCAUCUGUUGACUAGCAAACCAGGCAAAAAUAAGUACUAGUAAGUAGUAUCAAAUUGUUACCCCCUAAACAAAUAUUUCGCAUGAUUAUUGAAUGCUCCCAACUACUACUAUACGAAUGCCUCGGAACCAUCGCAGUAUUAACUUGUACCAGACAUACACCAAAAUUAAUUAGGUAGCUAUAGCUUACAAAAUAAAAUAAAUAUAGGUGGUUUAGGUUUAGCAUCGUGUUUGAACAACAAUAAUACAAGUGUUCAGUUCUGAGCAGCGGACACCUCUGCAUUGUCUCAAUAGUUUUUUUUGUCUGUUUUGUUUUUGGUCAAUUUUUGUCUGUUUUGUUUCUGUCACAUUUUCGCCGUAAUUUACAAUAAUUACGAGGUAAAUAUUCUUCGAUUUUUUUUUUGUAUUUUUGGGACCACGGACUAUAAUACUAUUCGACUAAUCACACGGAAAAAAGUAAACCAUAUGAUGUUAACCAAAUCCGACCGGGGUUUAAUACUUUCAACGUUCAGUGUCCAUUUCGAUUUUUGCCUGACUAUGGAUUCAGAAUAUGAUUUGGUAAUUAAAUUCACGUAAAAGAUAACAAAAUCUUAUUACAAUACAUUUUUAGUUUCCUGUCCCUGCUACAGUUUCAGGAUUUUUUGGAUUGUAGGAAACAAAACAAAAUUUGAACUUGCUCCAAUUGAUUCAAUGCAUUGACGAUGAGUUCCAACUUCUACCUUACCAUAUGCCUGAUUAUUUUUUGCAUGUGGGUCCAAACUAAUCACCACCGUUUUCAAAGUAUUUUUGGAUUAUUAAGGCCCACAUUAGAGUCUAAUUAGUCAUUAAAAAUUAAAAGGAAAGCUUACUUUCCCAUUUAGCUAGUAGUAACAAACAACAUGCAUUAAACAUUUGAUAUCUAUAUAAGUCGGCCGUAUAAAACACAAAGGUCUUUCUUUCCUUUUAGCUCACAUUUGACCAAAACUCCUCCAAUCCAGACAUCAUCGUUGACUUUUUCAAACUUGUGUUCCUCCUCUCUCUUUCCUUUCUUCAAACAUCUCAUAUAACACAACACCAAGAAACAGAACAAGAGUUCCUCUGUUCCUAUCUUCAAUUUUCGCUGUGAAUCAAUCAAUGGACAGUAAACACCAAACUUCAACUUCAAAACCAAAGAACAAGAACAAGCUCUUGAAGAUGCUUCCCAAAGCUAUGUCCUUCGGACAUCGCGUCCCCCCGUUUAGUCCCGGAAGAGAUCUCCACCACCACCACAACAACACGACGUCGUCUUCUUCCAACAAAGCGUAUUUCUCAGGCCCUAUGGUCCCUUUGGUUCCCAAAGCAGCUCGCGUCCGGAGAAACAAAAGCGACGCCGUUUGGAGCGAACCCACUUCGCCUAAAGUCUCCUGCAUCGGACAGAUCAAGCGCGUCAAGUCAAAACGCUCCUCCUCCCCUAAGAAAAACAUGAUUCCCAAGAUCCCCAAAACGUCGUCGUCUUCUUUAGCCAAAGGAGAUGAAAAAGGUCGUGUUUCGAUGAUCAAGCGUCUCUUCUCGUUCUCCUCGGCGGCUGGAGGUGGAAACUCAUCAAGAAAAUCACGUCCCGCCGCGGCCACUGAACAUCCGGUCACGGUGGUUUCAUCCGCGGCGGUGCCGUCGUUAGGUCAGAUGAAGAAGUUUGCGAGCAGCCGUGAAGGUUUAGGAGGGUUUGAUUGGGCGGUUGAGAUGAAACGGGAGGAAGCAUCUCCGGCUGAUCGUGGUUACUAUUCCGAUGAAGAGAGGAGAGGUGAUUACUUGAGAGACGAUGAUGAUGAAGAAGACGACAUAAUAAUACCGUUCUCAGCUCCGUUGAUGAGUUUGAAACCGAAGACAGAAGUUAACUUGUGGAAGAGAAGAACCAUGGAUCCACCUAAACCACUUCAUCUUCAGACCUAAUGAUUAAAAACUCUUUUAAAUUUUUUCAUCUUUUUCUUUCGUUAUAUAUAUAAGUUACUGCAAAUCAAAUCAUAUAACGAUCAUCAUUACACUGUGAAUCUGAUGAUUAUCAUUUUUCUUAUUUAGUUAAGUUAUGUGUGAAUACCUGUUUGGGUUCAGUUUUGAUAAAUGCCACAAGUGAAAUCUCUAUCUCAGACUACCCUUCUUGCAACUACGAUUACAAAUUAUUAUUUUUUUCUAUUGGUGACAAUGUGUAUGACAACAACCGAUAUCUUCCCACCACCAGAGUGUCCAUAUAUUAAAUGUAAUUCACAACCAUAUUAUUGCUUAUUCAUUUCAAAAUCUUCAAUGGGUAGGUACAAAUCAAUUUAUCUUACCGAAAAGUUAAAAUUGCGCUCCAAUUUCUAGGCCUCGCAUUUGUAAAUAAACAUGAAAUUCGAACCCAACUCAAACAAACAAAUAAACAAAUAAAUUUACGAUUGGAGUUAUAGAAAUAUCCAAAUUAAUUUUGCUAGUAUUUUGGAUUUACUGUACUAACCAAACUCAACCGGUACUUAUAAACUUCUUAAACUAGAACUAUCUAAAAAUGUUCAACAAACCGGACUUAAAAUAUAAAUAAUGGCUAAAAUAAAUAUUUAAAAUCUAGAUAAAUAUUCAGUUUCGUAUCUACUUUCUCUGAUCUGUCUGAAGCGGUCUCUAAACCUUUGCUAUGGCCAGCUCUUUAGUUUCAGGCCACAGAGUUAAGGAAGGAGUUCCAGGUUUUUGUAGAUUGGGAGUUAAGAGUGGUGCUGCCGGCUUCGGUUAGAUGUGCUUCUUUCAUUGCACAGUGUGGUUAACCUUGGGUUAACACAAUCUUAUGUUGCUUCAGGUCACCCUAGAUGGCUGGAUAAGUUCUUUGUUAAUGAAAGAAGCAUCUCUGGCCAAAUAGAGUAGAAGGGGUAUAUUUUGAGUGGUUCUUUUGGAGUUUGGAGGUAUAUGGUGACUUUAGUGUUCUUGGUAGUUGUUUGAGGUUGAUGAUCCUUUUUUUUGGUGAUCCUGAUGGUCUGUCAUCUUUGAACUUGUUAAGAUGUAUGUUUCUUCAAUCAAUAUAUAUCAAUUUGGGAAAAAAAAGAUAAAUAUUCAGUUUCAUGUUUUUUUCGUACAACUCUUAAAAUACAAGAAAUUGAAAUGAGUUUGAAUUCGAAACAUAUCUUAGAGAUAUAUUUUGAUCAAAAAACAAAUCUUAGAGAGAUAUAUUUUCCCAAGUCCAAAGUAUUUUUAACUAAAUUCAAGCCAAACAUCUAUAAAAUUCAAAUAGCUUUCUUUUAAGCUUAGGAUAUUCCAAACCCAUUAAAAGACUUAGACUAAUUCUAAAAAGGUGGUGCGAUCCACGGAUGAACUCUCGUUACUCGGAUUGAAUAAGGUUUAAAACAUGGUUUCAUAUCCUCAUGACCGCAACGUGAAAUGUAGUAAGGUACCUUCAAACCUGAAUUACUUAGCACCUUCGAAUCCGCCUACCAAUAGACCACGACUUUAUAGUUAAAUUCAAAAGUAGCUAAGAAUAUGAACCCAAAAUAUCAUAAAUCCCGAUCGGAACGGAUACUAAAGAGUUGAGGACUACCAAUAAUUUUACGUGCCUUCAAAGAUAAGAAAUAAAACACAAAGCAAAAUCAAACCAAGAAUCACAUGCGUUUUUUUCAUAUUAACCGGUCUCGGAUGGUACAAACAAAACCCACAAAAGCAUUUCCUUUCAAUAAAUCGAGUUUUGAUACAACUUAAUAAGUGACACGGACGCCUGAGUACCGGAGAAUCUCUCCAAUAAGUUCUCCUUUACCGGAACCAACAUACCGCCCACAAAUAUCACCGUUUCUAAUGAACAAGAACGUGGGCACUUCGAUAACAUUCAUGUCCUUUAGAAACUCCAUACAGCUAUCGUUCUCGUCCCCGUUCAUUCUAGCGAACACGAUGGUCUCCGACAUCGACCGGGAAAGCUUCAGCACCGUCGGAUAAACCUUGACACAUGGCCCACAGUGUUUCAGACCGACGUCGAGUACAAUCAGCUUGCCUCCAGUACGGUUCUCAUCAAUAAGCUUCUCCACAUCAGCUCGGCCGUGCAGCUGCACAACCGCCGAGUGGCUGUCUCCGUAAUAUAGUACGUCCCCCAUUAGCUGGUCCGGUCCAAUACCUGCCAAAUUAAACCGUUAUCUAAAUGUCAGCCACUAUACUAAAUGUUAUUCCCUCUAUUUCAAAAAUAUAUAUCUCGCAGUUUUUUGUAAAAAAAACAUAUUAACUUUUAUUAUUAUUAUUAUUAUUUGUGGUUAAUUAUUUUCCAUAAUUUUACUCAAUAACAAUUCAACAAAAUGUCUUAAAAAUGAAAAAAAAAUAUUUUUUUAAUAAGAAUUAUUUUAUAUAACUUCUAUCUUCUUAUAACUGAGGGAGUACUAACACUAACUUCUUGUGUACUUUCUUCCCCUUAGUUCGAGAGAUUUUGUCUAAAGGAAUCAUGAAUAUCAUCUUUAACCAAAGGUUUAGUUCCAAUUUACUAAAUAUUUUUGUCGGGAUUAGUUUAUCUAUGUUAAUCAGUGUAUAGGUAAUUAAGGGGUGAUUAGAGUUAACCUUCUUCCUCGUGUAUUUUCUCCAUGCUCUUAUAAAAGCUGAAGUGAGGAACUUUCUCGAUCUUCUCUCUCCGACAAAGCUCUCUGGUCGUUUCAGACUCAUCACCCAUGACGAGCAAGAAAUCGACGUCGUUACAUGUCCUGCUCAGCUCCACCAUAAACGGAUAUAUCUUGUUGCUCUGAUCACUCUUACUCGUGGCAAACUCCACAACCACAAGCUUGUUCUUGGCCUUCUUAAGCGCUUCGUCGAACUCCUCUCCGCUGUGAAUCUUUUGCACUUUCUCGUCCUUUAUUGCCGGUGUACCCACCUUCCCCGGUGGCGCCGCACCGGCCUUGACCUUCACGGCUGAGAAUCUUCUUUUCGAGGGAUUUUUAACACAGCUCUGUUUUAGGAUCAGUGAGUUGGGUUUGGGGUCGAAGAAUACGAACGAGGAGGAGGAAGAAACGGCGGAUGUUGGCCGUGGAAUCACGGUGGUGAUUCGGUUGGCUGAGAAGUUAGCGACGGUGGCCAUUGUGAGUGUGUGACUAUUGGUUAGAGAUUGGUGAAUGGUAUAAUGUGGAUAGAUGUUAUGUUUUUAAAAAGGACUCAAUAAUUCAUGUCCACUUAUUUUAAUUGUGUGGCUUCUGUUUGCUUUCGAUUAGAUUUUUUUUCUAUGGACCAAACGAAUAUGUGAUUUUGUAGCGAUUGCUGGUUCUUAAAAGAUAUUGACGUUAUUUUGUUUACGUUGUUGCAUGAAGACAAAUAUUUAGGAAAUUUCCAUAGCCAGCCAGGUAAGACUAGUUUAACUGGUUGAUUGCAUAGAGUCAGGGCUGUUCAGUAUGGCAAAACCGAACCGUACCGAACCAAACUAAAAUAGAUAAUAUGGUUUGGAUUUGGUAUAUACCAUACAAACCGAAUGGAUAUGAUUUUUUAAAAACCGUAGGAUUUGGAUAUGGUUCGGUAUAUAACCGAUAAACCGAAUAAACUGAAUAAAACCGAUCAGAAAAUAGAAACAUGUAAAUAUGUAUAUAUUUUAUAACAACGUAUGAAAAUCAUAAGUUAAUUUUUUUGCUAAUAACUAUUACCAUAUUUUUUACACUAAUAAAAUAGUCCUGAUUUGUAAAACACUUGAACUAUAAUUAAAUAACAAUUCAUCGCAAACAUGCUUCUUAUUUUCUUAGUCUUCUUUUGAUCUUUUUGUUUUAAUUUAGCAUUGACGAAAUUGAAAUAAAGAUUAUAAAUUUGAUGAUAACAAUUAGUGGAAAUUCUUCACAAUUUUUUUUAUCUAUAAACUAAUAAAGUUUUGUGUUUAAUAGAAGAAACAUUACUUUGAUGAACGCUAAAUAUGAAAGAAUAUAAUAACUUAUUUUUUGUGCUUCGUGCUUAUGUUUUAUUUUUUGCUUUUUAUUUUUAUUAUCAAAAUUUUGAGCUUUGAUUUUAAUUAUAGAUUUGAUUAUUUUAUUAGAUGAUAGAAACAUUUUUUAUUUUUGUUCUUUUAUUUAAACUUAUAAUAUUUUUAAUAAAUGAAUGUGUUGACAACGAGACUCUAAAAUUCAUAUAAUAUGAUCCCAAAAUAAAGAAUUAUGUUUUUUGGUAUAAAACCGAAUAAAUCGAAAAUCGACGGUAUAUAAAUCGAACCGAACCGAAGUAAAUAUGAAUUUAGAAUGGUAGUUAUAUUUUACUAACCGAAAUACCGAAAAACCGAAAAAACCAAACCGAAACCGAACCGAUAUCCGGAUUGAACACACCUUCAGAGUAUCAAAAGUUUUAAGAUAAUUCUUCAGCUCAGUUCGAAAGGUUUUUUUGACAUAACCAUGUACACGUGUAAUACUAUCAACCUCUCGCUCGAAUAACACUACACAUAUAGUAUGAUGGAAACAGGCUAAUAAAGUAUAGGCCUUUUAGCCCACAUUAAUCAGUAAGCCCAUUAUAGCCUCGACCCAAACUCCUUUUAAUUAACAAAAUUUGUAAUCAAUAGUCAAUACAUAAAAAUCUGGUAUUAAUAUUGUAGGCACGUUCAAAAAAAAAAAUAUUGUAGGCUAGAUGUGGCCAAAGAAAACUCAAAAAACUUAUUUUAAUGGAAUGAAACUUUGAACAAAAUAAAGCAUCGUUUUCUAAGGUAAUACGUCGUAGUGCGUGUGCGACCACGAUGAAUCCACUACCGUAAUGCGACAAACCAUUAACAAAAAAAAAUCAAAAUCAUAGAAUACAUAAAAGAUAAAAUAAAUCAGACGGUUGGCAACAAAAUAAACAAAUCGGACAGCCCACAACUCCCACGACCACGCACGCACUUACCAGCUACCACUACUGUCUAAACCCAACGUGGACACCUACUAACACAUCCUUACUCACGAAACUACCAACCCCUUUUACUUUUAAAAGUUCGAAAGGUAAACACUACACGUGCUAAUCCCCACUAACGCCGGCGCAAUCUACGGCAGAUCUCAACCGUCUAUCUAUUUUUAUCUUACAAAACUCAUCAAACAUCAUCAGGUCCGUUGUUAACCCAAUCAAAUUAAAUAUACGUAAAAAUUUAAAAGUACAGUGAACACCAAAGUGAUAUUAAUACGAUUUUUUUUUUAAAAAAAAAACAAGAUUCUUAAAAGUCAAAAUAGGAAACUGGAAAAAAAAAAGAAACAAGCCUUUGUUUUUGCAUCAUUCAGAAGAAGUUUUCUCUGGUUUUCUACAGAGAAUCAUAUGCAUCGGCGAGAAGAUACCAGUCUCGCCACCUCUAGACAAGUAAUCAGCAGUCUUAAACAACAUCUCAUGAACAUCAACGGUUCCUUUCGGAGCGAUCCCGACAGCAGACAGAACCACAACCACAACAUGGUUCCUCCAGUACGCAACCCGACCCAUCUUAAGCCUGUUCCACCACGGUUUAGCGGGCGGUUUAGCCAAAUCCUUCUCUUGCACGACCUCGAACCCGACUUUCCUCGCCGUCGCAGCGAUGUCCGAGUACUUUCUCAUACCGGGAAGAGCGUCUUUGAUCUCGAUCCCUUGAAUCACCUCCCUGUGCUCUUCGUCGUCGUCUCUGUACUUAUCCGUCGUGACCCACUCGUACGAAACGUACAAAGAUCCGGGCUUCAUCACCCUGUAGAUCUCCGCGUACACUUCCUCCAGCUUGGGAGCGUGACACGUGGCCUCGAUGGAGUAAGCCCCGUCGAAGGAGUUAUCAUCGAACGGCAUUUGUAAAAAAUUACCGCAAACGACGUCGCAUAGAUGGUCCAAGCCCGCUUUUUUAUUGUGGAGCUUGGCCCGUUUCACUUGGUAGUCGUUGAUUGUGAUUCCGGUAACAUGGGCCUUCGAAUGGGCCGCGAUGGCUCUCAUCGGCCCACCGACUCCGCACCCCGCGUCUAGGAUCUUUUGCCCCGGUUUGACUUUGAUGAGAUCCACUGCCAUCUCUUCGUGGAUCCUCGUGGCGUCCUUGUCGGAUUUGCCCGGGAUGGAGGGGGAGAAGUGGAAGGACUGUCCCCAUCCCCACUCGUAGAUGUCGGUGACGAGGUUGUAGAACGUGUCGACGAAGUCGGGGACUUUCUCGGCGGUCUCGAUCUCUUUCGGUUUGCGGAAGAACGACCAGUAUUGGUUGUAGUUGUCUUUGACGUUCUCGGCGGAGAUGGAGCCGCCGGAGAGAUCUAAGGCUCGUUUGCCCUUUCGUUCUGCUGGACCUAAGACGCAGACGAACCAGUAGAUGCCGCCGGCGACUAGGGCGGCGGUGCAGUAGAGCGUCACCGAGUCCAUCACUGUUUCUAAGAGAGAGAGAGAGAGAGAGAGAGAGAGGGUUUACAACUCUUUUAAUUGUGAUCGGUUUGAUGGGUUUUAUAUUGCAAAGAUGUAUGGAAGGAAUCUUUUAAUAAAUUAACUCCUUUUUAAAAUAUUAGUACAAAAUUGGCUUAACGGAAAAUUUAUGGCCCAUAGCGGCAUAGCUAAAGCAUCUCGUAAGUCUUCGCUUCUUGGUCCGCUCAUACCUUGAUCCUUUGAUCCCCGAUCGAGGUCUUCCUCUCUCCGCUUUCAGACCAUUAGUAUUAUAUCUUAGAAAAAAGAAUUUAAAGUAUUUUAAUAAAAUUAUUUAUGUGAUUGAAUUUUAAUAUUUACAAAGAACCAGUUAGAAAUUGACAUAUUUCUCAGUAAUCUUUUGUGAGUUUGAAAAUGAAAAUUACUUUUAGUUUUCUCAUUUUUAUUAUUAAGAUUUUUUAGAUGAUUUUUGAAUAAAAUCCAUUAAUAAUUCUGUUGUUCUUGAUUUUUUUUGCUUGCUAUAUAUUCUUUCCGUUUAAGAAAAAAAUUGAUUUUUUUUUUUGAAAAAUAUGUUUUCUUUAUAUUUUUAAUGGUAAACUAUAAAUUUUAAAAAUAGUAUUUAUAUUUAUCAAAAUUUUAUUGGUUAAUAUCUGUUGUAAAUAGUUAAUUAGCAAAAUAAUAUUUUAAUAAUCAAAAUUUGUUAUAUUUUAAAAAUAUGUGUGGAAGUUUUAAAAUAUAUAUUAAACAAAAACAGAGAGAGCAUUCUUUUGGAGUAAGUUAGUGUUUUGGGGCUCAACCCAUCCCCAGGUCUAAAGAAAGCUGUCAAUAAAUACUCUUUGAAAUAAUAAUUGUUCACCCUACAAUGGAUAUUCCAUGUCCUUCACAAGAAAAUGUUAACGCAUAAUUUCAUUUGUAACUCCUAAUUAUUGAUGAUAACUAACUACCUAACGCAAUUAUGCAUAAGGCACAAAACUAUGUAAUUAAUGUUUGUCUAUGCAGAAUGGGAAGAUGCUGCCAAAAGUCUUGUUAGGCCUUUGCUUCGACACAUUUCAUACAAUUCAAUCACUUUAUGUUUUGCUUGUCAAAUUUUAUAGUCAUAAAUAAAAUUAUGGAGGAAUGAAAUGAUGUAAAAUGACUUAUUCUAUUAAUUCUAAUUUUUAUCAUUUGACAUGAAUGGAAUGAUAUAUUUAUUUCAUCAAUUCUAAAAAUAGAUAGAUAAAAUAUAAAGAUAAUUAUUUCAUAACAAAUUUGGUUAUGAAUAAAUGGAAUGAAUUUAUUUAAUUUUUGAUGUAUUAUGUUUUUAUCAUUUUAUUUCCACAAAUUCUUUAUUGUUUUACCCGUUACAACCCCUGUGAAAUGAAAUGUAAUAAGAUGAAUGAGAUAAAACGAAUGAGAUAGAUCAAAAAAUGGAAUAAAUUAAUUCUAUUUAGCUUUCCUCAAACUAAGAUAAAAUGUUUCUUUUGGACUUGUUUAUAUUUUAAUGAAAUUGAUAAAAAUGACUAUUUCACUUCAUCAUGUUAAAUAGUAAAUAAAUUAAUUGAAUUAUUGAAUAAGCAAUUCCACAAUAUUACAAUCCAGUUAAAGUAUAAAUACUUUUGAAUAUAAAUGUCAUGAAUUCAAUAUUAUUUAUCCGCUAAAACGCUUUAAGAUGAUGAGGUUAUGUGCGUACUUCGUAGAAACACCAUUUACCAUUCAUAUAUUCAGAUAUGCAUUUUUGCUUGUUGGUGGACAAAAUAUCUAAGAUGUUUUCGUUUAGUUAUCUUGAAUACACAUGUAUGUUCUGUGAUCUCAUAUACUUAAAAGCGUACAAACAUUUAUUGCCAAAAAAAAAAAAAAAAAAGCGUACAAGCAUUUCACUGCACGUUGUAGGGUCAGGCCAGCUCCUUGAUCUUUUUUUCUAUAGAAAAAUCUUGUAAUUUUUGUUGUCAUUCUAUAUAUUUCCCACGCUGUCCGUACAACCGAGGACUUUAUUAAGAACUAGUAUAAUGAUGAAACUGAUGGAGUGUACCUGGUCGAUUAGCUGGUCCUUGAACUAUCCAAUUAUUGUUUCUAUUAAAUUAUGGAUUUUGGUAGAUCGGCCAUCUCACAUGACUCGUAUGAUCAUAUCACAUGAGGAUGUGUCUGGCGAAUCUUUAACAGCACCAUGUUACAGCUUGUUAAAUUUUUUACAUUGAUCACGUGAUGUUUUGCGCACACGACAUAUUUAAUGUAGUAGUGACUAGUGAGGACAAUUGGUUCGUAUGAUGCAUAAUACGACAUAGAUCUCCAGCUGUAGAGACAAUUAUGAAUCUGACAUUAAUUUACUCGAUUUAUUCCAGCUGCAGACCAUUAUGAUGCAUUUUCUUUUGGACGUGAGGAUUGGUCAUUUUAUUUCUUUUUGUGUGUUCAGUAUACCACAAAAGUUAUAAUGAAAAUUAAAGUUCUAUACUUUGUGGUUGUGUAUAUAUUUGCUUUCAUAUUUUUUCAAGUAUAUAUAAAAGUUCAAAGUAUAUUAGCAUUCUAUAAAACUAAAGUAUAUAUGUAAACUAUCUUAUAAAUAAAAUCAGUGAAUAUAGUCGGUUAGAUAGUUUUCAAUAAGUAUAUAUAAACAUAUGAAAACAUUUUAUAUUUUAAACAUUGAAUACCUUCUAAGUAUUAAGCUAUUUUGGUAUUCAAAAAGCUAUGAAAAGGUCACUGUUGAGUAUUGACAUGCACGGGCACUGGUAAACGGAAGUUAUAUAAAGUUAGUGCAGACGAAGAUAUGAGUCACACCGUAAAACUCAUCGGCUCAAUCGAAGUCUGACAUUUUAUUUACCCUAAAUAACAAUUUAAAUAUAACUAAAGAUAAAUAUAGUUUAGGGAUUUUCGCCUUAUGGUUGGGAGAGAGGCUGAGUUUAAGGAUUUUAAAAGACUUUCACGAAAAAUAUAGUUUUUCCAACUCGUAUAAACAAUAUAAUUUAUCAACUAGUAUAUACAAUUUUUUAACCACAACCCAUGGACCACAACUAGUAUAAACAUCUUCAAAGAUAAUCUGAAAUAUAUAACUUGGUUGGUAACCAGCUAGCUGCCAAGCCUGCCAUGGGCUAAUGAUUAGUGCCUCAUACAUUCAAUGGGCAUGUGAGUUAGGCUCGGAUCUAAACCUGACCCGAUACUCCCAUAGGCCGAUACUUAUUGACAUCGAAGGAGAUAGAGUCCACACCCCGGUCCACACCAACAAAAUCGAGUUAUAUGUUUGUUAUAUACUUUCUCUGCAUCUUUAACCGCACCAUAUUACAGCUUGUAUUUUAUUUUUUUGCAUUGAUCACGUGAUGUUUUUGCGCACAUAACACCUUUAAUUCAGUAAUGACUAGCAAGGACAAGUUCGUUAUAGAUUGGCCCAAUUUGUACUCCUAUGAAUCUGAUAUUAAUUUACUCGAUUCAUUCCCGCUGUAAACCAUCAUGAUGCAUACAAGAAUUUGUUUUUUUUGAAUUUGCGAUAUUCUUCUAAGAAGGAAGGACAAGUAUGACAUAAAACAUCAUAUCAUGUGGUCGCCUGAUCUCUUUGUAUACAAAAAAAAAAGCGUAAAUUUAUGAUUGGAGCAGUUUUUGUUGGUCACCAAUUGGCCUAGGCCUUGAAAAUAGUGGUAGUUUUAUAUAAAUGGGGCAAGGAUCACACAAACUAUAAAUAUCUCUAACCAUGCGAGGCCUGAAUUGUAUUCGUUAAAGGCCCGGUAUUAGAAAUAGGCCGCGCUGGACCUCUGAUUAAAGUCUUAAUGUGGUAAAGAUACACAACUAGAGAGACAUAAAACAACCUUUAUUUCAAAGAAAAAUUAUUUUCACGUGACACACAAAUGAUCUAAAUUAAUGGCAGCAGCUUAAAAGUACCAAAGAACCAAUGCCAAUUAUGCCAUUACCAUUAAACCAGUAAGUAAUCGUUUGUAUAAAUCCUGUUUUUAUUUUUCAACUCACUCUUCCAGAUUACAAAUUAUUAUGGUUUGUGAAUAAUCAAUCAUCUACCAACCUCACAAUUUAGUUGACGGUGAGCUUUCCGACCAUACCAGCUCCCUGGUGCGGGACACAGUAGAAACUGUAAGAGCCAGGCUCUGUCAACGUAACCUCGUACGUCUCUCCCGCACCAUUGAGAAGCGCUUGCUCGUCCAUCGAGAUCUUGCUCGCGUUCACGCCACUAGGGAUCUCGUCUUCGUCGAACACCACGUUGUGCGGGAACCCUGCGUUGUUCUUGAACACGAUCUUCUCUCCUUUAGCCACCGUGAAGUCGCUUGGUACGAAAACAAGACCACCAUCGUCAGAUCCUAAGAGUAUCUCAAUGGCCAUCGCAUUCCCGGCCAAAGCGAUGGAAGCUGCUGCUGCAACGGCCAUGACGCCAAAAUCUUUAAGAGAAGACUUCACGGAUAGCUUAGGCGCCGCUUUGGAGGGAGAUUUGAUGGCGGCGGUGGAUACCGCCGUGGGUUUGGCGUUGACGGCGAGCUUGAGGCCGGUAAAACAUGGGAAUGCGACGGUAGCUGAUGUAACUGAUGCCAUUUUAUUAUGUUUUGCUAGUUUAUGUGAUUUGUACUAGAAAAUAAAUGACAUAAAAUAAAGGACCUUAUCAGGUUUAUAGAUAAAUUUUGAAAUUUCUCCAAAAAUGGAUUGUGAAGCCAAAAAAGGGUUUUGUGAGAUUUUAUGUGGUGAGGAAAUGAGAGGAAGGCAGAGUUAUCUGCAUGGAAUUGCUGUGAUUGGCUGUUUUAGAUGUUUUGGGAGGUGACAUGGCAUUGUUUGAUAGCCUUGUUUGACAUUUUAUAAGAAAACAAGCUUAGGAGACUUUGAACAUUCCAAGUUUUCAUUUGUAGCUAGCCAAAACUAAUUUGAAGUCACUGAACUCUGAAUUAAGUAGAGCAUUCCCAUUGAUAUAUCAUAAAGGGUCUUUAAAUAUAAUAAAUAUACAAUAAUAUCAUAAUAUAAAUGUACAAGAAAAUAACAAAUUAAUGUAUAAACAUCUUAAAUUUUGUUAUUUAUGUAAAAAUAUUUUCAAAUGAUUAUAUUUCCUGAAUACCUCAAUUUUGGAAUCUAUAUAUAAUUUAUUUAAAUAAACAAUUUUAAUGAAAUAUCAUGGACGGAGAUACUUUAAUUUUCCAACAGUUAUAUCUAAUAAUAAAAAAUAUCGAGAGACUUUUCUGAUUACGAAAUGAAAUAGUCUAAUAAAAUAUAAAUUCCGAAACGGGAAGCUAAUCUUGUCAAGCCUAUUUAGUAGCUUACAGAAUGGGCCUUAAUGGAAUUAGUUUAACAUUUGGACCACUACAAUAACGAAAAGUUAGAAACACGGCGAGACGUUCGAUUAUACAAGAGAUAAACGACGCACAAGAGAGAAACUCCACCGUUUUAAGAAACCAACCUAGACAACCCUGCCGUUUGCCUCGUCAGCAGCACUGAGCCUUAACUUUUCUCUGUACUCGUUCAACUCCCUCUGAUACCUUUCCUUGUCCUCCAAUCCAAUCUUCUGGUAAACCUAAAAGCAAUAACCGGAAAAUUCGGUUAAGUUACCGGUUUACUACAAAUAACCAAUAAUCUCAAACCGGUUAAUCAUGUAAUUUGUUACCAAUCGUUCCUCAGCUGAGAGAUUGCUCCAUGACUCGCCUAUGAUCUUCGUAAACUCUCGUUCCUUGUUUGGGUAAAGAGACUUGAGCUUGCAAUGUUUCUCAGCAAAGAAGAAAUUGUAACCGCUCCGGUUUGGUUUCGGGUAAUUCGGGUCCUCUCUGCGUCUGCUUCUACGUUUUUUACCAGAACGACGUCGUCUCCUCCCAGCUUCCACGUAUGGUACAACGGCACCUAUCGGAUCAGGAGCUGGUGUUGAUGGGCCGGGAUGGGCUGAGUAGUAAAGCACGCCAUUAAGAAUCUCUGAGCCCAACUUAACUUUAACCAGAUAGCCACAGUCGAAUUUGCCUUCAAUUGUACCUAUGGCUGUGAAACUCGACGAACCUGUGCCAUGUAUUCAUAAGUCACAUGUAUUCAUAAUCUAAUUUAAAUAAAAAGACAUUAUCUUAUAGUCGCAUCCGGUUUGGUCCACGUAGUCGGUUUAUUAUCCAACAAAAUCCAAAUAAAUUUGCAUCAAACGUUAUGACGGUGGGACCAUUAUGAACUAUAGGCUAUAUUUGAAAAGUAUAGAGAUGAACAUAAAGAUUUUACGACAAGUACGUAAAGCUAACAAGACAAUCAUCAUCCUAGUGCCCCUAAAUAUAAGUUAAGCAUCUAUAUAAUCAUUGAUUAAUAUUCUUAAUAGACAAUAAAAAGACCGAGUAAUAUGUAACAAACCUUGGGAAGGAGGAGGAUAAGAACUAGUAUAUCCUAUGCUUGGAGGAGUGUAUUCAACGAGAGCCAUCUCCUUGCUCGUUGAAGGAUCCUUGGCAUGAAAUGUAGCUGAGAUAAAUGAAAGACACAUGUACUUGUUUCAUAUAAAUGUAACGCAUGAACAAUCGUUGCUAAAUAAUUCAUAGUUUCAAGAUUAUUACAUUAACUAUAGAGAUAAUAUAAUGAAUCAAAUUCGGGUAAAAACAAUCGUGGACUCCCACGUUUGUCGUAAAAAUGUGUUCCACGAUCAAACCAAUGACUUAAUAUUUAAGAUUUUUAUUUUUACUUAGUUUUUUAGUUUCAAGCUUUUCAGAUUAUCGUCGAUGGCAAACAAAAAAACAACUGAAGUUUUUAGUCUUAGGGCAUCAAAGCAUUUUAUCAAGCAGUUGAAUUCAAAAUGUCUAAGAAAAUCUCUUUUUUUUUUGAAAAGGAGAAAAAUCUAUUUUCGAAGUAAAUAUAGAGUGAAAUAAGAAUAUAAACCUGUGGGAUGAAGAAGAGGACCACGAGCAUUGAAGAGAUGAACUUGUUCGUAAUGGAAGAGAAGAUUGAGAUAAUGUUUCCUUAAGACAAAAGAAGCACUUGUUGUAGUCGCAGAGAAUCUAAACACUCUUCCAACUUCCCUCCAUUUUUUCUCAGUCACAACCUUUAUAAUUCACAUGCAUUUUGAAAACAUAAAUUUAAGACUGAGAAUAAACUACUAGUAGUAUUGAAAAAGAAUCAAGAAGUAAAGUGGUUGACCUUUUCGUAACCUCCCCUCCUCGUGACUUCCACAUACAAAACAUGCAAGUCCAGUUCUUUUCCACCAAUCACAGGGAUCCUUGAAUAAAUCAUUUUAUUAAAAAAACGUAUAUAAAAUAAGUAAAGUUGAUGAUAAAAAAAACUACAUAAAAGUAAGAAUAAGAAUGGUUACAUGAAUUUGGUGGCUAGUAUGGAGUGAAACCGCCUGAUAGUAUCCCAGAAGAGAGAAAGAUCUUUAACAACAUCUUCAUGUGAAGCCAAAGGUUCCGGGUACUCUUUAACCUUCGCCGGAGACGUCGCAGUCGUUUCUAUCGUCGCCUGAGACGGCGUCGAUUCAUUUCCAGAUGACAUAGUUUGAGAGAGAAGAGAAUAUUGUUUUUUUUUUAAAAAUUGUCUGGUCUCUCUUAUUUGGUUUUGGUUUAAGGAAAGAAGAGAAAGAUAACAACUGAAGAUAAGAUUUGUGAUUAAAUUCGAAAGAAAUAUAAAUUAAAUUUUUGCUAGCUAAGGAUUAAAAAGUAACGGACGUGAGGAUUUGUCAUUUUCUUUAUUUUAUGUGUGUGUUUAAUAUAUAUCACAAAGUUAUAAUGGAAAUUAAAAUUAUAUAUACUUUUUGUAGUUUAUAUAUUUGCUUUCAAACUUUUUGUUCUUUGCCCAAAAAAAAAACUUUUUGUUCUUAUUUUCGAGGCGUUUUGAAUGAUGAUUUGUCUGAUGCUACUUAUAUGUAUUAAUUACUUUUUCACAGUUAUUAUAAAUACUGAUAUUAUUACACUUCAACUACGAGCAGUCGAAUUUAGUCACAUCUUUCCCUUUCCAACGUAAUCAAUAAUUCAAGAAAAGUUCAAAUCACUUGCGUCUUAAUUACAUGAAAGUAUACACCUUCUUGCAUUUUUUAACAAAGUUUAUUAAAUUCUUACAUUUUAACAUUUUUCAAAAUAAAUAUGUGCGUUAUAAAAUCAUGGGCAAAUUCUUUUAAAUUGACCAUCUAUGUGAGAUUUGAUAUAUACGAAUAUUGAAAUAGAACCUAUGCACUUUAUACACAUGAUACUUUACAAUAAAAAGUACAAAAAAUGUCUAGGUGAGGCAUCUAUAACUCAUAAUAUCUUAAAUACUCUUUCAUUUCAAAAUAUAUAAUGUUUCUGCUUAAAAUACACAUUAGAUAAAAAGUUCAACUUUUUCAAAAACUUAAAAAGAAAUCUAACAAAUAAAUAAAAGCAGUAAAAUGUAUCUGGUUACAUAUUUUUUAUAAAGUUUGAGGGAUAUAGAAAAGUGAAAAUAUUUUAUAUUUUAAUAUUUGAAACGGGAGAAUUAAAGUUUUGUUGGUAUUUAAAAUUGAAAAUUUGUCACUGUUGAGUAUUGACAUGCAUUGGUAAGCGAAAGUUAUAAAGUAGGAGUACUUAUUAGUGCAGACGAAGAUAGGAGUCACACCCUAAAACUCAUCGGUUCAAACGAAGUCUGACAUUUUAUUUACCCUAAAUAACAAUUUAAUUAUAACUAAAAAAAGAUAAAAUGGUAAAAAAAAAGAAGUAAUGGGCCUUAUGGUUCGGAGAGAGAGGCUGACGUGCGUAUAGGGGAUUUUAUUGUUCUGCUCAUAUGUAACGUCACGUCUCUGCCUGUAGAUUCGUUUCCACGUUUCUUCCUCUCCAUCUUUUUUUUUUUUUUUCCCACCAAAUUUUGAUUUAAUAAAAGGAAACGGGCCAAGCCCAACGACCGAAGCCCAAAUAAAAAGCCCACAUUACUAAUCGGCCAACCAAAAACAAACAAAAGUCUAAGCCCAAAUUGGCUACACCAGCCCAAAGGCCACAUCCUCGAGCCCAGCACCGACCGGCUCUGGAACGCGUGUGUCGAGGAGGCUGAAGCGAGACACGUGUGGAGAUCCUGACCGUCAGUGCGCCACGCAUCGCUCCGCCUCGACCCAACCUUCUCCGCCUCACCAAACCGCCGUACCCAACCGCUGAAAACCUCGUUUCGCCAGAGCUCUUAAUCCCUUCGAGCCUCCACCGAAACCAAAUCUCUUCUUCACCAUACUGAAACCUUGUCGGAGAGCAUCAUCCCACUGUGAAAAGCUCAUCCGACGGCGAAGCUACAAACCCUAAAUCUCACAAACCGUGAAACCUCUUCCGCUCCAUGACCAGAGCCCAUACUCGAGCAAACAAACACCCUCGAGACGCUGAAACCGGCGACGUAAGACUGACGGAGCCUUAACCUCCCGGGAACUUGAGCUGACGACGACGAAGUUGUAGGAACUUCCGCCUCUCAGCGACUAAAACCGGCGGCGGCGGAGCUAACUUAGCCUCCACCUCCUGGAACCGAAUACACAAACAUCAUCACCUCUCCGCUCAUGCAGACAUCCGCGUCUUCACACCAGUGACAGAAUCACCACAUAAGAUGACUGACCAGAGCUCAGGCAAGGCGGAAGCCGGUAGAAUCGAGGAUGAGACACAAUCGGGGACUUUUUGCUGAAGGGUGACGGUCUCCGGCGACGACACGCACGCUCACGCGCCGGCCGAUCGCCGGAGAUCUACUUUCUCUCUCUAUCUACUUUUCUCUCUCCAACUUUGACGGUAAAACUUCAAAUAAAAUUCUAUGUUCUAUAAUAAAAGUAAAUCUUUAUAUGAUGAUGCCAUUGAGGAUCGUAUAAAGCAUUUGUGAAAAAAGCAUUUUGAUAUAAAAGUUACUGGAAUCGUUAACCAAAAUUGUUGAAAAAAACUCAAACACAAACAAUGAUGACUCUUCUAAGAAACCCUGAGAUUAGUUAAGUUACUACAAUAAUGGUGUCUUUGGAGGUCUUGACUUGAGAGUUUUCAUCAUUUUUCUCUGGCUCUGUUGUUUCUUGGGCCUCGCCAACAGUCUUGUAGACAAGAACUGGUUCUGUGUUGUGUCCAUUUCUGCCAUAGUUUAGGUCGGGAUAGUUUCUAUAGUUCAAGGAAUGCAACAAAAGAGCCACGGAUCCAUAUCUUCCCUCGGCAGAGCCUAUAUGAGAAUAUAUAUACUUCAAUUUAAAUGCUUCAGCUUCUUCCUUGUAUGCUUCCAUCGACACUUUUUCAUGACCAACUUCAAAUUGUGUGUUGUUAUAAGCCGUGAAGAAGCAUUCAUCCAAGUAAAGUCCUACUUCUGGCGCCAUUGGUACAGUAAUAUUCACAUCUCUGGUAACAGAAGAUUCAGAAUCAACACCAACAUUGAUAACUAUACACACUAAAAAGCUUUAAAACCAUUAAAAGAAACAAGAAGCUUACUUGCUGAAAGCAGUAUCGAUAAGUGACUCAGGAGCACAGUUCCUCAUGAUAGCAACAGCAAGACCCAUCAUCUUCCGAAUCUGAUGAAGCAUGAAGCUUUGUCCCAAUACUUCACACUUGAUAAAAUCAAUCCCAUCAAGACUAAUAACAGUGUUUGCAGUGAAGGAGAUGAUGGAACGAUUCGCAGCUGGAUCAUCAGCCUUUAUCCUAGUAGUGAAAUUAUGAAAAUUAUACGACCCAACAUAAUAACUCAGUAUCCUAUUAAACCUCUCCUUCUCUUCUUCACCGUAACAAAACUUACUCAAUGCACAAGAGUUGUUCGACGUAACGUCUGACCGAACAUCCAAUGAUUUAGUAUCAAAGCUAUCACCUUUUAACUUGCCCACAACACCAGUGAUCUUGUUCUUACGCCCUCUCUCAGAACACUCGAAACACUUCACAUACUCCUCUCCCGAACCCAAACUAGCCAUCACCGCUUCUCUAUCACGAUGCGUGAACGGAUCAAGAGCAAACACGGGGAGCAGAUACACAUACCUCCUCCGAUCACAGAACUUCUUGGAGCUAAACUUCUCUGGAACACGCCUGUAACCAAAAACCCUAAUCUGAUCAGGGAGAUUAGCGUUGAGCCGAUCCACGAACCCAGGCGGGUCAACGUGGAAUCGACCGGAGACGACUUGUCCCACGGCGCUCACUCCUUUAUCGGUCCGCGCGCACCGCGUGAAGUCGUACUGCUUCGGCUUGCCACGAUCGGUCUCCGUUACAGCUCCGGCGCGAAACAGAGCUUCUUCGAGCUCGCCUUCUAUGGUUUUCGCGCCGGGGUUCCUUUGCAUCCCUAGAUAACCCACGCCGCAAAACGCUAAGAUUAUAGCGACUUUUCUCCGUUCUUCUCCGCCGCCGGAGAAGUCUGUAACGUCGCCGGCGGUGAUGGUGGUUGACAUUUUGAGCUUCUAAUGGUUCUUGGCUCUCGAUCGGGAUCCAAAGUCUAUAUCUUUAGUGACGAGAAGCCAUCGAACGCCUCCAUGGUUCCAGACUUCCUCUGCUGCUACGGUAAUGCUCAAAACCCUAGACGACGACGACCGUGGACAAGAUGGCUACGACGCCGUUUAGUCUCAAACUCCUUUUAAUUGGGCUUUUAAUUUUAGUUUAGAUAUGAGCUUCAUCGCUAAAGCCCAAAAACAUUUCUGAAAUCCGAGGUUAUUACGACGCCGUUUUCACUUAAACCCUUUAACUGGGCCUGUUGGGCCUAUGAUUUUUAGUUACAGGCUUUACAGCUGGAAGGAGAUUUGAUACAGCAAAAUAAUAAAAUAAAAAACCUAAAAAGACAUAUACAUACCUUGUCUUGCUCUGCUCUGGUAAUGAUCAUUUCGCUGUCGGUAUCUUUCUUCUUUGAAUCUUAAACUCUCUAAAACAAGCUUGCCGACUCCUUCUUUCAUCCAGAUGAGCAGCGACGGAGGAGGAUCUCGUCGCAUCAGAUGGCUGCUAGGUUUCGGCUUCUUCGUCCAAGGAUUCAGAGGCUUCCCCUGGCUCGGAGCCAAUUUCUUCCUCACCGACGAGCUCCGCGUCAAUCCUUCAGUGUUACAGCUUCUCCAGAACUCCGCUAAUCUCCCAAUGGUCGCUAAACCAAUAUACGGUGUCGUUUCGGACGCUGUCUACUUCUUUGGCCAGCACCGUGUCCCUUACAUCGCUUUUGGAGGUAAAUGAAAUAUACUAAUUCAACACCGAUCACUUUGACUCAAGUGGUUUGAUUCUUUAAACGGUGUCGUUUUAUGUUUUUUUUUCUCUGUUUUGCAGCGUUGCUACAAGCAGUCUCAUGGCUUGCGAUAGCUUUCUUGGCGAGGUCGAACGUGUCGAUAUUAGCUUUAUCGCUUUAUCUUCUCCUUAGUAACCUCGGCGCUUCGGUUGUAGAAGUAGCUAACGAUGCUAUCGUCGCCGAGGCCGGAAAGCGAAAGAGCGCUUCUUCAGGUGAGCUGCCUUCGUUCGUUUGGAUGGCUUCUUCUCUCGGUGGGAUCCUUGGGAACCUCUUAGGUGGAAUCGCUAUCAAAACGUUUUCCUCUCAGUCGACGUUUCUAGUGUUCGGCCUCUUAGCUCUUCUUCAGUUCUUGGUAACUUUAAACAUCAGAGAAAAAUCUCUAAACCUUCCGGAGAAUCAUUCUCCUUCUGGUGGUGGUGGUGGUAUCAAGAGCCAUGUCUCUGACCUUUCGCGCGUGCUGAGGAAGCCGGAGAUCUCUUACUCCAUAGCGUGGAUGGCGUUGUCCACCGCUCUGGUUCCUGUUCUUACCGGGACGAUGUUCUUUUACCAGACGAAGAUCUUGAACAUGGACGCGUCAUUGUUAGGAAUAUCCAAGGUUGUUGGUCAGGUUGCUAUGCUUCUUUGGGGAGUUGCUUACAACCGUUGGCUUAAAACGACUUCUCCCAGGAAGCUGAUCGCAGCCAUUCAGGGAACUAUAGCUGUCUUCGUGGUGUCGGACCUCUUGUUCGUGAGAGGAGUGUACAGAGACUUGGGCGUGCCGGACUCUGUCUACGUGCUCUUCGUUUCGGGGAUAUUGGAGACUUUGUUUUAUUUCAAGAACCUGCCGUUCACGGUGUUGAUGACGAGGCUGUGUCCUCGCGGGUGCGAAGGGUCUCUCAUGGCGUUUGUCAUGUCGGCCAUUGCGCUCGCGUUUAUAGUCAGCGGGUAUCUUGGGAUCGUUCUCGCGUCGUUUGUGGAAGUGACGGUUGAUGAUCACUCGGGGUUUGCUGGUGGAUUGGCGGUAGAAGCGGUCUGCGUUGUGGUUCCGCUGGUGUUCACCUCGUGGAUAUACGAUGAGGAGGAGAAGAGUAAAAAAGGAAGAAUGAGUUAAUUUAAAAACUUUUAUUUGUACAUGUUUGUGACAUUUCCUCAUGGCUUGUGUUUUCUUUGAUUUCGCCUCACACACAUGUGUACUAUUUUUUUUUAGAACCGGGAAACUCAAAAUCCACAAGAUCUGAACCGAAUCAAACCAAAUUAAACCGAAUACCAACCAUUCUCUCAGACCAUUAGAUCACACAAGUUUGCAGAUUAGGAAGAAAACAGGGAAAGACACAACCGCUGCUCAUCUCUCUCUCUAUAUAUAAAUAUACAAAAGUGUGAAACUUUCAAAAUGAUUCUUCUUCAGGAAUGUAUUGUCCUUGUCCGUGUUACAUACAGACCGCGUGUCAUACGAUCUUAAUUAUUAAGUAAUCUCAGGAGUCAACGCGUGUCUAGAGUUUUCUAAUCAGAGGACGAAUGAGAGGAAACUCAAACAUCUAUCUGUAGAGAGGCAAAAAGUUUAUCUCUUUCAAUGUGAGAUUGAUUCUCCACUCAAAAAAAAAAAAAAAAAAAAAUUCAACCUUUUCCGGAAGAAGGUAUUGUAUUCUGCAACUGGCUCAUCAUCUAUCUGUUAAUCCUCUACGCGGAAUCGAAUCUUCUACUUUGGUUUUGCUCCGUUUGUUACUUUGUUUCCUCUUCAAUCUUCAUUGUCACCUUUUUAGAAAGUUCUAUGUUUUGUGUGUUUGCGGCCAAAAAUUGUUUUGACUUUUGAUUCUGAUUCUUUAAGGAUCAUUACCUGUUCGAUCACUUCACGUUCCUUCUUUCUGCUAUAUAUAUGUAUAUGCAGGAGGAUUGUUUGUUUUAAGUGACUUUGUAGAAGCACAUCAUCGCAAGAUUACAUAGCUGUGUAGCUCUUCUUUCUCUUUCCCCUUGGUAUUUGAUCUUCCUUUUGUUCUUUAAAUCUAGAGGUUUUUGCUUUGUGUAUGAUCAGAUAGAUUAAGUCUUCAUUCUUAGUUUUUGCUAUUGUUGCAUUUAUCCCUUCCUUAUGCAAAUAUGGUUGUCUUUGCAGGCGAUUAUUAAACUUUGAACUCAUUUCUCAGACAUGGGCUACUAUAACAAUGUAAGUGCCCCUUUUCGUUUUCUUUCUUGUUAUCAUCUCUCGUUGAUUUAUUUAAAAGCAUGUUACUUUGAAUUGCAGGUCUUUGAUGGAUGCAAUGACCAAACUGAUAUCGGUAUGUUCAUUAACCUUUAAUCACCAAAUAUUUAAUAUAGUAUUUAGCCUUGUCCAUGAGUGUUUCAGUUAUAAAAGCUGCAACCAUUAAGUCUCUUGCUUCUCUAUAUAUCAGGUGCGGUUAUGCGUGAUGGAAGGGAAGUCAUUCUCCAGGUAAGCUCCUCAUCUUCUUUUUCGACAUUUUUAAGUAAACGUUCAAUCUUUUUUGGUUUGGAUCCUAAGAGAAAAACUCUGUUUCAGGCUUAUAACUGGGAGUCUCAUAAACACAACUGGUACAAAAACUUGGACGCAAAAGUUCCAGACAUCUCAAAGUCAGGCUUCACUUCCGCGUGGCUCCCACCACCAUCUCAGUCUCUUGCACCAGAAGGUUACCUUCCACAGGACCUUUACUCGCUAAACUCAGCAUACGGCUCCGAGCACCUCUUGAAAUCCUUGCUUGGCAAGAUGAAACAGUACAAAGUCAGAGCUAUGGCUGACAUCGUCAUCAACCAUCGCAUUGGCACUACGAGAGGACACGGUGGAACGUAUAACCGCUACGAUGGGAGCUCGCUACCGUGGGAUGAACACGCUGUCACUUCGUGCACCGGAGGAAAAGUGAGUCGGUGAUGAUGAUGAUGAUUCAUCUUUCACAUGUUUUUUUUUUUUAACAAUCACACGCCAUCCGGGUUCGAGCUUUGGCCACAACGAUUUAACAUUCCUUCCGUUGAGGCGCUGGAUCCCUUUCGGGGAUAGUUGGGAAUGUGGCUGCCCAGAUACCAGAGUUAUCAAAAAAAAAAAAACAUUAGAGCGUUUAAAGAAAAACGUUUUUUUUUAUUUACAGGGGAACCGAAGCACGGGAGAUAAUUUCAAUGGAGUUCCGAAUGUUGAUCACACUCAACACUUUGUUAGGAAAGAUAUUAUCGGUUGGCUUCGUUGGCUGCGUAAUACAGUUGGGUUUCAGGACUUUCGUUUUGACUUUGCUAGAGGGUAAGGAAGGUGUUUUUGAUUAUCUUGUUUGUUUGUUGUGUGGAGGAGUUUUUUUUUAAAUGCGAAACUGUGUGUAGCUAUUCAGCUCAGUAUGUGAAGGAAUACAUAGGAGCAGCGAAACCGUUGUUCUCGGUUGGUGAAUGUUGGGAUUCUUGUAACUACAAUGGUCAUGGUCUUGACUAUAAUCAAGGUUUUCAUAACUCUUCUUCUUUCUUCUUCUUAUACCGUUUUAAAUGUUUUCACAAGUGGUUUCGAUCAGUCAAUACAACUCUGUUUUUACCAGUGUUCUAAAAACCGGUCUAGACUGUCAAAUGGGGUCUAAACGAAACAAUUUUUCUUGAACCAUUUUUAAAGUUGGUUUAGGUGUUCUAAAAAUCGGUCUACGCGUCUGCCUGAUCAAUAAUCCCUUCUAAAAACGUCUAAUUACCGGCUAACCAUUUCUUGAACAUUUGUGUUUACUGUUGUUGGAAUGAUAACAUUGUUUUUAUUCCUUCUUUGUAGAUAGCCAUAGACAGCGUAUAAUCAAUUGGAUUGAUGCCACGGGACAGCGUUCAGCUGCAUUUGACUUCACCACUAAAGGAAUCCUGCAGGUAUAUAUGCAUUGUUCGUUUCAGCUCCUUGUGUAUAUGAUUCAUAGUUUCUUCAUUUUGUUGAAUCUCACAUGUCAUUUGAUGAUAUACUUUUAGGAAGCUGUGAUGGGUCAGUAUUGGCGUUUACGUGAUGCACAAGGGAAGCCGCCGGGAGUAAUGGGAUGGUGGCCUUCAAGAGCUGUCACCUUUCUUGAUAACCACGACACUGGUUCUACUCAGGUUAUUAUGUCACAUAAAUAUAUAUUCUAUGCACUUCGGUUUAUAAACAGAGUCCACAUGUUUGCUUACUUUUUUUUUUUUGGUUGCUCUCACAGGCUCAUUGGCCUUUCCCUUCACACCAUAUUAUGGAGGUAAAGAAGUUCUCCAAACAAAACAAAAAAACACAAUCACUUCCUUGCGUUUCGAGUUUUCCCUAAUGGAGGUAAAGAUGUGUGUUUGUGUCUUUGUAGGGCUAUGCAUAUAUACUUACGCAUCCAGGCAUCCCAUGUGUGUUCUAUGACCACUUCUAUGAUUGGGGAAGCUCGAUUCAUGACCAGAUUGUCAAACUGGUAUGUUGUUCACUUCACUUCAAUCUCUCUGGUUAACCUUUAGUACCACGAGCUGAUAUUUUCAUUCUGUUCUUUCCUUAUUGUUCAUUUGACAGAUUGACGUUAGGAGGCGACAGGAUAUUCACAGUAGGUCAACGAUCCGUAUUUUGGAAGCAAAGUCUAACUUAUACGCAGCCAUUGUUGGUGAGAAACUGUGCAUGAAGCUUGGAGACGCCUCUUGGUGUCCUUCUGGUAGAGAGUGGACUCUAGCAACAAGUGGUCAUCGCUAUGCCGUCUGGCACAAGUAAACCUUUCCCUUCGUCUCGAAGGUCCUGGCUCCAUAUAAAUAAACUCACUUUCUAUCUUGAAUUAAAUUAUUUAAAUAAUGUCCGUUACCUACAUCUCCAUGACGCCAUAUGUUACAAGUUAUCUACGUAUGUUCAAUUUAUAAAGUGAGCACUAUUGUGUUUUGGGUUGACUCGUGUUUGUUUUCCAAAAUAGUCCAAAUUGCAAGAUAAUACCCAAAAGAAUUGAUUUUAAAAGCACAUGAUGAUGUAAAUUGCAAUGGGUUUUGUUAGUAGGAUAAAAACACUUACUCUAUGCUAUUAGUCAAAAGACUCAAAACCAUAUAGAUGUAUAUAUAUUCUACCCAAAGGAUAAAAUAGAAUGUUAAAGAAAUACAAAAUAAUAAUACGCAAGUUAUUGGUGGCCACUAGAGUAGCGCUAGAGGAGCCGAGAAACAGCUGAUGUGUAUAUUAUAUAGUAAUAGGAAUUCAUGAUUCUUAUUUUGAAACUUUAACAACAAAAGCCCUAUACCCUUUUUUGCCUUGCAGCAUAUCAUGUCUUAUCGUUUGAGGUUGGACCCCGCACACAGUCUUUUCCAACUUAUUUUCUUAUAUAUUGGACUAGUUUUGUAUGUUGUUUCAAUCGUGUAUAUUUAAUAUAUUCAAAACUUGGGAACUGCAUAAAGAACAAAAUCGAUUCAAUCAUGAACACCAUUCUGGCUUCACGUGACAUGCGGGGGGUUAAAAGAUCUUAUACUAAUUUUUCUUCUUAUUUGUUUAAUGGUUAUGGACUAGCUACAAGGCUCAUUACUACUUUGAUAAAGCAGAUAUAUGAAACGAUAUGAGAAAAUAAGCAGUUGUUAACCAGAGAAAACGAUGUUGAUGAUGAUGAGCAUGUGAUAGAGCGAGAAUGUCCCGUCUGUAAGCAGUCCCAUCAUGCAGCUAACGUCUAAAUGAUAUAGGUUUCGAAUGGUAGAAACAGUUCAAGCAGGACAGAUCAAGCAGAUCAUGCUGAUCAAGCAGGACAAGUGCAGAUCAAGCGGAUCAUGCAGAAGAGAACCAUAUCAAAUAAUUUAUUGUAACUUAUGAAUAACAAAAUCAGUUCAAAACUAUAGAUCAUAUAUUAAAACAAUAAAAAUGACACUUAGAUAUCUAAACAAAUAUCUUAGAUGUUAUAGGAUCGGCCGAAAUGCCUGUAAAUGUUUUAUAAGAUACUUAUACUUCUUUUAUUUUCUUAUUUAUAAAAAUUAAAUAUUAUAUGACAAAAAAUAAUAAGUAGAGAAUGAUAAUUUUGUAUUGUUAAAGUUGUAAAUAAAAUAAAAUAAAAAUAUUGUAUUCAUAAAAGUAGAUAUAUAUAUUUUUAAAGUUAUGUGUUGUAACAAAGUUAUUUAUUGACAAAAAAAAAAAAAGCAGAUCAACACUACCAAAUGUUGGCGGAUGAGACAAAAAAUAUUGAACUGCAUGCAGACCUCCCGCUUGAACUGUUUUUACAAACAGAAAAUGGUGAAUGGUGAAUGCAGUGCGGGAGAACUGUAUGUGCAGGAGAACUGCACUUGUCCCACUCCUCCAUUCGGACACAUAGACCCCAUAACUUUUGCUGUAUAAAGAGAAUGUCCCGAAGAUGGUGUACAAAAGAAAACUUUCUAAAAGCAAACCAAAAGAAGUGUUGACGUUUUUUGACAGUCGAGUUCUCAUUUUCAUGCCUUUAAUCUGAAAAUCUAUUAACGUUUUUACUUUGAUCGUUGAUCGAUCAAGCAUGAAUAACAUUUUUUUAAAUAUCUCUGUGUAUCGUAUAUAUUACAAAAUCGUAUUUUGUUGUAAAAACACUGUGACACUGUUAUACUUUACUAUUCUAGACACGAUAUCCGAAAAUUCAUGUAUGUAUAUGUUCGUCUUGUCAUGAAUUUUUAAAAUAUCAAAGCGUGUGUAAAUAGAUCGAUGGCUUGUACAUGUUAUGGAGAGUACAUGUGAUCAGACAAUUCUUAAAUAGUUUUAAAUUAAUCAUACCACUGAGUCACUGACUAUUCCACAAACCCGACGUUUCAUUUUUCUGCUUUUUAUUCUUUAUAAACUCGAUUUUGUCGAAAGAGUAUUAACUUCGUUUUACCGAUUAAUUCAAAUUCAAACAAAACAAAUACGAAACCUAGUUGGUCAACCUGGUUCAUAUCUUCUUCAACAAAACUGUAUUAUACCCGUUCAGACUAACUUUGAAGAUUCAGCUUCUUUCUUUUGUAUAUAUAUAGUUCAUAUAAUUACAAUGAUUUUAUUAGUGACUAGGCAACAAGAUAUUACAAACGUAUACGACUUGCAUUCCUCAAAGAAAUGAAUAAAAUCCAACUAAAUCAACAUGUCAUUAUUAUCUACUGAAAUGUGGUUUAAUGUAUGAUGGUUCGGUUCCGUGAUUUAAAAAUGUUGAUGGAAAGUUAGUAAGAUGUGGGAAUUUAAUGGAGAGACCUGUUUGGGUGGAGUGGUAGAUUUUGAGGCAAUAAAUAGUGGGGAAAAUUAUGAGUUGUUGCAGUUAAUGCACGCAAGGCAUGCAAUGUUUACUCAUCCAUACUUCUAAUAAAAAGUUAAUUUUACUGGAGUGUGUUCCGUUUAUUAAGAAAAUACUGUAACCAGUGAAUAAAAUAAGAAGAAAACAAGAUUUCAAAACAAAUUGUCACAAGGAAUAAAUGAGAAACUUUGCAGGUUGUGGGAGUGAUGAGUGCGACAUAUCAAACGACAGAAGGGAAAAUACGAUCUUAUAAUAAAUUAUGAAAUGAUGUCAUUUUAAUUGUAUUUUUUCGUCAUUUGAAGUAAGAAAACAAACAGGGAUGGACCUUAUUCUUGAAUACUUUAUGGAGUAAUUAGCGUAUCAUGGUUAAUUACUAGGUUAAAAGGAACUUAUCUUAUUUCUAAAAUCUGUGGAAGUAUUUAGAUGAGCCUAGGAUUCUGCAAUCCACUCCAUGGUGGAGUAGUAAAUGGACCCAUCAGUUGGAAGUUGCCUCACACAGAAGUCAGAGCUUUGUUAAUCUUACAUGAUUCUCAUAUCUCAAGAAUAUAAUAUAAUACGAGUACUUUAAAACAAUUACUUCUCUUUUGUAGUAUUUCUUAAUUUUAAAGUUUCCAUAUAUACAUGGUAUAAAGUAUAAACAAAACAAUUUGUAUAAAUUCAAAAUGUUUUGAAAAUCACAAGAAGCUAAACUCUCUUUAUCUCUCUCUUUCUAUUAGCUUCCUAUUAAUUUGGUAUGGGUCGUAAUAUGUCCAAGUUCGGAUGAGAGUUGGGAAGAAAAGAUACCAAGCUUGUAGGUCGGACCAUUUAUCGAAUCAAACAACUCCUAUCAUCGAAAUUUUGAUAAAAAUUUAUUCAAUGAUUGUUAUGGACGCACGCAACUACCCUAUUAAUAUCGGGACUCAAAUGAGUUAAAGAGUUAUUAAACUUGGACUCUCGUUGACAAUUUUGUGUGUUCUACAACAAGGUUGUGACUCGUUAUUCUAAAUUUGCUUGUAACAUUUGACUAUCUUCUUUACGAUUAUAAUUUUGUUAUCCAGUUUGUAACUUCUUAAUUAUAUUUUGUCAGUUCAGUGGCAUUAUAAAUUAAUAACCAUAGUCAGCUAGAAAGCGUGGUGCCAUUUAACUUGUGGUCCGGACAAAAAGUAUGAAAAGGAAGAAGAAAACGAACGGUAGGCCGUAUGCAUAAAAGAGAACCCCGUAGUUUCUUUUGUCAUUAAAAAAAGAGAGAGAAACAACCAAAAGAAAAGUAAAACAAAAAUCCAUAGAAAUUUGUUUAGCUUAUAGUAUUAGGUUUCUGUUUUCAUGAUAUCUUCUUCGUAUAUAGCAUCUCUCUCUCUCUCCCUUCACUGUUUUUCUGUUCAUAGUUGUUAGAUCUUAUGUCUUUUCGAAUCUGAAUCUUUAAACUGAUCUCCUCACCUUUUUGAUUAAACCCAUCCAUAUAGUUUCCAGCUUUCGAGACGUCUGUUGUUCGAUCUUCUCCGUAGCUUUGUGACAACAGAUUCUAGGGUUUGGUUUCUUUUUUUUUUCUUAAUAAAAUAUUUAUCAGUUCAUAAAUUUCUUGCUAUACAACUUUUUUUUUUUUUUUUUUGGUCACAGUUUCUUGCUAUACAACAAUUCUACAUAUACUAUCAUAGUAUCAUUAAAAGAAACCAUCUGCUUCUUUCUCUACCUCAUAAAUACUCUCUCACUAUUGUUCUAUCGAUCUAGGUUUUUGCUUUAUCUUUUGUUCUCUUCUUUUAUGUUGAAACACUUUUUGCUCCUUGCCGUAUAUAAAAGGUAAAGUUUGGAUCGGUAACCUUUUUGAUCAUGUGGGUUUGACAAAAGAAUUUCUUACAGAGUUCUUUGGCAUUCUGUCCACCUCCUUUCUGAAUAUAUUUGUGUAUAAGUGUACGUAACCACGUUGUGUUUUGUGAGAGGAGGUGGGCAUACUGCCAAUAGAGAUCUGUUAGGGUUUCUUUGUAAAACCCCUCAUGAUUUGAUGUAUUCAAGAUAGUACAUUGGCUCAUCAUGGUAAUCAAGAUCACUAAGACCAGAGUUUGAAGAAAAAUGGUAUUAUCUCUAAUUCACUUAACCUUAUUAUAUGUGACCGUCACUUCUUUUGUUCGAUGAAGUCAUUUUUACACAUUCCCUAUUUCCUUUGAUUUGAUUGAUCUCUCGGAGGUCUUUUUUUUUUGCUUGCCUUUGUCGUUUAGACUGGAGAGUGCUCUAAUCUUUUGUUGGGUUUGUAAGAUUUAUCACGUUCAUCACUUGAUUGUUGGAUCCUCUACAUCUCUUAAAUUCUCAAUGGCGGUGACCGGUGUGAGGUUAAUUUGGGAGUAGUGGUGGCGUUGGAGACGUUUACAUCAUCCAGGAAAGGGUAAAAUCAUUAAAAAGAGGACCCAUUACUCGAUUUGAGAUAAUAUGAGAAUAUUGUUGUGAUGGAAAAGGAGAAUUUGCUCUACCUUUUUAUGUUUUUGAAGCCCACACAAUGUUAUUAUGAUGUCUUGUUUUCUUGAAGUUGGAAUCUAUAUUUAACUGGUAACUAGUGUUUAUAUGUAAAAUUGCAUGUUUCUAUGUUUUGUGAUGGUAAUGUUUAAUCUGUUAACAUGGUUGGAGAAAAACCAAGUUCAAACUUAAAAUAGUUAUCGUUGUUUUCUUUUGUAAGUUGGAAUGUAUAUAUAUAUGUAAAAUAGCUAUCGUUUGUUUUCUUUUGUAAGUUGGAAUGUAUAUACAGAUAUGUGAUGAUAAUAUAUGUUGAAUCUUAACAUUCUGAUGAGUAGUUUACGAGGUAUUUAGGCUCUGCGAUAUUGUAGUCUUUUAAUUGUUUUGAAAAAAAGGUUUUUGUUGCUAAUCCAAAAUAGAUUGUCUUUAUACUUUCUUAUUUCUCCUUGCAUUGUAGUCAUCAACUUAUAAAACGAAAAUGAGUCGAAAAUCCUAUAAAUUUAUCUCCUUAAUGGAAUUUUUUUUAUUAAUUAGGUUUUAGAUGGUUCGAAACUGUUUUCCAAUUAUCGAUGGCAUCAGAUUAACCAAGAAGUUAGCUGUUUUAAUGAAGGAUGAGAUGAAAUCAACCAAAUGAACCGAGUUAUAUAUAUAUAUAUAUAUAUUACAUGGUGUUUUAUUUCUGUGUUUUUUUUUUGAAUCUUUACGCAGGCAAACUAACCUAUGGAUGGGUAAUACGACUUUACGUGACUGAGUAGACAUGUAUAAUGCACGACGUCUUCGACGUGCCUACGGUUCUACAGAUUAAAUAAGGAAUACUAUAUUUUAUUUAUUUAUAUACUUUACCUUUAAUUUAAAAAUACUAUUGAAAAUAAUAAAUGAAAAAUUUACAGUUCAGCUAAACCUUUCCCUAGUAGCCUCAUCAUUGGAACUGUGUCAGUUCCAUUUAAAUCAUCCUUUCAAGGCAAUCUCCAACUUUUUUUUUUUUUCCAACUUUAUUAUAUCUACGCUUCGUAGCUAUGCGCGCGUGACUCGCGAUUUCCUGUGACGCUAUAGUCCGUUUCACCGUUCCCGUUACGUAGGUCAAAGUUAUUAGUAGUAUUAUAUUACUAUUCUCUCGUUCAGUCAAAUCGCAAAGACUCCAUUAGUUGCUUUCUAUGUGGGAGUCUAUCGUGUAGAGUAUGAUUAGUCUUCUGCAAACUGCGUGAACAGUAUUUAAUGCAAAAAACAAGAAAACAAAUUGCGGUAGUCCAAAACCUACUGUUAAGCCUAAACGGUGAAAAGUCUGUGUCACCAGUGUUUACAUGUUUCAACACAAAAAAAACGAGUGUUGAUGGGCUUUUAUAUAAUGGACUCAAGCUUAAUAUCACCUUGUCGUUGUAAAUAUGGGCCUUGGGUUCUACUAAAGCCUUUUUAAAUAUAGUUCCACAUCAUCCUAUGCAUCAAUCUAGAGAAGACCGAUGCUGAAUGCGUUUGCACAUCACGCGCGUUCUCAGAUUCUCGCGUUUGUAACAGUCCCAGCAAUCCAUUUCCGCUUCACGCGCCGCCUCCAUAUAAAUAUCUUACGCAAAUCUUCUUCUUCUUCUUCUCUUCUCCUCCUCAACGAAGCCUUCUCCAAUCGACGCGUGUCUAAUUCUCGUCGUUAUUGCUCGUCGCCUUCUUCUUCCCGUCCCAGCUCAGCGAUCAUGGGAUCUUCUUCGGUGCUAGGCGAGCUACUACACUAUCCUUCAGCUCGGCGCGAUGAUUCCGUCGUCGAGGAUUAUCACGGCGUCAAAAUCACAGAUCCGUAUCGUUGGUAAGCGUUUCGCUCUCACCUGGCUGCAUUCGUUUAGGUUUGUGAGAUUUUGAAUCACAUUUUGGAUUUUGACUUUUGAGAUUGAUGAUACCUGGAUUCGUUAUGGAUUGUGUGAUUCGAUAGGUUAGAGGAUCCUGAUGCUGAAGAAGUGAAGGAGUUCGUCGAUAGCCAAGUGAAACUGACUGAUUCCGUGCUUGCCAAGUGCGAAACGAAGGAGAAGCUUCGUGAGAAUAUAACGGCUCUGUUUGAUCACCCGCGCUACGAGUCGCCGUUCAGGAGAGGGGAUAAGUACUUUUACUUCCACAACACUGGUUUACAAGCCCAGGAUGUGUUGUAUAUGCAGGUGCUUUGUUGAGCUCUGUAUCAUUAGUACAUAGGCAUUUAGCUUGAGCUUCGUUUUCUCAUUGACUUUGAUUGCUAUUGUGAUCAGGAUGAUUUGGACGCUGAGCCGGAGGUUUUGCUUGAUCCGAACACUAUUAGUGAUGAUGGAACUGUGGCGUUAAACACCUUUUCUGUUAGCGAGGAUGCUAAGUACUUGGCCUAUGGUCUUAGUUCUAGUGGUAGUGACUGGGUGACGAUUAAGCUGAUCAAGAUUGAAGAUAAGAAAGUGGAGCCUGAUACUUUAUCGUGGGUAUGGUGAUUAAGCCGGUACUGAUUAGUGGUAUUGAUCAUUAAAGUUCGACCAACAAUAGUGUGAUAUAUUUUAUUGAUCCUUUUGUUUAACAGGUUAAGUUCAGUGGGAUUACAUGGACGCACGAUAGUAAAGGAUUUUUCUAUGGUCGCUACCCUGCCCCCAAGUAAUUCACUAUAUAAUACUUUAUUUCUGGACAAGAUGUGUUGGAAGAAGCCUUUUAGUAUAGUUCAGAUAGUUUUGCUGCUUUGCGCGUCUGAUUUGUUUUUCUUGUGCAGGUAUGGAGAGGAUAUUGAUGCUGGGACUGAGACUAACUCCAACCUAUAUCAUGAGCUGUAUUACCAUUUCAUUGGGACAGAACAGUCUCAAGAUAUCUUGUGCUGGAGAGAUUCUGAGAAUCCCAAUUAUAUGUUCGGAGCUGAAGUCACUGACGAUGGGAAGGUAACACAAGCAGUUCUUAUCUUGGGUUCUUUAACUUUUGAUUAAGCUCUUAAACUCACUUUUUCCUAUUGGUUCUGUAUUAUUUAUCAGUUAUUUUUAUCCAGAACUUCAGUUGUUAGUUUUUGGCUCCCAUUUAUAUAUCAUCAUGUUGUACCUUCAUGCAGUUUCUAAUCAUGACCAUUGAAGAGGGUUGUGACCCUGUCAACAAAUUGUACUACUGCGAUCUGUCUUCACUUUCUGGAGGUCUUGAAAGUUUCAGAGGAAGCAGCAGUUUUCUUCCGUUCAUUAAGCUUGUUGACACACUUGACGCACAAUAUAAUGUUAUCUCAAAUGAUGAGACACUGUUUACUUUCCUGACAAAUAAAGAUGCGCCUAAGUACAAAUUAGUCCGGGUUGAUCUGAAGGAACCAAACAGCUGGACUGAUGUUGUUGGAGAACAUGAAAAGGAUGUCUUAGCGUCGGCUUGUGCAGUCAAUGGGAAUCAACUGGUCACAUGCUAUAUGAGCGAUGUUAAGCACAUUCUGCAAAUUAGGGACAUGAAAUCUGGCUCUUUGCUUCACCAAUUACCUCUAGAUAUUGGUUCAGUAUCUGAUGUUUCUGCUCGGCGCAAAGACAAUACGUUCUUCUUUAGCUUUACUAGCUUCCUCACUCCCGGUGUGAUUUACAAGUGUGACUUAGCCAAUGAAGCUCCAGAGGUUAAGGUAUUCCGAGAGGUCGCUGUACCUGGAUUUGACAGGGAGGCGUUUCAAGCCACUCAGGUAACACAUUUUCUUGUAGCAUCGUCCUAUUUCUUACAUAAUUAUUUUUGCUGUGCGUAUGUUAAGAGUUGCUUUUGGUCCUGUUCAUAGGUCUUCUAUCCCAGCAAGGAUGGAACGAAGAUACCAAUGUUCAUUGUGGCGAAAAAAGAUAUCAAGCUAGAUGGAUCACACCCAUGUUUACUCUAUGCAUAUGGUGGUUUUAACAUAAGCAUAACACCAUCUUUCAGCGCAAGUCGCAUUGUGCUUAGCAAGCAUCUCGGUGCUGUUUUCUGCAUUGCAAACAUUCGAGGUGGUGGGGAGUAUGGUGAGGAAUGGCACAAAGCGGGAUCACUUGCCAACAAGCAGAACUGCUUUGAUGACUUCAUAUCUGGGGCAGAGUAUCUCGUGUCCGCUGGUUAUACACAACCCAGCAAGCUGUGUAUCGAAGGCGGCAGUAAUGGUGGACUCCUGAUCGGCGCUUGCAUUAAUCAGGUAAGUCUACACAGAUGCAUAGAAAGCUGAUCAUUUCCAUUAAGUUGGCACACUUAGAGAUAAAGGUUUUGAUUCUGUGCAGAGACCAGACCUUUUUGGUUGUGCUUUGGCUCACGUGGGUGUCAUGGAUAUGCUACGGUUUCACAAGUUUACCAUAGGUGAGUUCAGUUAUCUCCACUCUUUUUCGUUCUUCAAUGUAUUCAUAACUCAACAGAUGUUAUGUAUGCAUAGGCCAUGCAUGGACUACUGACUAUGGUUGCUCCGAGAACGAAGAGGAGUUUCAUUCGCUGAUAAAGUGAGUUUGUUUAAAAUAUAUGUUAUUUGAUGUUAUGCCGAUAUGUCUCCCAAUACUGAUACAAUGUUACAAAUUGGGUGUGAAUACAAAAGGUACUCGCCUCUACAUAAUGUGAAGAGGCCAUGGGAGCAACAAACGGGUAAUUCAGUUCAGUACCCAUCAACCAUGUUACUGACAGCUGAUCACGAUGACAGAGUUGUGCCUCUUCACUCUUUGAAGUUACUUGCGGUCCGUUUCAACACCUUUUUAUUCUUAACGUUUAAUUUGAGAAUGCGUAUUGGUAAACUCGUAUACAUCUGCAGACGCUGCAGCACGUGUUGUGCACGAGCUUAGAGAACAGUCCACAGACAAACCCCAUAAUUGGUCGUAUCGAAGUUAAAGCCGGCCACGGAGCUGGUCGCCCAACCAAAAAGAUGGUAAUAAUGACAGAAUUCUCAAUGCUUAGUUUUUUACAUCAUGUAACAUACAGUUUCCAUGGCUAACUGAUUUUGAAAAUGUUAAACAGAUUGAUGAGGCGGCUGAUCGUUAUUCGUUCAUGGCAAAGAUGGUGAAUGCUCCAUGGACCGAGUAAAACAACACAAAUUCCUUACCUGCCGGCACCAGAGAUCUUUCUCAGUUUGUUCUGUCCAAAAAUGGAUUUUGUAUGAGUUACAUUUAAACAGUUCUUUUAACAAUUUUCAGCUUUUCGUUCAGGCUUUACGAGUCUGUUAUGACUUUUUGAUAUUUACCAAGAACAUGGACCAAGUCAACAAAGUUUAUUACUUCAUUGAGCACAUUUGCAUCUUCUGUUUCACCACAUUUACAACAGCCAACACGUGAUACAAACAUCAAGAAUGCAAAAAAGGUACUAUUUAUUUAUAGCUGUUUCCAACAAGCAAGCUUCAAGAGUCUUUAAAGUGUAACUGUAUGCCAGUCCUUAGAUGGACAACUUAGGAGAGGAAACUUCUUAAAGAGAGGAUGACAAACCACGAAUAUCAACAUAACCAGAUAACACAGCUUUGUUCCUUUCCUUCACUUUGGUCUGAUAUAUAACCCUGUAAAUACAUGGAAAGCUAAGUUCAGCUUUUGCUUUUGUGAUAUAGAACAAUACAUGUGAGAGAGAGAGCGAGAGAAUGGAAAGCUAAGUUCAGCUUUUGCUUUUGUGAUAUAGAACAAUACAUGUGAGAGAGAGAGCGAGAGAGCAAAACUCUACCUCAAGCCUUGGAGCCACAUCUCGGUUAUCAGAGUUUCACCAGGGAAAACAGUCGCGAGGAAUCUUCCAGAUAUGGUUUUGACAGCACUUGGGUCACCGUUGCAUAUACACUUGAUGAUUGCCUUUAUUGCAAACCCGAGCGUACAAAGUCCAUGCAAUAUCGGGCGUGGGAAUCUUCAUUCAGCAUAAGUCGAAGAAACAGGUGUCAGUUGCGAGUAUACAUAAACUUAAACUGAUCUGAAUUAGCAGCUAAAGAAGUGGUUAACUAACCCGGCACGUUUUGCAACGUUUGGAUCUGAAUGCAAAGGGUUAUAGUCACCAGAGAGCCUAUAGAGCAAUGCCUGCAGAUAAAUAUAAAUGUACAGGAGUUAGCAAAGUAAACCUCAAUGAACAAAACUAAUGCAAACAAGAUUUUUACACUAUCAACUUGCCUGUGAUGGUUGGGUGCGCUCUUCGCACACUGCGGAGGGUUGUGUUUGGGGGAUUUUCACAGCUAAGCCCUGGUUACUUGGAUAGUUUUUGUAAGAAAAUGGCUGAGAUGAAUUUGAGAAACCCCCAGCUCCUCGUAAAAACACAGUCGUCCUGCGGAAUUAAGGUCCCAAAUUAGUUCCCGAGUUUCGAAGCUAAAACUCCCAGGAAAAAAAAGGGUGCUUCUAGAUACAUCAUUACCGAUUCAUGCAUAACAGUUCAUCUGAACCUUGCUCGUAACUUCUGGUUUCUAUUUCAAGGAUAGCUGCUUUACCUAUAAGAUCGUCAGGAGAGAGAGAGAGAGAGAAUACAAAAGAUUGACUCAAAAAGCCUUAAAUCUACUAUUCUCAAUGCUGAAUGCAUAACCAAAGAAUCUCAUUUUCUCUCGAAGUUAGGGCUAACUGGCUAAGUAAAGGUGACGCACAAACCAAAAACACUAGUGGAUAAUACCUUUGUCCUGCAAUCCAGCUAGGCUUACUUUGUUAAUUAACUGCGUUAAAAAAAAACUUCAAUCAGAAAAAUGAAGCAUAUGCAUAUGCUACUUUGGAAAAUAGAAGAAGCCUGGUAUAGAAUCUCUCACAACCCCUGAAACCAAUGUUACUAGAGUACCAGUGAACAAAUAAAAAUCCUGAAGAUGAGGGAAGAAUCACAGAACUUAUUUAUACAAGUCAUGUGUGUAUAUAUACAAGGGCGGUAAUAUACUUACAGAAGCCUUGGAAGGUAAUGGCCUGUAUACUUCAAUGUACUGCUGUCCAUGCAACAGGAGACUAGGAUCAUAUCUUACAUACAAGAUACAAAACAACAUCAUCAUCAUGUCUUAUAUUACGAUGCAAAACCUCAAAAAAAAAACAAAACAAAAAAACAGCUUACUUAAAACCUGGCAAAUCCAGUCCAUCAGUAAGAGAUCCAAGUGAAAACAGUGAAACAAAAGUUGGUAAAACCUAUACAAAUUAUAGCAAGUAACAUCUAUUAACUCAAGAAAAGCAAUGAUGCUAAUAGCAAAGCUCAAGAAGACAGAAGUCAAAAUGAUGAAAUGCUUUACUGUUAUUGAUCUUUCUGUCACAACGUUCUUUAUAUACUGUAGUAACUAGACUCCGGUUUAAUCCGGUUUACAGACUCAAUCACCAUUUCACAAUUAACCAAUGAACCAACAUUGAACCAUACUAUCAUAUACGCUAAUAGAUACCUGGACAUGUUCUUGGCCGUUCUCGUGAUAGACAAACUUGAGCUCAACGGAAUCAACAGCAUCUUGGCCACAAGCUCCUACUCCCAAAGCAUAGAUUGCUACAUCUCUAUUUUUAAUUAACCACCACAAGCAAUCAAAAUCAAUAGAUCUCUCUGUUCCUCUUAACUAUCUCAAAGUCCAAAUAGCAAUUGGCGCAAUCGAGUUUUCUCAAUCAUCUAUGAUCCAUCACCAAUACAAAACACACAGAGAAAGAAGAUGCAAACCUUUCGUUGUAGGUGGAACGCGUCUGCGAUCAAAAGAAGAAAGUGAGAUUUACAAGGAUCAAGCUCCGUCUCGAUCGUAUAAAAGAAAGUGAGAUGGAAACAAACCUCGGGAAGCUUGUGAGCGAGGAGCAGAUCGGGGUUGAAUUCAGAAUCGCUAGUCGCCAUCUUCUCCGCCGAUCAGGAUCAGAGUUUAGCUUCCGUGUGUAUUUGCUGUUUCUUCCCUCUUUUGUGCUCAAUGAUUUUUAGAUAAGACAGUUAACUAUAAAAAUGAUAUUCGAACGGUGUCGUUUUAUGUGACCACUGGAAAUUCAAAUCCCGAUACACUUUACUCGAAGAUAGUAUUUAAUAUUUUCAAAAUUAUCUAUUGCGUUAUAUGCAUCAUUGUAAAUCUCUCUGCCUCACUCAUUCAGACAAAGCAGAGGAAAAGAACAACGUAUAGGUUUUAGUCGUAAACGUAAUCUGUUAUUCUCAUAUCACUGAGCAUUUAGUCUAGUGGUUAGUCUAGUAUGUUAUCUGCUCAUUUGAUACUUAUCCUGCACUAUUUAGAUUGUAUUCUUGUCUUGGCUUGUUAAACAAAAUGUAAUAUACUACGCUAGUAAGGCUUAUGAUAGAACUAUAUAACUAUAUCAAAUAAAGUUUCCCUCCAAAGUUAUUUUUUAUAUAAAAAAGAAAGAAUAAGAAUUGAGACCUCGAGCUGAGAUCGUUACAAACUGACAUAAUGAUUUGACAACAACUCUUCCAUUCAUUAGCAAAAUGAAGAAUGAAUAAAACAAGAAAACACUCAUCGAGAACGAAUCAGCUGGUUUGGUUGACCAUCUCUCUUAUCUCUCCACAAUUCAAAGCGGUCUGGUGCUACGACCACUAGCUCUACCGCAAAGAAGAGCGUUCUUGGGGAUUGGGUACUCAUCCCUAAGAGAAGUGGAAGUUGUGUAGACGCGUAAAUAGAACUGUUGUCCUAAGUACUGCCUUGCCCAGAACUCUGACCUUAAGUUCCACAUCCCUACGUUGUCCAGUGCAAUGUAUAUAGCCGUCCAUGAACUCGGAUACACCUAUAGAUCAAUAAGAAAAUAUGAAUCCAAUGGUUCACAUUUUGUCAAAAAGACAUGCUUAAAUUACUAGCUUUUACUGUAAGUUUACCUGAACGGUGCAGCGAGCUACUGCAUCACGUAGAUUGUACUCGUUCCUACUAUCAGGAGUCCAUUGCCCACCGUCCAUCCUAUAUCACAAUAUGACGUUAGUCCAGUUUAUAUUGGGAGGUCGAGAAUAUCACCAUACCAUGUAAAAUAUAACAAAAUAAUAUAUUAUUGUGUUUUCCAUGGAUAUAUUAUAGUUUUUUUUUUUGACACAAUGAUAUAUUAUAGUUUAAGGUAUAAAAGAAAGACACUUACCCAACAACCCAGAAAGAGUAACCGUCAAGAUGCCAACUCUGGACAAUAUCCUCAGAGUUUUCGAACACAAUCUCAAUAAAGGUUCUGUAAUCGGUCUGCAUAACAGACGUGUCGAGGUAGAUUCCUCCACCAGUGGGUUGGCUCUGUAUGCUUCCAACUCUGUAAACACCGUCGAUCUUGAAGUAGUCCGCGAGUUUCAGAGGAGUGUCUGCCGGAUUAAACGAUACACUGUUCACAGCGUAUCGUUGCUUCCCAUUGACUUGACCAGCAGAGCUAGCGAGUCUGAUAGUUCUUGUGGUGUUUAUCAUACCGUAGUGGUAUGAUCCUUGUGGGUUUGGCCUUGGUCCACUCGCCGUAAGGUUAGUUCUAAAACACAAAAACAUAAUAACAUAUUUAGAUAAAAAGCCAAGAAUCAAGAUUUCUUGUCCAGCAAGUAAGGUACCUGAUGGCUCGAGCCUGGUUCAAAGACCAGUCUAUUUGUACGGUUGGUCCACCAGGAAUAGGUCCAGACACACCACCAGCAGAACCACUGUAACGGAGAACACCAGUGGUGGUCAAGACAUCCGAGGUAAACCUAGAAGAGACCACCACGUAAUAAUCCUGUGCAGGCUGGUCGGCGGUCACAAGAACCGAGUAAGACUGACCAACGUGAACAUCGAGAGAAGAGAAAGUAGUCUGAAGAGUGUGAGUCCCUUCCACUUCAACCACUUUCAUCUUGUGGUUCUGAAUGCGGAAGUUGAGAGAGUGUUGUAGCCCUAUAUUGGAUAUUCUCAACCUGUAUGUCUUGCCUUGUUCAACAUUGAGAGUGGCACCACUUCCACGGCCGUUGAUGAGGAUACCAUCUGGUAAAGGAAGCUUCCUACCACUAUCAAGCUGUGCCUUCAAAUCCUACAGAAACAAAAUAAAAAAACUCACAUAAAUUUUUUUAAAACAAGAACAAGAAGCAAAACCUCUAAAUAUUAAAGAGUUAUUAUACUUAUUUCGCAAAGAUAUUCAAAUUAUCGAAUUUUUAUUUAUUUAUUUACUCUUUUUAUUUAUUUUUGAAUGAAUGCUAUAUUAUAUUUAUCAAAAACCCCUUUUUAAUAAUCUAAAAAUGUUUACAUUCAUAAUAGGUUAGGCCCUGCCUUGUGGAAGGGUCAACCUCGCAAUAAUUACUUACCGUGUGGUUAGAUUUGUACCAGUCUCCGAUGAGAACUGUGUAAUCUCCGGCAGGGUCAGCGAAAGGGACUGGGAUACCAGGACGGCUGAGGAUGCGGAGGCCACCAAAACCACCGGCGGCUUUGUGGAAAGCGAGAGAAGGGAAGUAGUAGAAACUUCCGAUCUGAUCCUUCACUUGAAGAAUGUAAGUGUAGUUCUGUCCCGGCGGGAUAGGGCAAGUCGUGCCGUACACUCCAUCCACGUACGAGUUCCUCCUCUGUUGAACUCCAUUCCUUCAAAAUUAUUAUUUUCAAAAUAUUAGUUUUUAACCCCAAAAGUAUUAUGAAUUGUUGAUCUAGGCCUUGUCUGGAGAAGUGUGCUUUAAGAUCGAAUUGAUGCGGAUACAGCUAAUACUUUGGUAAGGUGAUGGACCACUUCCCCACAAGUAAAUGUCUGAAAAUGUAGUUCACAAGUCACUGUAACACCCCAUGCAGAAAUUAUUUAAUAAAGUCUGUCUUUAGUUGAAUUUAACCCUAAUUACCCAACUAAUUAUGUCGUAUGUGGGUAAGUCAUUUAUUUUGUGGACCGAGUCCGACAUGAAUGUAGACAAAACAAAAAUUCUUACGUACUUCAUUGUCUUUUUCUUACAAGCACGUUUUAUUUUUACGUCAUUACUAAAAAAAGCAAAAAAACUAUUCACGAACCAAUAAAAACUAGUGGCCGACUAACUACUACUAUCAAUCAGACAAAGACGGACUUCAGUGUUUAACAGUAAUUAUAUUAUCUAUUUUUAACUAAUAGUAUUGUAUCGUUGUAACAGAUUUGCAAAUGGUUUAGAUUUAGAAUGAUAUUUACCAUGAAAGGAGGAAAGGUUCGUCGAGGCUAUUGUAGACGUUAAUGAUGAGAUUGUCAUUAGUAACGGAGUGAAUGUCCGGUCCCGGAAACUGCCCGUUGAUCAGAAUACCCUAAACCGGAAAAAAAUGUGAGAUCCGCAGCUAUAAAACCGGAUCUAAACCAAACCGAAGACUUGGUAUAAAUUUAAUAUUAGUACUGUACCUGCUGGCGAACACCGAGUGGGUAGAUAUCACCGUAAGUGACGUUCCAUUCGAAGAACCUGUACGGACUUUCCGCCGUGACGGCGAAGAGAAGCGCAAAGCCGACGAUUAAUGCGGCGGCGAGUGAGGCAUUGGCCACCAUGUUUUUUUGGUGAAUGAAGAAAUGUAUUUUCUUGGCGUGAUCUCUAGCUCUUACAUGUACACAGAUUUGAGUCUAAGAGUGAAGGAGAGAAGAGAGGGAACGUAUAUAAAAGAGAUUAAACAGUAGCAAGAGGGGAACGAAUAAGAGAGAAGAAAACAAAGGUCAGUGUCGGUGGCUGGACCCACGAGCGACUCUGUGUUACUUUGAAAUCUGUAUUUGUCUCCCACAAUCCACAUGGCUAAUAAGCAACUUGCCCAUUCUUCUAUGCCUUGUGCAUUAAAAACAAAAAAAAAAAUUAAAGGAGAAAUCAUAAUUAUUAGGACUAACGAAUAUUUGUGGUAAACUUUUGUUAAGUGAUUGAUUAACUAUUGGGUUGUUUUUAUUGGCAAACUGGUGAUUGAUAAAACAAAUACUCUAUCCGUUUCAUAAUACUUGAUGUUUUGUAAUAUUGCACAAAGAUUAAGAAAAUUAUAUUUUCAUACUUGAUGUUUUGUAAUAUUGCACAAAGAUUAAGAAAAUUAUAUUUUCUUAGAAAAAUAUUUUAAAGAUAUAAUUUUAAAAUCAGUUAACCAAUUAUAAAAAAGACUGUAAAAUCUAAUUGGUUGAACAGUUUCCAAUAAAGUUAAAAUUAACUUUAAAAUUUUAAAACUUUCUUAAAAUCUCAAAACUUCACGUAAAUUGAAACAAAACAAAUUUUCUAAAACAUUAUCUAUAUUGAAACGGAGAAAGUAUAACAAAACAAAUUUUCUAAAACAUUAUCUAUAUUGAAACGGAGGAAUUAUAACAUUUUUGUUAUCUUUAGUCGUUCGUAUUAACUAACCAUUGACUGUUUUAGAGGGAAAUCUGUGGUAGUUUAGUAGAAGUGUAGGACACAACAUGGCGUUUUUACAAUCUCUUACUCGACUCUUUUCUUUUCCAAAAAAAAAAAAACUUUUGUUGUUUUCAAAGAUAAUUUUUUUGAAGUUUUUAAUGCACAUGUUAUUAAUUACUAUUAAUUAAAGAUAUUAAAAUAGACAAUUAUUAUAUUUGUGAAUUGUUAUUGAUUUGGAGUUAUAUCAAAUUGUUUGAUAUAAAAAUUAUAAGGAAUUGUAAUUAUUUCUUAAUCUGUAUUAGAAAAUCUAAAAUUAUUUGUUUGAGAAAUUCUUUUAGUAAAAUCUAUUGUUUUAACUUUUAAGGAACGUUUUCAAAUAUGGAUUUGGAGACAAACAUCCUAGUGCAAUGCUUUAUCAAUUAAGCAACAACAAAAAGAAAAAGAUGACACAACUAACCGCCUAGACUAAAUAUUUGACAAAUUGAUUAUAAAAAGUGUGACAAACAUGAACAUAAACUCCAGAACGAAGAUAACACACACACACACACACACAAAAGCUACAAAUAAAUAGGCCAUCUAAAGUUAUAUAUUUCCUUUAUACUAUGCCUCUAUUAUUAAUUUGGAUAUGGAAUAAUAUCGUUUUAUCCUCUUUUUUGGUUCUUGUUUGCCCUUUAUAGCUACUAGAAGAUGAAGAAAGGGCCCAUUCCUGGUUACAAGAUCAAAUGUAUUUUGGAAGUCAAGUAUCAAUGUCUUUGGCAUAUCAGAAGUUAUAUUCCAUUUUCUCCAACUUCGUUCUUCUGGAGUGCAGAGUAUUUUCUUCAGUUGUUAUUCUCAAGUUUUGGCUUUGAGUGAAUCUAAAACCACAUGGUGAAACCAUAAAUCAAAGAAGUGAGUCGAGUGACAAAGUAAUCGAAGGAAAAAAUUAGGACAUUAGACUUCCUUGCGUUUACAUUUUCCGGAUUUGUCGCCAAUAAAUACGCACUUUUUUUCUUUCUUAUGUGAGUCAUUAGCACUAUUGUCAAAUUAAAUCUCCAAUAAUCAAGGUAAAGUAAAUAGAAAAAAAUAACAUUUUAAUUACUAAAUAGAGUUCUGCUAUAAAGAAAAAUAUAAUUGGGUGGAGCAAGCGACGGGUCAGGGCAAUUUGAAUGUGCCAGUGGGGUCCACAACAUGUUAAUAAUAGUUAUGGAAUAAAGUUGAUACUGAUAGGCCUCUGCAUAAAUGACAACACUUCAAAAAGAUGACAAUAAUAAGGAACAUAUGCAAAAGAGAUGCAAAACGCGUUAAACUACGUAACAGUGGCUGUAAAUGUAAUAAGGAACAAGGAACAUGCAUGGAUGAAGUGUUCCAUGUGUGGACAACAUUCGCCUACAUAGUACAGUGAUUAGACCAAGCAACGGCGUCGUAUAACCAGAUUGUUGCAAAGCCGAAAAAAGUAGUAAGCUGUUUUUAAAUUUCAAAUCAGAAGACUUGAGUGGAACAUUUAAUGCAUGAUUGUCAAAACCAGGCUGGAUUGAGUUUGGUCAAGUUGACCAGCUGGAUCAUUAAUGUAGUAAAAAUUUCAAUAAUCACUAACAAACAAUGAUGUAUUUUAACAUUUUCUUCUAUACAGAACCAGUUUCUGCAUUUUUAGACCACUUCUCUCAAAAUUUAGAAAUCCAGAGAUCCACAUUGCUUGCUCUCAAGAGUUUUCACAGUAGUUUCCUUCUUAUGAUCACCACCGUUUACACCUCCUCCUCGAGCUCUUCCAAUGCCCAUCUUGGGCAAACCACGAUUCAAUCCAUCCAACAACACACACGCUUUGCACCAUUUCUGCAUCAUCAUUGUUCAUUCAAGAAAAACAAAUGCAAUCUCACACUAACAGAAAGGUCUUUAUUUUUGCAAAAAAAAUCUCUCACCUGGCUAGAAAUGUAGCCGCAACGCUCACACGUCCCUUGCUCAGGCAUUUUUGUGGUCGUCGCAAUUCUGAAGUCUUCACCGGAUUUGAUGAUAUCCAGAAUAGCUCUUGGCCUAAAAGUUUAUUUAUAAUACAAGUUAAAGACUUAGUUUCUCAUCUGGUUAUGACGAAUAUACAACAACAUAAAGUUUGAACAAAUAACCUUAGUCUUUCCAAGUCUUUGAUGAACUCACGUGCAAACCCACGAUAAGCAUUAGGAGAGUAUAUGCCUGCAACCACAAUAAACCAAUCAAUCAGCUCUAAUAACAUAUGCAUUCAGCUAGCAGAGAACACUAGUAGUGAAACUUACAUUCGGUUGAGAAGUAGUCCAACUUCUUGAAAUACGCAUACGUGUGGCUACUAAGUUAAGGUUUCACAAUAUUUUAUGUUUGACAUAUAACAGCCAGGGCCGCGGUCCUAGGCCAAGCUAGAUGAAACAUUCGCUUCAAGCACCCAAGAUUUUCGAAAAAAAUAUAUAUUAUAAAUAGACCCCCUAAAUUUGUAAAAAAAAAAAAAAAACUUAAACCUCCAAAUUAUUGAAAUCCUUCUUAAACCGUUUAUAGCCCCCCAAAAUCUCAGAGCCGACAUUCACUGAGGUUUUGGAGUAAGAAAGGAUAUAUAACAAUCUCCUUCUCGUAUGUAUAUUUGAAAGGUUUACACCUUGGAAUUGGACCGUCUUCACCUGUAGUGAUCGAUGUGCACCGACUCAAUCUACAAUAAGCCAAGUUAUACAAACCAAUCAACUUAGAGACAGAAGACAUAUUAUAGCAUUACAAGAAACAAACAUACCUAGCGAUAUCUCCUCUAAGUAUGUUCAAGAGAACCGUUUCAGCUAUAUCAUCUGCGUUAUGUCCAGUCACCAGCUUAUCUACUUUCAACAAUGCAGCUCCUCGAUCAAGCGCCUUCACGAAAAACAUAAAAAAAAAAACAACUAAGUAAUUGUUCAACGCUAUGAAUAUUCAUACCUGGCGACGGAAGACACCACAAAAGGUGCAAUUGUUCUUCAGACCAAUCAUCUUCACAAUAUCAUCCAUCGUCCAUCCGUACAGAUCUUUGUACGAAAGAAUCUGAAGAGGCAACCCAUACUAGAACCCCAAACAAAAAGAAUCCUUUAGAUGAAAAAAAAAAGACUCUUCUAUUCAAAAAAAAAAAAAAAAAAAAGCUUUUACUUGGAGUUCGUUUCUUUUAACGGUCUCGAGAGAAUCAUCACGGUAACCUGUGAUCCCUUCAUCAAUGGAGAGAAGGAAGAGGUCUAACCCAUAGCUAUGGCGUCUGUUUAGCUCUGAUAACACAUAAGCCAGCACCGUUGAAUCUGCACCACCAGGAGCACACACAAAGCUUUCAUACAGUUUAGUUUAACUGUCGGAAUCAUCUUCCAAAAGGUAAAAAGAUUUAACCUUUUCCACCGGAGGCGCCUAUAGCAACACGCUCUCCGGAUUUAAACAGCCGGUUCUUGACGAUGGCUUGGUGAAUCUCCUCCUCGUAAAAGCACUCUCUGCAUAUCUUUUGAGCGACCACACCAACAAGUAGCAAGAGACUGAGAAACUAAAUCUUUUUUUCAAGUUCUAAGCUUUACAUUAAUAAACACAGCCGAGGGAUUCAAAGUUCGAAUCUUUAUCGAACCACGAGGAUUGAGAACUCUAAAUCAAUGGAAAAAGCUCAGAUAAGAGGUGAAAUCUCAGUUGAAGUUUGUUCAUAGAGCAAAAAAAAAACAGAGAGAAGUGAGGUGAGAUUACUUGUUGAAGGGUUUUGGCUCUUUUGAGGACGGGUCGUCUCUCGUUACAGAUGCAGCAGAGACGAGGAGGUUUCUUGCUCUUCGCUUCGCCUUUCUCCAUCUCACCGGUGGAAUGAAACUCGGGGGUUUACUUGCCGGCGGCGAGAAGCUAGUGCCGGUUAAACCAACCUACAAUGGAGUGAUAUCUCAGAACGACGACGUUUUCGCGAGUUCUCUCUACCUGAUUACUUAGUGGCUAUUUUCUGCCUAAUGAUUUUUUUGGCCCAUUAAUAGAGGCCCAUUAUAAGACUACAAAAGUAUUUGAACCACAUGACUAGCACGGGAGUUUAAUCCGAAGCCGAAGUAACUAUCUAAACCCGAACCGAAAAAACCAAAACCAGAUCCAAACCGCUAUAUAAAAAUAUCCGAACGUGACUUAUGAAUUUAGUACUUUAGGGUCUAGGUAUAACUCGAACCGAACCGAAUCAAAAUCCGAACUAGUAUCCGAAUAUAUCCGAAACUAAUUUAGAUAGUUUAACUAAUUUUUAAUUAGAUUUAUGAAUAAUUUAUAUAUUUUAAACUUUUUUUUGUCAAAUUUUCAGGUUAUAAUUUUUUUUUCUUUGGAUAGUUUACAAUAUUGGUUACAAUCCGAUCUAAACCGAACUUGAAAGGAACUGAAAUGAGCCCGGAUCAAUAAUUAGUAAAUUCCAGACUUACGAGCAUAAUACCAAUCCAAAAAUCAGAAUCGAAACCGACGGCUCUCAAACGCCCAGGCUUUCACUAUAGUGAAUACAAAAGUGAAACGACGUUUCUUGGAUGUGUUUCACUGAUUCUUAUCUCAUUUGUUCAUAUCAAACCUCAUUCAUUUCGCUUUCACUUUAUACGUUUUGUGCAAUUAUGUCAAUCACAAUGACAAAUCAACCACUAGGAGUCAUGAUAGUUGCGGGUCAUGUUGCUUUUAUACCAACGCAUUUAACCUCAUAAAUACUACAGAACUUUGAUUCUAUCAUUCAAUUAUAAGAGCUUAGCCCACCAUUAACGUGCUUAACCACUUUUUUUAAAAAAAAAUUAAGCAGCAGCGCUUAAAAAAAACGCAAAACGCAGUAAGCUCGGUUGUUCCCACUGUUUACGGACCCCACUGACACGUGGUGGCCCGCGAUUGGUUCAUUUUUCAUUUUUAAUUUUUAUUUUUAAAUCAGAACGAAAAAAAAUUAAGCAUUCCAUUUUGGGUGCUAGCGAUGCAGAUGCUUAGUUAGUCAAGAUGGGGUCAUGUGUACGACUAAGAACAAUACACAGGGAAGUUAGAUCAUUAUCCUAAUGAAUAUAUGGGCAUCUAAAUCAAAUAAUCAUACCAUUAAAACACCUUGAAAACCAUAUACAAACAUAACAAAAGAAACACAACAAAGAAAUUAAAAAAGCCAACAAACUUCAACAACACAAAAGCAAAAGAUGAUCAUAUCAUUCAACACAAAAGAACACAUCAUCAUCAUCAUUCAUAUCUUUAAUGAUCAUCCUUAUUCUUCUUCUCCUCCUCUACGGUCUUGGGAUGGUACCCUGGAAGCUUCUCCUUAAUCUUCUCCAAGAUCCCCUUCUUCUCCGCCGGAUGCGCUUCCUCCACCGGAGGAGCAACAACCGGUGCGGGUGAAGCGUCUUCAGGCUUCUUCCCGUGUCCUGGAAGCUUCUCCUUCAGCUUAUCCAUAAACCCUUUCUUCUCCUCCUCUGUCUUCACCUCUCCUUCAGUAGUAGUUACCUUCUUCUUGUCCUUCUUCUUCUUCCUCUUCACACCAUCUUCACCCUCUUCCUCGCUUGACUGUCGGAAACGAAACCAUAUACUUGUUAUAGUUGUGUUUCAAAAAAAAAAAAAACAUCAACGGACAAGAUCUAACACAACACAUAUAGAUUAUGUCCGAAUCUUUCAAAAUAUAUUUUAAUGAUCAUAUAAUAUAAACUUACGGAGCUAGAAGAGCUGUCGCUGCGGUGAAGCUUCUCGAGGAGACUAUGCUUCUUCUCUUCUUUUUCUUCCUCGUGUUUAACCUCAGGCACCGGCUCUGAGAUGUGAACCUUUUGCUCGAACUCAGAGUCGAUGGUCUCCUCUGGUUUCGUUUCAUCUUUCUUCUUCCCCAAGAAAUCGAACAGUCCACGGUCUGUAACCUCGCCGGUGGCCGUUGAUGGUUCCUCGGUGGCUACCUUAGGUGCCUCAUGCUCGUGAACGUUCUUGGUUUCAUCUGCCAUGGUUAUUAAAAAGAGUUUGGUUUGCUCUGUCGAUGAGAGAAUACGAAACGAUCAAAGUAUACUUAAGAUGAUUUGUAAGAGGCGAGUGAGAAAAUAGGUGACGGGAAAGUGCGUUUUAUAGUGUGUGUGAGGACUAACUCUACGCGGAUUUCACGCUAUAUGAUCAUUUUUUAUUUCGAAAAAAUAUAUAAACUAUAGAUAAAUUACAAAACGGCCCUACCUCUUUUACUUUUGAUCAAAUAUAUUACGAAGAAUUCAAUAAUUAAUCAUCAAAAGUUUGCUUACGUGUAGGAGGCCAUUGUAUAUUAAAUAAAUUUAGUGGAUAGCUAAAACAACAACAGAAAAUUGGAUAAGAAUGUUAACUAGAUAGACUUAGCCAAAAUUUUAAAAGUAAAUUGGGAGCUAAUUGGUCUGGAUAUAACAAUUUAAUUAGGCUUUUUUACUAUUUUAAAGUUUGUUAAAUAACUUGAAAAACAGAUUUAAGAUAUAUCCCCUUAAUACAAAAAUCUAGAAUUUUUGGAUUUCUUAAUUACAAAUAAAAAAUAUAGGGAUUAAACUGAACAUUCCAGAAAAAAAUGGGUGUUACAAAAAAAAAAGAGUACUAACGAUUUAAUUACCCAUGAUGGAGAGACAUGUGUCAAGCAUUAAUGUAAAUCAGAAAAUCGGACGGUGGACGUUAGUAGCGGAAAAUCAACGGUCAUAACAGGGAAGGACGAAUUUAGACAUAAAGAAAAAAAAAAGGAGACAGAGGGUAAAGUGAUACCAAGCAAUAAGACAACAACACGUGUCAAUUUAACGUGGAAGUGUGUCCUAGCGUAGGUCCCAAAAACGUGUACUGAUUGGCGUAAAAGACGUGAUGUCGGUGGUGUGGGUCCACCUGACUUAUUAAAAAAAAAAAAACUGAUGCCCCGUUGGAACUGGAAGAAAAUUGUAGCAUAGAAAUGAUGAAUUUUGGGGAAAUUAAUAACGUUUAUUCAGUUUUCCAUAUUAAGCGUUACAAAAAAAAAAAAUACGUGCAAGUUUUUUUUGGUAAAGGAUUCGUAGUCUUAUCACGCUAGGAAUCAACCAGUUCAGGAAGUUGGUUUCCAAACGUGAACAAGGUUUUCGUAAUCUCAUCUAUGAACAAGGUUGUGUGUUUUCCAACUUAUACGGUUUGUUAAGAAAAACUAUACGAUUUUCUAAGUUAAACUUAAAUGUAAAUCUAUGAUGAACAUAAUAAGGGGAAACAAAUGAGCAUACGAUUACUUGGACUUCUUAAUAUAAUGAGAUGUGUUAACGAGUGGGAAUGUCAUUUUUUACCUAAUUGAUAAACAAAACUAUAACAUCAGAAAGGAGUAAAGGACAGAUGGUAAUCAGUGAUGCAUCUUCUCUUUAGAUUGGCCUAAAAUAAAAAUGAACCGUGUUCCAUUAUAAAGGAUGAACACGACGUGCCACAUCAUUAUACCCGCUCCUCUAAACUUUGAAUCAAAGACGUUUCGCGAACCACCGUGACAUACCAACACACAUAUCAGACAAACCGAUCUCUUUCAAUUCUUGAUUGGUCGUCGUCUUUUAUUGUCCUUAUCCUUUGAAUAAUAUUUUCGGUGAUAGCAAAAACGAUAUCUUGUAGCCGACGUUCUCGUGAUAAUACAUACUUAUCUGGUUAUAUAUAUACCCAUCAAACUUAAAAAACUAUCUAUACGUAUAAGAUAAACUGGUGUAGAUUUGAAAAUAGUAUAGUUUCAAAAGUUAUAAGCUUAGAGCAAAGUGCUUAAUUGCAUCAUUUGUGUAUGCUAAUCUUGUGUCUAUUUUCUUUUACUUUUCACCCCCCCGUCUGGACAUGAUAUCUGCCUUAUUUGCUGUCAAAUCAAGGAAUAUUCAACGAUAUUUAUCACUCACUUUAUUUGAUGGACACGAGAAUCGAUCAAUGCAUUGCGAAUUCUUCUGAUGAAAUAAAAGAAGCUUUCAUAUUAUAUCUACGACUUGGUGGAUAACCAGCUCACUGCUAUGAGCCAAGAAGAUGAACCUUAGCGAUUACAAUUCAAUAGGCCCAACAUAACAUGGGCCUUUGGGUUAGAGUCGGAUCACGUAGUCAACAUUCGAUACUAGUGCAUUACAUGCGCUAGACCUUUUGUGCUUGUAGUAGUUUGUGAUUUAUAGAUUCUUUGUAGCUUGACAAUGAAGAUGUUAAUAUGCACAAUCUUACCGUUGUACUUGAUGCUAUUCGUUUCAUUGGCUUUGUUUUUAUACAGGGUCGAUGUCGUUGUCUUUUUAUAUUCGUACACAACUUCAUAUUGAGAGCUGAGCUCAGACUUUCUCCGGUACGCAUCUUCUCUGUCCUGUGAAGAUUGAGCUGACCUGAGAUUAGGUUACUUGCAUAUCAAUGGGUGUAAUUUUAUGGCUUAGCUUAGACAAAUCAGGCUCUAACUGAGGAUAUGUGUUAAUUUGUUUUUUCUUUCUCUAUUUUUUUUUUUUUUAAAUCAGCAUUUUGUGAUUAUAAAAAUAUCUUGUUUUCCAUCUAUCAUUGUAACAUAUUUUAUCUUGUUUUAUUUUGAUUUGUUGCUUGUUGAAGUUCAAAAAAGAAUCGUUUGCGGGAUUUCAUGUGACUAGAAAAGAGAAAACAAAGAACACUCAUGAAAGUUAAAGAGAGAACUACAUAGAAAAUGAAAGUACCAAGCAACUUGCUCUAAAAAGAUCACAUGCUUCCAUCACCACCACUAACAUAUUUCCUUUGCCCUCUUCAAACCGCUAGAGUAUUCUUGUUUCUAAAUAGUUAUUAAGAACGCGUGGUUAAACAUAUUGUCUUAUACAUUGUGUUACGGUCUGUUAAUACAAUAGCUUUGCUAGAUAUAAUUGGUUCACUCAAAUUACUAAACAAUAAGAUGGAUAUAUUGCUUGGUCAGAGUCCAUACAUUGUAAAAGAAAGAAAGUUAACCAAGUUAAUAACCAAGAAAAUUGAAAUUGCACCAAAUUUUAGCAAAAAAAAAAGAAAAUUGAAAUUAUGUAAAAUAUCUAGAUAUAUGUGGAAGGGCCGUAUGUAAUUCCACAAGUGACCGUGAUCUAAAAAGUGGGAAAACUUGUAAAGAAUUGAAUAAACACGAACACCCUUCUCCCUCCACACGUACCCAUGGUUAUAUAUAUAGGCACUUACGGUUGCAUUUAAAAGGCAUCACAACCAAAGUAUCAGAGCAGAAGUAACACACACACUAAAGCUUAUAAUGAAGAGGUUAUAUUCUAAGGGGAUGAGACUCUCUGAGUUGAUGGAGAAAUGGAGAAAGAGGAAGAAAGGGCAUUUCACUGUUUACACCAAAGAAGGGAAGAGAUUCGUUUUGCCCUUGGAUUAUCUCAACCAUCCGAUCUUACAAGUGUUACUGGAGAUGGCUGAGGAUGAGUUUGGAACUACCAUUGAUGGUCCUUUAAAGAUUCCUUGCGAUGGGAGUUUAAUGGAUCACGUCAUCAUGCUUGUGAGGAGAAGUAUCUCUCAUAACUAUGAUGAUGAUGAAGUGGGGAAGAAGUCAGAGGAUUGUUCCACGAGCACCUGCAAGGGAACUUUAAUCUCUUCUCUAAUACCUCUCUUUCGUGGACAUAACCAGCUCCGGUCUUUAGUUUCCUAAUAAUUUGUGGUUGUGGACUCGAAGGUGUUGUAGAUAUAUACAUGUAAUUUGUUUUUGGUAAUUGGAAUGUAAUGAGUGUAAUCAACCUGAUAUUUGAAAUGAUUUGUAUUAAAAUGAAUUAAUGUUUUUUUUCAGCUUAUUGUUUAAAAAUGUAUUUUAAAAUCUACUAUCGUUAAAAAAAAAAAAAAAAAAUCUUGUUUUAGAUGGAAUUCCAGCAUGCAAUCAUAAUAAUUUUUUUAAUUCAUCGAAAAUCAUACAAAAUAAACUCUUUUCAAAUAAUCUCAAAAUACGUAAUUCAAUACACCUCGUAGGGUAAUAAUCUUACAAAGUUUUGGUUAGUGUAGGAGAUGAUAACUUAUCAAUCAAAACUUCUUAAUUACUACUAGAACUUUUAAUGGGCCUAGUCCUUUAAAUGGUCCAAGUCUUAAUUGGGCCUUUACUUUUAAAGCCUGAGGCCUUGUCUAAAGAUGUAACGAAAAGUGGCGGAGUCGCGAGUCACACCUGCUUGGAUUGAAUCUCAGGUAGGCAUUGUGAAAAUUGCAGUGCGAAUCGGGAAUCUGUAGGGUUUGGAGAAAAUGGGCGGAGGAGGAGGUAUAACAUACAAGGGAGUCACUGUACACACUCCCAAGACGUGGCACACCGUCGCCGGAAAGGGCUUGUGCGGCGUUAUGUGGUAACAUUUCUCUUUCUCUCUCCUUUGCUUUUCAAGCUUAGAUCUUUACUCCUCCAUCGAAGCUAAGAUCUUACCUUUAGAGUAUCGGUCAAUUGAUAUUCCCGACGAAUCCGAUUGAUUUGUCUGUUUCAGUUUGUUGAUUAAAUUUUUUAGACAAUGGAUAUGUCUUAAUUAGUAUCAUAGAGACAAUUAGACAGCUGUUGAUUAUGAAUUGGGUUAUGUCUCUGGUCGGAACCAAUAUCAAUGUCAUUUCAAUUUUUUUUUUUUUUUUUUUUUUUGAAGGUUCUGGAUUUUGUACAGAGCAAAGCAAGAUGGUCCUGUAGUCAUGGUAAGACUCUCUCUCCCCCCUUUUAUAUUUGCCUCAAUCUUUGUUUAGUUUCGAGCUUUUUUUAUUUGAAUUGUAUCAAUUUUUCUACUCCUUCCAUGGUGGCUAAAUGGUGAUCUUUGCUAUAUCGCAAUUGUUAGGGAUGGAGGCACCCGUGGGAUGGCCAUGGUGAUCAUGGUCAUGGUGGGGAUCAUCACUAGGUAAUGCAUGUAUUAAUCAAUUUCUGAUCGAAUCAUUAAAGUUCUUAUCUAACGCUCGUGAUUGUUUUUACGGUGAUCCUAAAUAAUAAGACAGCAGUUCGUUAAUGUUUAUGCAUAAUGUUGAUGUAGCAAAUACUAAGUUGUCACUUGCUAACGAGAUCUCUCUUGUUAAAAAAAUGGUGUGUAGUUAGUCUUGAAUGAAGUUUGUAGCUUUGAUUCAGACUUUAGUUCAAGAACGUUCUUGAUUUAUAUUCUCUAUAGUGAAUCAUUAACCCUCUUUGAAGUCGAGUGAUUGAGAAUGGAGUGCGUUUAUCUUGAAAGAUCGUUAAUAGUUUAGUCGCACAUACUUUGCUGUUUCUCUUUGUUGAGAGAUAUUGUUAGCUCGGAGUUAGCCAAAAAAUGAUUAACCUCACCUUCCAUGCAAACCUAGCUGUAAUGUUGAUAAACACUACUCGUUUUGCUUGAGACUAAUCUUGUUUUGGGUUAUUCUGCUAGGUCUCAUCGAACCUUUGAAGAUCAAGGCGAAAAAUGUAUGUCUCUUUCUUUUCUUUUCUUUUCUUUUCAGUUUCAUGUCUAAAUAAAUACAACUAUGAACGAAGACGUCGAUUGUUUUCGUACACAACUUUGUAAGAUUUGCUGCUCCUGUUUUAAGUUGCUACUUGGAUUGCACUUGAUGUUUUCUCUGUCUACAAAUGAAUUUAAACAAUUAUACUUAUGGUUCCUUGAUUAUCCUUGCAUAGUAGUAAAAAUAAUGAUAACAUGCCUUGUCUAACCAUGCUAAGUGCUAACAUAUUAAUAAGCAUCAAUACCAAGUCACAACAUUUACGUAAAUAACUAUGACAGCUACAGAAAUUUUAUUAUUAUUAGAGGGAAAAAAAAUCCCUUUAGUUAAGUCUUAAUCAACCUUAAUAAACUGGUUGAGAAACAAGUGAAAAAUGAAUAUAAUGAUUCAAACAUGCAAUAAAGUAGAAAUCAAUGUAAUGUCAAUCAAACAUGUCCAGAAGCAAAACCUAACUGGACAUGUAUAAAUCUAGCUGGUAAUAAUAUUAAGAAGUGAAACUCUUGUAUGAAUCAAUCGCCUGAAAAUGGACUCCAAUUCUAUCUCAAGCUCCUCCACAGCAAUCUCUGCUGCUUCCAAUCUCGUAGCUGCGCUUUGAACUGCGGUCUCGUCCCAUAUAUCAUCUAACCAAUCCGAAGAUCGAGAAGUAAAGAUCGAAGACAAAGACCCUUUGCUCGAUCUCUUCUCUAGCCAAGGAAUACAACCAAGAGAGAACAAAGACUCGACCAUUGUCACAACAGCUCCUCUCACUUCCUUUAAAACCUCAGCUACAAAUAGAAGAUUAAGUUCUGUCGGCAUCGCUACUCCUCCUCCGGUUCGUUUCAUGCUCUUUAGACAGUUUAAGCAUUUCAAUAUCUCCUUCUUGAGCCUGUUCUUGUAUUGAUUAUACGCUGCUAUCUUCUCGUUCACAUCUGAUGAUUCGUUUCCACGUAGAGUAAGUUGUAGAUCGUGCAAGCUGUGCUUAACUAGCGUCAUCACAUCUUUAGAUACGCUACAGAUGUCUAACAUCCUCAAUGAAGCUUCAGAAACUUGUUCCGUCCACUUCUCUUGUCCUUGUUCAGACAGAGAUUCUCUUGUUUUUGGACAGUGAUCGAGGAGAUAGUUUGCGCAGUCGUGUAGCUCUCUCAAACCCUCGAAGUUAAUCUGAGCCAUAAUGAUUAACUUUUUCAAGAUAUAUUUAGCUAGGAAUAUAACAAAAUGGAUUGAAACGGUAUUAGAGAUAUAGUGAAAUGCAUGUAAGAGGGAGAUUAUAUAGAGUUGAGACGAUGGUCUUCAGGCUUCUUCCCGUGUCCUGGAAGCUUCUCCUUCAGCUUAUCCAUAAACCCUUUCUUCUCCUCCUCUGUCUUCACCUCUCCUUCAGUAGUAGUUACCUUCUUCUUGUCCUUCUUCUUCUUCCUCUUCACACCAUCUUCACCCUCUUCCUCGCUUGACUGUCGGAAACGAAACCAUAUACUUGUUAUAGUUGUGUUUCAAAAAAAAAAAAAACAUCAACGGACAAGAUCUAACACAACACAUAUAGAUUAUGUCCGAAUCUUUCAAAAUAUAUUUUAAUGAUCAUAUAAUAUAAACUUACGGAGCUAGAAGAGCUGUCGCUGCGGUGAAGCUUCUCGAGGAGACUAUGCUUCUUCUCUUCUUUUUCUUCCUCGUGUUUAACCUCAGGCACGGGCUCUGAGAUGUGAACCUUUUGCUCGAACUCAGAGUCGAUGGUCUCCUCUGGUUUCGUUUCAUCUUUCUUCUUCCCCAAGAAAUCGAACAGUCCACGGUCUGUAACCUCGCCGGUGGCCGUUGAUGGUUCCUCGGUGGCUACCUUAGGUGCCUCAUGCUCGUGAACGUUCUUGGUUUCAUCUGCCAUGGUUAUUAAAAAGAGUUUGGUUUGCUCUGUCGAUGAGAGAAUACGAAACGAUCAAAGUAUACUUAAGAUGAUUUGUAAGAGGCGAGUGAGAAAAUAGGUGACGGGAAAGUGCGUUUUAUAGUGUGUGUGAGGACUAACUCUACGCGGAUUUCACGCUAUAUGAUCAUUUUUUAUUUCGAAAAAAUAUAUAAACUAUAGAUAAAUUACAAAACGGCC
rnacentral:lncRNA from 1 species